rnacentral:lncRNA from 1 species
GGCGGCGUCACCACCGGAAUAUCCAACAACCCACGGUGCACAUAAUAGUACACAUAGUUCACCGCACACGCCUGCGUGAAAAAGCACGCCGCCCUUAUACCAAAUCUCAUCGUCACAUCCAAAACCCAAGGCAAAAACGCAUCGUAAACUAUGCAAUCUACGGCCAAAUUUCGGUCUCGGUACGAUUUGAUGAGAUUUUCUAGGGUUCUCGAGCCCUCGACUUCCAUCCGGUUUAGGUAAUCGGAGACGCUCUCGGCUUGCUGGAAACCGCCGGCGUCGAAGCCGUCGGAGAUGGACGCGAUAUCGACGGAGUCGGAUUUAGGGUUGAUGGAUUUGGAGAUGAAGUUGGUGAUGGUGAAGGUGGCUUUGGCUCCUUUGGAGACUAAGCGUUUGCAGAAUUGGAGCAUUGGGUUUACAUGGCCUUGGCUUGGAUAAGGUACACACAAGAUAUGUACUCUAUGUUCUUUUUUCUCCUUAUCCAUUUUCAUCAUUUUUCCUUUGAAUAUGCUAUUUUUGAAUAAAUUCACACACACACAUAUAUAUACAUAUGUAGAGACAGGUGGGGUUUUUGUUUCUUUCUAUAUAGAUAGAUAUAUAUGUGGAUCAGAAAAAAUACAGUUUUCGUCGCUAAAAUACAUUUGAUCCGUCAUGUUCACAAAAAAUACAUUUGGUCUCUGAUGUUUUCAAAAUUUAACAAUUUUAGUCGUUUCUAUCAAUUUUCCGUUAGUACUAAUGGAAUGUGUGUGUCCGUCUGAUGCGAUCUCUUGAGUAUCAUAAAUAUUUCCUACGAAACGUAAGAUCUAUUCUUUAAUAUUUCUCUCUGCAUUAUAAAACCCUAGCACAAAACGACUAUUUAAAGAUAAUAAAACCCUAGAAUCCUAAUCUAACUAGGAAAGAUAAUUACCUAUACUAAUUAAAUACUUAAUAAUCCUCCUAAUCAUCCUAACCCUAAACUAACAUACGGCUAUAUCUAAUAUAAAUAUACUAUGAUAAUUAAUUAAUAAUAAAAUAAUAACUAACUAAUAAUUAAACGAUAUAUUUAAUAAUAUAUCGUAUCAAACCACCCCUCUUGAAAUGAACCUUGUCCUCAAGGUUCGAGUCAAUUUGGUCUCUCUCCUUUGCGUUUCCACCUAUGUUUGACUUUAUCGACUUGCUUCCCGAUUGACUCCGAAAAACACGAUGAACGACCGAGCUUUUUACCACAUUGUUCAUGCUGAUCCAAUGAAAUAACAAAGGCUACUUUAGCGAAAAUAUUCAAUCUUUUUCCCGACAAAUCAACCUUCUCAAUUGCCUUUUCAAAUUUCAUCUCCUUCACAAUCAAUAUCAUGCUUUUAUUUUUCUCGGUCGUCUUAACAGAUCCGGGCUCAUUCACAGUCACCAAAUCUUGUUCGUCUCCUUUCUUUUGAAUAUCGUGGGACUCUUCUAAUAUCCACUGUAGUUCUUCGUUCUCUUCCUUAGUUAAUUCCUCACCUUCGUCCCAAAUUACCUCAAGUGAAUCCGAUAAUUCAUCUUUCGGCGAACUCACAAAAAAUUGGGGUUCUUCGAAACAAUCAUCGUCGUCCUCUUCCUCUUCUUCCGGCAAUAGGCUCGGCAACGGCGGCGGCGGUGGUAGUGGCGGUGACUCUUCGAAAAAGUCAUCGUCGUCUUCUUCCUCUUCGUCCGGGAAUAGGCUCGGCAGCGGCAGCGGCGGUGGCGGUGACGGGCGGCGGUCCCUUCGGCAGCGGUCCCUUCGGCUUUUGUGAUGGCGUUGACGUCGUCCUUGACUUUGUUCGAGCAAUUUCUGAAAAUUAAUCCGUAAUUUCUCUACGGAUUUUUCCAAUCGCUCCAACCGUCUUGUUUCUGACAUCAUGAUUUUCACAAAGUUUUGAUGUGAUCUCAACUUUGCUCCAGCGUAGCUUUGAUGUAAUCGCUGCCUUGCUAACGAAGCGUUGGUGUUAAUCGCAACUUCGCUCUGAUACCAAUUGAUACAAUCUCUUGAGUAUCAUAAAUAUUUCCUACGAAACGUAAGAUCUAUUCUUUAAUAUUUCUCUCUGCAUUAUAAAACCCUAGCACAAAACGACUAUUUAAAGAUAAUAAAACCCUAGAAUCCUAAUCUAACUAGGAAAGAUAAUUACCUAUACUAAUUAAAUACUUAAUAAUCCUCCUAAUCAUCCUAACCCUAAACUAACAUACGGCUAUAUCUAAUAUAAAUAUACUAUGAUAAUUAAUUAAUAAUAAAAUAAUAACUAACUAAUAAUUAAACGAUAUAUUUAAUAAUAUAUCGUAUCACCGUCACAGCGGACUAAUGGUAAAUUGACGGGAAUGACCAAAAGUUUUAAAUUAUUCAAACAUGAGGGACCAAAUGUGUUUUUUUGUGAACAUGAGGGACCAAAUGUGGAAUUAGUGCAAACUUGAGGGGUGAAAACUGUAAUUAUCCCAAUGGAUGGAAUAGAUCUAUCUCAUGUGUUUUACGCGCUGUAGCAUUAAUAUAAACCGAGAUGACCCUGCUAAUCAUAGCACGCGCCAACCUCUUUAAUUUCCUUUUUUUUUUUUUACUUCUUUUAUUUUUUGUUGUUUUAUUUAAUUGUUUUGCAUAUAAAUAUUUUUUUAAUUAUUAAAAAGUAGCUGUUACAAAACUUAAAUCUUAAAAUGCAAUGUAUAUAGUGGCUAUUUGAGGAAACCCUUCAUUAUUUUUUUAGGGGAAAUUGGCUAGACACCCCUUAUUCUGGACUUAUAUAGGUAGGGAUCCUAGUUGCUAGAUGAAUAUAGGCAUAGGUCCUUUAUCACAAAAAAAUAAUAUAAAUAAAAUAAAACAAUUAGUAUAUAGACAUAAACACCCUCAAUUAAUAAGAAAACAAAUCUCAUACACUCUCUCUCUCCAAUCUUACGUAUCUUUCUUCCUAUAUAAUCUCUCAUAUUUCUCUUCCUCUCCAUCUCGUGUCUCUGGCUUUUUUCUUCUGAUUUUUUUUUCUUUUCGAUCAACACUUUUCGAUUUUUUUUUCCGAUCAACUUCUUUCUUUCUCUAUACCCUUUCUCGAUUACAUCUGUUCGAUUUUUUUUUCUUUGGAAUUCAAUUCUUUUGGAUUAUGUUGUAGGGAAGGAAAAAAAAUUGAAGCUUUACAUUAUUAGAUGAUUUUUCGGUGAAAGAGUUAAAAGCGGACAACAAACAUAAAUCGCUCAUUGCUUGCACAAGGUGAGUUUUUUUUUCUCGUUUUGUAUUUAUCUGUAGUGAGUUUAUAAUGUUUGUUUGUAUUUCUAACUGAUUUUGGUUCAAUAAAUAGCAAAAAACAAAAAAUUAAACUGCAAAAUCAAAUUGUUGUUACAAACUGCAAAUUGCAAUCGAUAACAGUAGAUUUUGUUGCAAACUGCAAAUUGCAAUUUUUGCAUUGAUAGAAUAUUUUUUAUAAUUUUAUUGUUAUUUUUUACAUUUUUAUGAUAUGUAUGAUAGCAAAAAACAAAAUAAUGAAACUGCAAAAUCAAAUUGUUGUUACAAACUGCAAAUUGCAAUCGAUAACAGUAGAUUUUGUUGCAAACUGCAAAUUGCAAUUUUGCAUUGAUAGAAUAUUUUUUAUAAUUUUGUUGUUAUUUUUUGCAUUUUUAUGAUAUGUAUGAUAUUUUUGUUCUGUAUUUUUAUUUUUAUUAUUUACAUUUAGAUAUUGCAUAUUAUAUUUUCAUUUUAUUUUUUGUAAUUAGAUGAUGCUGAUUUUUUUACUUGUUCGAUUGAUUGUUUGUAUUUGGUGAAUUCAUAGGUAGUUUGUUGUUUUAAAUUCAAUAAUGCAAGUUUUAAUUAUUAGUUUGCUAUUUGCAUUUUAUAGAGACAUAAGCAGGCGGUUGCGGCAGUGGCGCGACGUUCGUAGCGGUGGUGCAUUUUUUACAACCUGAGUUGUUACCGAACAACAAACAAUUUCUAAACAGCAAACGACACGAAGGAAAAUUGGUAAACAACAAAUCGAACGAAGGAAAAGGGAAUGAAGGCAAACUGCAAACGACCUUGUAAACUGCAAACGCUCAGACACCCAAAUCUAUGGAAGGCUUCAAAAUUUGUGGUGAUUUUGGUUUUGAAAAAACAGGGAAGAAUCGAUAUCAAGAGAGUUGCAGUCCUAAUUUUCGGAUUUGUUGUAUAAUAUAGGGAGAAAAAUUGGGGAUUUGAUUUUGAGGAUUUAUUUUACCAUAUAUUGAUAGGGGUAUUUUUGACAAAUUACAUAUAAUAAAAUCUGCUGGGAAUUAGAGUUUAUUAGAUGGAUUUUAACACAUAUAAUCUCUUAGAGGAGGACCUAUAGCAAAUUGCCCCUUUUUUUUUAAUGGAGAGAGGUCCAAAAUAUUUCAGUCCAUUUGAGAAAAGUCCACACCCAUUUUGAGCCAUUAUGUUUUCCAGCUUUGCCCUCGCCCGCCACAUCAUCACUGGGUCACGCGCUCAUCGAUUUUUUUUUCCUGUUUUUUUCCCGUCUUUUCUGUAUCAGUUUCCUUAAUCGACUAUGAAGCAUAGUCGAUUAAGGCACUAUGAAGCAUAGUCGAUUAGCCUUAAUCGACUAUGCUUCAUAGUCGAUUAAGGAAAUUCUUUAAUUUAAAAAAAAAAUUGUUUUUUAAUUUUUUUUCUACAUGAGGUAUAUCAAUCGCCUAUGAUGAAGCAUAGUCGAUUAAGAAUCUGUUACUAAACAUAACAAAUUACAACUGCGAAAAAAUGCAAAAACAACUAUAUUUUACAAAAAAUAAAAAAUAUUCAAACAUUAUAAAUGAUUUAUACAAUUGAAAUCAAUAAAUGAGAAAUCCAAAAAAAAAAAAAAAAAAAAAAAAACUGGAGUCGAUCAACCUUAGUCGACUACCAGAACAUAGUCGAUUAGCUUAAUCGACUUUGAAUAUGCACAUAGUCGAUUAAGGUUUCAGCCUGCGCGAAAUUCUCUACACGCACCGUCCUCCGUCCGAUCCACAAAAAAAACCCAAAAUCAGCCUCCCCAUCGUCCCCACACCAUCCAGAGCUCCUGCUAUGGCCGAACCCGUCAGAUUUUGAGCAUGUUUAGCUCCAAUUAAGAAAACUAAUUUAAUUUAAUUUAAUUUAAUCCCAAUCCUAAUUUAAUUUAAUCCCAAAAGCAACAUGCAUGAUUCCUCUUUCCCGCAGCUCCGGCACAUCCUGCUGCUCGCCGCCGCCGCAAUGCAUCCGUCUCCGGCGAUGUUUGUGCCGUCCGAUGCAGCGCUCUCCGCCAAUGCUAGCCCGCGCCGGUCGAUUUCGUCGAAGUUGCUGCCGCAGCACGACUCCGCGGUGUCGCAAACCAAAUCCGCCUCGCCGGCGCGGUUGUUCUGCCGCCGCUGCUUCUGCUGUUGCUCGUCGUGGAAUUGGGAGAGGAUUUGCUCGUCUAAGGAAGCCAUGCUACGUCUCAUCACCUUAAACAUCUCGGAUUGUCCGAUGUUAGAUAUAAAAGGUGGAGAUAGCGAUUAUGGUUCUGAGUGGCCCCAGAUAUCCCAUAUCCCCAGAGUCUAUGUGGAUGGGAAUCAAAUUCCAACUCAUGCUCAGUAAAUGUAACUAUACUUAUUACUGUUUUAUUUGAUUUACCAGAUUAUAUUCUUUUUUUUUCCUUUUCUUUUUCUAUUGUAUUUAUUUUUCUUUUUGUUCCUGCAGCAUCAAAAUUUAAUUUGUUGCUUAAAUAGAAUAGGAUGCUCAAGGCACACAAAUAUAUAAAUCUAUUUCAAAUUUAUUUCGAUACAUAUUGAUUUUAUUUUUAUUUCAUAGAUUUAAUUAGACACCCCUCCCGCAAAGUUUUAAUUUAGGAUUCGGUGCCAAACCAACAUAAUAUUUCUUCUUCUUCUUUCUUGGAUUUACCACAUUUUAUUUGGUUUACAUAUUCAUUGAUCUUCUUUUUUACUAUUUUCUUUAUAAAUGUGGUCAUUUUGUUAUUUCUCAUUUUUUUGAUGAGUUAUUAAUCGAAAUUGAGCAUUUUUGUUGCAUAUUGCCCCUUCAAAUAUUAUUUUUGUUGCACGUUGCCGAAACCGAAACUCGUAGCCAUUUUAAUAUUGAUUUAGCUUUCCGCAUUAAGCAAAGAAUCCUAUCUAACACGACGUAAGUCUAAUUCAACUCAAUAUCUAUCAUAAUAAGUUUGAAUUUGAUAAAGGAACCUAUCCACUUUCUCUUUCGAUCAGCUCAAUUUGAAAAGCGAUCGAGAAAAUAGCUUGUUACAUCCAUAAUACGGGAAAGAUUCGAUCCCAAAGUGAAAACGCUUACAGGAUAACAAACAGCGAAAUAUGGAGUUUGUAGAAUAAUCCAUAACAUGGAAUUAUUAAUAAAAAUUGGAGUUAUGCACAUAACUCCUGUGUAAUCUCGAAUUGCUAAAAAACCCAUUGUGUUCAAAAAAAUUAGCAAUAAUCCCCCUAUGUUAUAUUUUACGAAGCACACUGCCUCUUUUUUCGUUUUUUCCCAUUCACUUAGAUGAAAUGACAAAAUUACUUUGAAUUCAAAAUAAAACAAAAUAAAAAUAUUCAACCCAAAAAAUAAAAUAUUGAAUCCCUCAAAAAAAAUUUGAAAACAAAAUCCCAAAAGAAAAAAAAAAGGAAAAGAAAAAAGAGACGAUGCAUUUGCUUCAUCUUCCCCGUCAAACCAACACACCACCCACUCCCUCCCCAACCCCAACCCCAAACCCCAACCCCAAACCCGAACUCAAACAACUUUCUAUCAAAUUCCUCAAAUGGUGCAUCCACCGCCGCACACGUCGGAGAGCUACCGUCUACCAGCAAUUUAAAAGGUCCGCGGUGGCGAUGGUGGUGGAUAUGGACGUCGUGUGUGAGGUGGUUAUGGCGGCGGACGUGUUGGAGGUGGGUACGAUGUUGACCGUGACUCUCUUCCUAUGACGUUUUCCAGUGAGGAAGACACCGGAGAUGGUGUGAAGAUGGUUGCCGGCUAGAGUGACGUUUGUGGUUUGAUUUGGGAAGAUGACCUUUUUGGAAAUGGGAAGGAAUGAAUUGCAAAUUUUGAAAACUUCAUUUUGGGACAUAUAGAAUUUUGGGGUGAAUUUGUAAUUUUUAAAAUUUAUAAUUUAAAGCGUAUUUUGGUCUUUUUGGGUCAAAAAUACACUCUGAAUCGCACAAUCCGCGCGUGCGGCACAAGAUAAGCUGUUAGGGACCUUAUUGCCUUUGAUUAAUUUUUAUAGGGGGAUUCUUGCCAAAAAAAAUUAACACGAGUGCUUUUUCAGCAAUUCGAGAUUACAUAGGGGUGGGUUUUGCAAAAAACCCAUAAAAAUUGUAUCAGAUGUUAAAAUACAUUAUACAUGCAUACAUGCAGAUUUAAGGUUGAGAUUCACAACUAACAACAACUCUAAGAAGAAAUUUUCUAUGAAUGGUAAGUCCAUCUUAUUUGAUUUACAUAUUCGUUGAUCCUCUUUUUUACUAUUUUCUUUAAAAAUGUGGUCAUUUUGUAAUUUAUCAAACCAACAGAAGCAGGGAGAGAGCGCAAGUUUUUGUAAAGGAGAGACAGACCAGAUUAAAAAUGUGAGUAUAUAUACUUAUUUCUUCUUCUUCUUCUUUCUUGGAUUUACCACAUUUUAUUUGAUUUACAUAUUCAUUGAUCCUCUUUUUUACUAUUUUCUUUAAAAAUGUGGUCAUUUUGUUAUUUAUCAAUUUUUCUUAAACUUGAUGUGUACGAGUAUAUAUGUAAUGUCACCUUAUUAAUUUCAGAACAGAUUAUGCAUGUCAAACUAUGUAUAUAUAUAUAUAUCGGGUUUUUUGCAAGGACCACCUUUCUGUAAUUUCGAAUUGUUGAAAAACCCCCCGUAUUAAAAAAAUUAGCAGGAACCCCCUGAUGAAAAUUAGUCAAAGGCAAAAAAGCCCCUGACAGCAUGUCGUGUGUUGUACGCGCGGCUUGUGCAACUGAGGGUGUAUUUUUUGAUGUGAAAAGUCAAAAAUACCCUCUUAAAUUCUUUUAUAAAUAACAUAAAUCCAAUUGGGUUUAAAUGCAAAUAAUACAAACUUUUGGAUCGAAUUAUAAUUUAAAAAAAAAAUUAAGCAAACAAAAAUAAUAUAUUUUUUUAAGAAAAAGGAAAAAAAAAAAAAAAAAAAGAUCUCACUCGUCUUCUUCCCCAAAUUUCCUCCUCCCAGUGCCGGCCCUGAGGCCAUGCUGCACAAGCAAUGGCUUUGGGCCCCACUCCAUUAAGGGGCCCCCAAAUAAAAAAAAAAAAAAGUAUAUAUACAUAUAUAAAUAGUUUUGUGUUUUUAGUAAUUUAAAAUGAACUUUUUAUAAAUCAUAACAUUUAAUUUGAUUUUAGGGUAUAUUUUCAAUCCGACUCAAAUUAAUUGCACAUUUUCUGUUAAGCAUUGGGAAUGAAAAACACAAAAAGAUUAAAUUAAAUAUUUUACUAUCCAUCAUUAAAGGAAAAAAAAAGAGAGAAAUAAUUCGUCUUUUUUGUCAUAACUUAUGGUGCAACUCAAAUAAGUUUAUAAAAAAUAAUAAUAAUAAAUAUAUAAAUAAAUUUCAAUGAUAUUUAAUGUAGGUUUAUGCAUUCUUAUCCUCAUUCACUUAUGUCAUAAUAUAUUUAUUUUUGUUUGUUUUAUCAAGUUAAAUAAGUAUUAAUUAUAAAAUAAUUAUUUUUAAAAAAUACGCUUAGGGCCCCGAAAAUGUCAGGACCGGCCCUGCCUCCUCCUACAGCUGCCCCUUUCCUCCCGCCACCAGCCUCGUCCAAUCUUCUCAUCGAUGACACCCUUCGUAGCAGACGCUAUUCCCUCUUCGGCGCCCUCCGCCGUUCAUCGGUAUUGGAGUUUUUCAGCACAUGCAUCCGACUACGGGGAGUUAUUGCGGCGAGAGAUAAGGGUGGAGGCCUGUUUAAAGUUAGAUUCUAUGGGGACUAACAUUUUCCGCCCAAAUCGAUGUUCGGCGAUUUCUAAAAGCGGGGUCUGGUUCGAUGUAGAUUCGACGCGGGAAAUCAUUUUUCGGACAAAUUGAACAGUAACACUUCGAUUCUGGCGAGUUGUGAGGAAUGAUUACUGAAAAAUUAUAAAAAUCUAAGGAGAUGAAUUAUUUGGGGAGGAUUUGAGUGAAGAAUUAUUCAAAAAAAGGGAAAAAGAACAAUAACUCGUUCUUUUCUCACACUGUUUUUUUUUUUUUGUAAAGCUUUUCUUUUAAUAAGAUUUUCCUGUGUGUUGGAGAAGAUGGUUUUGGAUUUUGUUCGAAUUUCUUUUGUGUCUUUUUUUUUCUUUUCUUUUACAAUUCCAUGAUUCUUUUGUAAGGGCAAAUUAGUCAUUGUAUAAAAGUCAACAGCUAAUUUUAACGAAAGGAGCAGUGUGCUUCGUAUAAGACAACAUAGGGGGGUUUGUGCUAAUUUUUUUAACAUAGGGGUUUUUUUAGCCAUUCAAGAUUACACAGGGGGUUAUAUGCAAUUAGCUCUAUAUAUAUAUAUAUAUCAGAUGAUUAGUUUUUUUGUAAGAUUUUUUUUUUUUUUUUUGUUAUCAAAUCUCACAAUUUGUGAAUUAACGUCAAUAGGUCGCUGAAGACAUACAACACGAAUAAGGUCGAAAGCCAUCUAUUUGUUGAAGACAUACUUUUACUGCACAUUGCCCCGAUAGCCAAAUAUGGUUAUUAACCGAAAUUGAGCAUUUUUGUUGCAUAUUGCCCCUUCAAAUAUUAUUUUUGUUGCACGUGGCCGAAAUCGAAACUCGUAGCCAUUCUUAUAUUGAUUUAGUUUUUCGCAUUAAGCAAAGAAUCAUAUCUAACACGACGUAAGUCUAAUUCAACUCAAUAUCUAUCAUAAUAAAUUUGAAUUUGAUAAAGGAACCAAUCAACUUUCUCUUUCGAUCAGCUCAAUUUGAAAAGCGAGAAAAUAGCUUGUUACAUCCAUAAUACGGGAAAGAUUCGAUCGCAAAGUGAAAACGGUUACAAGAUAACAAACAGCGGAAUAUGGAGUUUGUAGAAUAAUCCAUAACAUUGAAUUAUUAAUAAAAAUUGGAGUUAACUGCACAUAACUCCUGUGUAAUCUCGAAUUGCUAAAAAACCCAUUGUGUUCAAAAAAAUUAGCAAGAAUCCCCCUUUGUUACAUUUUACGAAGCACACUGCCUCUUUUCUCGUUUUUUCCCCUUCACUUAGAUGAAAUGACAAAAUUACUCUGAAUUCAAAAUAAAACAAAAAUAUUCAACCCAAAAUAAAAUAUUGAAUCCCUCAAGAAAAAUUGAAAACAAAAUCCGAAGAAAAAAAAAGACGAUGCAGUUGCUUCAUCUUCCCCGUCGCACCAACACACAGUGUAUGUUUUUGUAAACGUGGGGACUAAAUGUGAAAUCAUUGCAAACUUGAGGGGCGAAAACUGUAUUUUUCCCAAAAAGUUAUAAUAACCUUUUGUUCAGGCAGUUAGAACCGGUGCAUAUUGUCAACUGUCAAGUGCCAAUCAGAAUCUUACGAUGACUUCAUGCCAACUAGCAACACAGUUGGCUUCUGCAUUAUUUUAAUCAUGAUUAAUAAAAAGAAAGUAUAGCAAUAAUGGAAUUACUAACCGUAUAUGGUUAGUCAAGUUACCAUGGUUUGGAAACAAGGGAAGGAUCGAAAAAAGUAUUGGAGAUAUUAAUAUUAAAUGAUACAUUUCACUAACAGCUUAAGCUUUCGGUUGAGAUGGUCAUUCAACAUGGUAUUAGAGUCAGGCCAAAUGAAAGGUCCUGAGUUCGAAUCCCACAUCCACCCGUAUACAAAUAUUUCAAGUGUAAGGCUUCAAAUGUAAUUUGCCUGCACUUGAGGGGGCGUAUUGGAGAUAUUAAUAUUAAUAUCGCCAAUAAAAAGAAUCAAAGAAGCCUUCACAGUUUCUUGAACGAUGCGGAGAAGAAGCAAGUCACCGAUGAAACUGUCAUCAUUGUUGGUGACAACGCUUCCUAUUCACCAGCUAAGUAACUUUUCCUUUUCAAUCUAUCGAAAAGAAUUGGCUCUCGGAUUUUGGAGAUGAAAAUUUAGUUUCAAUCUAUCAGAGUAAACAAGCCUUGGAUUUUAUUCUCCCCCUAUGUGAUUAUUAUUCCCCCAAUUCCUUCAAUUAUGCAAGUAAUUAACCCGGAUUAUUAACCUGAGAUGCUAAAUUAAUCAUAACCCGCUUCCGCGUGUAUUACGAUUCUAAUACUCUAGAUUCAAUUACUGUAUUUCUAUGCAAUUAAUUCUAGAACACAACAUUAAGCACAAAUCUCAAUAAUGGCUACCUAAGAGAUUAAUUAUAUUCUUAUGUUAAUACCACAAAGGCUCUUCUACCACAGUUCUAAUUAUUAACCCGAUCUUCCGAUUCAUGCGAUUAACAAUAACAUAAAAGCACAUAAGGUGAUCAAGUUCAUGCACUUAAUAAAACAAGUAGAAGAAAUAAUCCGGAAUUAAAACUUGCAUAAAAUCAUAGAAAAUGGUUCAUAAAUCCCACAUAGGGUUCAAAAUAAAAUCCUAGAAAUAAGAAAAUGAGCUACUCAUGAUUAAAGAAAAAACGCAAAUAAAAUAAAUCAUAAACGAUAAAUCUUCGCUUGGAGUCUUUGAAUUCUUCGUCUUCGUUAUUGCUUUGUUGCUCUUGAAAUUGCGUAAAAAAAGAUCCCCAUUUGUGUGCUUGGCUUGGUCUUAUAUAGGGUGAAGAACUUGGGAAAGAAGGCAGUUUCCUUGUGCAAUUAAAAUCCCUUUAUUGCGCUGCCUCGGGGUCUCGGACGGCCGUCCCACAAUUUGAACUAAAACUCGGACAGCCGUCCGAGAUUUAAAUCUUCAGAAUUUUGAUUUUUUCACUUUUGGCCCAUAUUUUCUCCAAAAUUGCAGCUUUGACCCCAUACUUUUCCAAUUCUUCAAUUUGUACCUAAAAUACAAUAAAUCAACUUUUUAAGCACCAAUUAUCGUUAAAACACACCAAAAGCUCAAAUAAAAAGGUACAAUAAAGUGUAAAAAUAUACACUUAACACACCCCCAAACUUGAACUUUUGUUUGUCCUCAAGCAAAAUCUACCAAUAAGCAAAUAACUCAACUAUUACAUCUCAUCACAUAGAUCAAUGAUCAACUUCACGUUUUCAGAACUUGUAAUUAUAAUGACAAUUCUUAGGCAUUCGCAGCUCAAAAUUCAACAGCACUUAGUCACUCACCAUUACCAAAAACCACAAUUUAUACAAUUGCUUCAAGCAUCCAAUAUUUGCAAAGUAAAGAUAGAAAGAAUUUAUACUUACAUGCAUAUAUUUGACUCCAAAUACUCACCAAAGUAUUUUACUCUACUAAUAUCGAACAUUAAGCUAUUGGGAUCAUUGAGGCUUUUUGGCUUUUAAUUGUUAGGCUCUUUGGUUCGAGGUAGGAAAUAUGGGUAUAUGUGGCUAUUAUUUUUGAAUUGAGGUGAUUACGCCAAAAUUUGAAAGAUAGGCGUCUGAAACAAUGAAUUCAUCUCUAAGGACUUUAAUAAACUCGAUUCUCAAAAGUUCAAAAGUCUCCACUUUUGCUUUUGAGGCAAUGGAUCGAGCUUUCAAAAAUAAUUUCAACAACUAGUCCUUUUUUCUCCCUUCUAGUCUCUUCUUCUUCUCUUUUUCUUUUUCUUUUUCUUUUUCUUUUUCAUUUUUUUAAUAUAUAUAUAUAUAUAGAAGAAUAUAUAUUUAUCUCUUUUCGUUUUUUUUUUCUUUUUUUUUUGUUUUCGAAGAAGAAGAAGAAGGACCUUAUAAAAUUUUUCGACCGAACUCCAAGGGGUAAUUUUUCAAGAAUCUCCACCUAUUCUACCUUACACAUUGGCUAAAAGAAAGAACAUCUUUUCUCCGAGGCUCAAAUCAAGGUUCUAAGGAUAAUUUCGAUAAAAAGGUCGGCUUGAAAGGCUCAAACGGUUCAAAGAAGGCCUGAAUCAUAUCCUAAAUCACUCACUACUCAAUACUUCGUAUCAUAAAUUUCCUAAGGUGAGUCUUAAAACCGAACAUAGCAUGAUCUAGCACAAAUUAAUUCCAAAUUUAAAAUACAAAACAUUCAACCAAAGCAAUGCACAAAGUGUGAUUCCUAACAAUUGUAACACCCCAUCUUUCCAAAACCCGAAAAUCCUAAAACCCGAGACUAAUAUUUCUAACUCGAGAACCCUUAGGUAAUAUUAUUACAUGAUAUUAAUUAUAUGCAUUACGUGAAUUUAAUUAUGUGACUUACGUGAAUAAUUACGUGCGUUAUUAUGUGGUGAUUUCAUGGUACUUAUUUUGUGAAAUUCGUAAGUAGAUAUAUAUGCGUGAAUUAUGUGAUCGUUUCCGAAAAUUUAAACUCUAGGAAUUUCGUGAAUUACGUGACUUAUGUGAAUUAUAAAUAUAGUACUAUGGUAUGAUUAUAUAUAUACAUACGUACAUACAUCCAUGCAUAUAGAUAUACACAUAUACAUACUAUUACAUGCAUUAUAUAUAUUUGAGUAUAUAUAUAUAUAAAUGACCGAAUAUGUGUGUGUGUGUAGUAUGCAAGUUGUGUUUAUUUUUAAAUAAAAUAAUUAGUAAUAAGCAUGCAUGCCUUUACACUUGGCACCCCCUAAUCAUUUCUCUAAACCCACACUCAAAGUAACCCAAAAGACACCCUUCAUCUUUCUUCUUCCAACACCUCAACCCCUUACUUGUCUUCUCCAUUUUUCUCCACCGUAGCAACAUCACCACCUCCAUUCUUCUCCUUCUUCCACCUCAUCUCUUGUUUUUCAAAGAAAAUGAAAAAUCACUUGAAAAUUCCCCUAUUUAACCACGGCCAUGGAGCAGCCUAGAUCACCACUCAUCAAACAAAUAUACAUCUCAUUUGAAAACCCACUCAAUCUUUUCCACAAUCAUAGUAGCUUGGUUGGAUUUCGGUGCUUGAUAGCCUCUCUUCCUUCGAUUGCUUUCUUUUCUUCGAUUUUAAGGUAAGAAAUUCCGAUUUCUUGCUGCAAUUAAAUGGCAUCAAUAGUAUUAAAAUGGUUUUCAAAAUUUUCUAAAAGAUUGGGAGUGAUUUCGAAAAUUUAGGGCUUUUGGGGGAAAAAUGGAAAAGAAGUGUUUCUUGUUAAAUUCUUGUUCUUGCAUGCAUCAUCUAUGUUGGUAGUGGGUAAAUACGAAUUUUAUUGGCCAAAAGCAUUAAAUAUUUCAGAUUUCAAAAAGGGGUUUUCAAGAAAAAUGAGAUUUUAACUUUUAUAGGGUUGCAUGUGUAGAUCUUCAAAAGUUUUGGGCCGAAUCUGUAAUUUUUAAGAAGUCAGUCCUAAAUGUGUUUUCAAAACUGUUUUCCAGCAUUUAUUGAACAAAAUUUUCGGAUUUAAGGAAGUGUUGCAAGAAAAAGUGAAUUUUCAACCUCUAGUGGUCUUGCAUGUGUAGAUCUAAGGAUUUUUGGGGUAAAAUAUGUAAUUUUAGGAAUUUCUGCAUAAAGUAACUUUUCAACUUCAUUUUCUGCAUCUAAUAAAGUAAAAUUUCAGAUUUGUUAGGGGUUUUCAUGAAAAAGUGGAUUUUGAACUUUUAGUGUGGUUGCAUGUGUAAAUCUUGAAACUUUUGGGUCAAAACUGCAAUUUCCGAAAAAUCUCUCAUUUCUAAAGUUUGAACCUGUUUUCCCAGCAAGUAUUAAGUGGGGAAAAGUUUUCUUUACAAAGGUUUUAAAGUAAUUAAGGUUAUAUUAGAGUUUUGAUUUUUAAAAUAAAAAGGGAAUUUUCUAGUUUUAAAUUUCAAGAAAAAAAAAAUUUACUCAAAAAAAAAAAAAAUUCAAGAAAAUUCGAAACUUUGUGAAAAUUUAAAAUAAUUCCGGAAUCUGAAAUUUGGAGUAGAUAGGAGUUCUAGGAUUUAAUUUGGGAAUUUUUGGAAUUAGUUUGCUAUUAUUUCGAAAUUAGGAUAGUUUGCAUGUCAUUUAUUAUGUUUUGUGCCUUUAUUUUCAUGUCUUUAAUUUAAUGUCUAUGAAUGAUGAGAUUUGGGGAUUUUAUACUUUUAAUUGCUGCUGGAUGUGGAUUACUUGUUGUGAGAAUUUAUUGAAAUGGAUUAUUACCUAGAAGUGGUAAUAAGUUCAUUAAAUGAAAGGUGAAAAAGGGGUGCUUGCUUUACAAGCAUGGUUUGAUAUUAAAUGGUGAUGUUUAAUGUGUUGGCUGCAUGUGUGUGUGCUGAAUGUGCAUGUGUUGUGUGCCGUGUGUGGUUGUGUGUUAUGUGUGUGAAUUUGGGGAUUUUUGCCCAAAUUAUAAAUAUGUGGUAAAUUGUGAUAUUUGUGUGAUUUUGUGGCACUUGAUUGAUAUUUGUGAUGUUAUGUGUGGGUCAUAAGCAUGAUUUCGAAAAGUUGCAUUUAAAGGUUUUUAAAUUGAAAGAUUAAUGGAAUACCUGGUAAUAAACAACUCGGAUAUAGAGGGCCGGUAUCCAACUAGGAUGAUGUGUGUUGUGGUUUGAUCCCACUUACUGAAAACGGGCUCGUAACAGGUUUAUUAUCCAGGUACAUAAAUUAAUCUUUCACGGAUCCGAUAAAACGAAAAAUGUGUUUUUUUCAUGAUUUUUACAAAAAGGGCAUUUUAGUCAUUUUGCAUAAGUACGUGAUUUUGUGUGAAUGAUGUGUUUCGUGAGUUGUGUGAUUUUGCCGAUUGUCUUGUGUUAUUGUACGGAACGUGGGUAAGAAUGGGUAUAUAAUAUUAUAUAUUAUGUAUAACGUAUUUUUCAAAGUUCGAUAUUCAUCGGAUUUCUUACUGAGUUUUAUAGCUCAUAUAGAUGUCCUUUAAUUGCAGGUAGUAGCACUAGUAGUCCAACCGGGAUGGGUCGAGUAGCGGAUCGAGGUCUUACCCGGGUUUUGUUGGAAGUCGUACGAGGACCUAUGAACGAUGCUAAAGUCUUUUGGUUAUUUUCUUUUGGUGGUGUAAUGUUAAACCUAAAUACUUUCUUUUCGUACCUUUUAAACUCGUUAUCUAUAUAGAUCGUACUUAAUAUAGUAGAUUCCGUAAUUUGCUAUUUUCAUGCCUCCAUUAGUGAUUUCCGAAUUAUUCACCAAAAUAACCUUUUUAACUCUGAUUUCUUCUCGAACCAAAACCGAUAGUAACACUGUAGCACUCGAACGAAAAACCUCCCCUCGAAACUUGUUUCCAAAUAAAACCUUUAUUCGGCUAUAGUAACCUAAAGAAAAGUUUUUCGAAAAAUGCAAAGUUUUAAUAAUUGCAUUUUUGUCCCACUUCAAAGUUUUAAAAAUUACAAAGUUAUCCUUUGCUUCCGCUAGUUUAAUGAAUAUUCCGAUAAACCGGUUCGAUUUAUCGCCCAUCUAGAAGGGGGGUGCUACAACAAUCAUUCGCUUCUAAGUUUCGUUGAAUCAAAAGCUAAACAAACAUGUAAUCCUUAUCACACAAAACAAGCAAUCUCAUCAUCAAACAUUGAUCAUCUCUCAUCAUCAUAAAUCAUCAAUGCAUUCGACUCAAGCAAUUCUUUUUUGUUUAAAGAAAACAAUAAAUUAACGAAAACGACUAAAACUAAAAAGAAAAAUCCUAAAGCAUGCAAUCUAUAACAUAUAAAGCACAUAAAAAGUGUUUUUCCAGCGCCAAACUUAAAAUUUACAUUGUCCUCAAUGUAAUUCAAACAAAGUUUAAGGAUAGAAUACACCUUGAUUAGUUCAAACGUCCUCCACGUGUUGCACCCCUCCAUCUCUUCCUCUUUGAAGCAAACACCUUUUUUUUUUUUUUUUUUUCAGGGGUGUUCCGGACGGCCGUCCCACCUUUUGGACUGUUUUUGGGAGGCCGUCCCACAAACAGUAGGUUCACAACUCGUCCUAACUUCCCCGGACGGCCGUCUGGGGUUUUGGCUUGAUUUUCGGACGGCCGUCUGGGCUUUUUGUGUCCGUUUUUCGACCUAAAAAUUCAAACAUGAUUAAAUUAUUAGAUUGCACGCUUAUAUAUAUUCUAAGAAAAUAAAAAACAACUAAAAAUAUGAAAAAUAUGAGAGAAAAAAAAACGAUAAAUGCUCGGGUUGCCUCCCGAGAAGCGCUAAAUUUAAGUCUUCAGCCAGACUUUGCUUCUUGAAAUUGGUAUGUCCAAUCCAAAGCCUUGUAGAUUGCGCAUUCAUCCAUGACCUUUGUCACUUCAAUUGCAACCGAUACAAGGAUAGGAUUGCAAUAUGUCAGGGUCCACUUUAGCUUGUAAUCUUUCUUGGUUGUAAUCAAUCGGUACGAAGCCAAGAUGGGAUCUUCAUCACCCGCUCCCUCAAAUUGGUACACAAAAACCUCAAGUCUGCGUAUAACCUCCACUUCAAACACAUUCGCCUUCUUAUCAACCUCAAUUGAUGCCUUCAAAGCCACAUCAGGAACAAUGAUAAGAUCCUCAAUUUGAAUAUUUUCACUAACCACAUCCAUCUCAUUUUUCUCUUGUUCCGAGACAUCUUUGGAGUUUAGCUCGAUUGCAUUGUCAGAUUCAUCAUCCUUAAGCGUCUUCGUACUUUCUUUUCCCCUCUCAUCGACACUAUUUUCUAGGUCUAAAGGAUUUUCCUCACUACAAGUUUCUGACAGAUUUUCUUUGUUGCAACCAUUCUCGAUAUUGUCUGAAAUAUUUUCAAGAGACCUCUUGAGCUUCAUCUCUUCCAACAUUAUUUCCAGUCUUUGGAUAGAUGCUUGAGUGGAUUUCAUAAAUUCUUCAAGGACGGAGUUCAAAUAACACUCCUGAACAGUGGGUUCUCGUGGCGUGUUGGUGUAUGUGUUCCAAUAACCGCCGUUGGUGUUAUCUAUGAAAUUAUUCGCUUUCGGUGCAUACCAACAUUGGUUAGUGUAAUGAUCUCCACCACAGAUUGAACAAAGUGACGGCAUAUCAUAGGUAUUUUGGAGGUAUUCGCCAGACGGAAGCUAUUCAUAUCCCGUUUGAGGUGCGCAAAAAUUGUAACUUGACAUGUAACCAAAGAAAAAAAAAUAUAUUAAAGAAAAUUAAAACGAAAAGCUAAAAUGAAAAAAAAAUUAAUUUGGGUGAAUCGUGAAAAUUGUUCAAAUUUAGAGCUAGAAUAAAAAUAAAUAAUUAAUAUAUUCCCCGGCAACGGCGCCAAAAACUUGUUGGCCGAAAACCUACACGCAAGUGCACGUAUCGUACAAGUAAUAUAGUGGACUAAAGUCCGAAUAUCGAACCCACAUGGAAUUUUUAAUUACUAAUCAUAGACGCUAAAUUUUAGCAAUUAUUAUCAAGCCCACCCGACUAGAGAGAGAAUUAACUAAAUUAAACUAAACUAAACUAAAGCAAAUUAAAACGACAAAGCGAGAAAGCAAAUUAAACACGAAGAUCUAUCAGAGUAAAUAAGCCUAGGAUUUUAUUCUUCCCCCUAUGUGAUUAUUAUUCCCCCAAUUCCUUCAAUUAUGCAAGUAAUUAACCUGGAUUAUUAACCUGAGAUGCUAAAUUAAUCAUAACCCACUUCUGUGUGUAUUACGAUUCUAAUACUCUAGAUUCAAUUACUGUAUUCCUACGCAAUUAAUUCUAGAACACAACCUUAAGCACAAAUCUCAAUAAUGGCUACCUAAGAGAUUAGCUAUAUUCCUAUGUUAAUACCACAAAUGCUCUUCUACCACAGUUCUAAUUAUUAACCCGAUCUUCCGAUUCAUGCGAUUAACAAUAACAUAAAAGCACAUAAGGUGAUCAAGUUCAUGCACUUAAUAAAACAAGUAGAAGAAAUAAUCCGGAAUUAAAACUUGCAUAAAAUCAUAGAAAAUGGUUCAUAAAUCCCACAUAGGGUUCAAAAUAAAAUCCUAGAAAUAAGAAAAUGAGCUACUCAUGAUUAAAGAAAAAACGCAAAUAAAAUAAAUCAUAAACCAUAAAUCUUCGCUUGGAGUCUUUGAAUUCUUCGUCUUCGUUAUUGCUUUGUUGCUCUUGAAAUUGCGUAAAAAAAGAUCCCCAAUUGUGUGCUUGGCUUGGUCUUAUAUAGGGUGAAGAACUUGGGAAAGAAGGCAGUUUCCUUGUGCAAUUAAAAUCCCUUUAUUGCGCUGCCUCGGGGUCUCGGACGGCCGUCCCACAAUUUGAACUAAAACUCGGACAGCCGUCCGAGAUUUAAAUCUUCAGAAUUUUGAUUUUUUCACUUUUGGCCCAUAUUUUCUCCAAAAUUGCAGUUUUGACCCCAUACUUUUCCAAUUCUUCAAUUUCUACCUAAAAUACAAUAAAUCAACUUUUUAAGCACCAAUUAUCGUUAAAACACACCAAAAGCUCAAAUAAAAAUGUAACACCCCACCUUUCCAAAACCUUAAAACCCGAAAUUAAUAUUCCUAACUCGAGAAUCCUUAGGUAAUAUUAUUACGUGAUAAUUUGUACAUGACUUACGUGAAUUUAAUUAUGUGAAUUAUUUAUGUGCUAUAUUUAAUUGGUAGAUUUAUUUGCUAGCAAUUUAUGUGAUUUAUGUGAAUUAGAAUAUUAUAUGCUAUAUUUGAUUAAUUAAGUGUGAUAAUACACUACUCUAGACUAUCCUAUAUAUACAAUAUAGGCAUUUACUUGAUAACAUACAUGUAUAUGCAUACAUGCAUACAUACAUAGAUUUUACAUACAUUGCUUGAUUAUAUAAUAUUAUAUUACAUAUGUAUAUGUAUAGCCGUGUGAGUGUGUAUGUUAGUCAAAAAGGUGACUAAUUAAAUUAUUAUUUAAUUACUUGCACAUGGCACAUAGUCGAGUUUUACACUCUUCCAUCUACUUCUUCUUCCACAUCACCCCCUUGCUUGUCUUCCUCUCUUCAUUCCACCGAAGACACACCACCACCUCCAUUCUUCAUCUUCUUCCACCUCACUUCCAAUUUUUAAAGAAAAUGAAAAAAAUCAUUUUAAAAGUCCUCUAUUUAAUGAUGGACUUGUAGCAGCCUAAAACACCAUCCUCCAAAGAAAUAUACAUCUCACUUAAAAUUCCACUCCAUCUCCUUCACCAUCAAAAUAAUUUGGCUAGAGCUUGGCACCAUCCUUUGAAGCAUUUUCCUUCACUUUUCUUUCGGUUAUUAAGGUAAGAAGUUUCGAUUUCUUGCUGCAAUUAAAUGGCAUCAAUAGUAUUAAAAUGGUUUUCAUAAAGUUUUAAAAGAUUGGGAAUGUUUUCGAAAAUUUAGGGCUUUUUGGGGAAAAAUGGAAAAUGGGUGUUUCUUGUUAAUUUCUUGUUCUUGCAUGCAUCAUCUAUGUUAAUAGUGGGUAGAUACAACUUUCAUUGGCCAAAAGCAUUAUAAAUUUCAGAUUUCAAAAAGGGGUUUUCAAGAAAAAUGAAAUUUGAACUUUUAUGGGGUUGCAUGUAUAGAUCUUCAAAAGUUUUGGGCCGAAUCUGUAAUUUUUGAGGAGUCAGUCCUAAAUGUGUUUUCAAAACUGUUUUUCAGCAUUUAUUAAACAAAAAUUUCGGAUUUAAGGAAGUUUGUAAGAAAAAGGUGGUUUUUUGAACUUUUGGUGGUAUUGCAUGUGUAGAUCUAGAGAUUUUGGGGUAAAAUAUGUAAUUUUCAGAACUUCUGCAUAAAGUGACUUUUCAACUUCGAUUUCUGCAUCUAAUAAAGUAAAAUUUCAGAUUGUUAGGGUUUUUUCAUGAAAAAGUGAAUUUUGAACUUUUAGUGUGGUUGCAUGUGUAAAUGUUGAAACUUUGGGGUCAAAACUGCAAUUUCUGAAAAAUCUCUAAUUUCUAAAGUUUGAAUCUGUUUUUCCAGCAAGUAUUAAAUGGGGAAAGGUUUUCUUUACAAAGGUUUUCAAAGUAAUUAAGGUUAUAUUAGAGGUUUCGAUUUUUAAAAGAAAAAGGGGAUUUUCUAGUUUUAAUUUCAAGAAAAUUCGAAACUUUGUGGAAAUUUAAAAUAAUUUCAGAAUCUGAAACUUGGGUCAGUUAGGAGUUCUAGGAUUUAAUUUGAGAAUUUUUGGAAUUAGUUUGCUAUUAUUUCGAAAUUAGGAUAGUUUGCACGUCAUUUAUCAUGUUUUUGUGCCUUUAUUUUCAUGUCUUUAAUUGAAUGUCUAUGAAUGAUGAGAUUUGGGUAUUUUAUACUUUUAAUUGCUGCCUGGAUGUGGAUUAAUUUCUGUGAGAUUUAUUGAAUGGCUUGUUACCUAGGUGUGGUAAUAAGUUUAUUAAAUGAAAGGUGAAAAGGGGUACUUGCUUUGCAAGCAUGGUUUGAAUGUUAAAUGGUGAGGUUUGAUGUGUGACUGCAUGUGUGUAUGCUGAGUAAGUGUGUGUGUAUGUGCUGAAUGUGUAUGUGUGUGUGCCGUGUGUGAAUUUGGGGAUUUUUGCCCCAAAUUAUAAAUAUGUGGUAAAUUGUGAUAUUUGUGUGAUGUUGUGGCACUUGAUUGACGUUUGUGAUGUUAUGUGUGGGUCAUAAGCAUGAUUUCGAAAAAUUGCAUUUCAUUAUUUUGAAAAUUGAAAGAUUAAUGGAAUGCUUAGUGAAUAAACGGGAUACGGUGGGCCGGUAUCCGAUUAAGAUGAAAUACAUGGUUUGAUUCCACAAUAGAACGGGCUCGAAACGCUUUAUAGUUUAUUGCUAGGCACAGAUGUUAGUGCUUAGUGAAUAAACGGGAUACGGUGGGCCGGUAUCCAACUAGGAUGAAAUACGUGGUUUUAUAAAACGGGCUCGAAACGCUUUAUAGUUUAUUGCUAGGUACAGAAAUUAAUCUUUCACGGAUCCGAUAAACGAAAAAUGAUUUUUACACGAUUUUCAUAAAACGUGCAUUUUAGUCAUUUUGCAUAAGUGUUUAUGUGUGAAUAUGUGUUUUCGUGAACCAUGUGGUUAACAGUUUGUGUUGUGUUGUUUGGAAUGUGAGUAUGGAUAACUAUAUAUAUUAUAUAUUAUAUAUAACGUAUUUUCAAAGUUUGAUAUUUCAUCGGAUUUCUUACUGAGCUUUAUAGCUCAUAUAGAUGCCUUUUAAUUGCAGGUAAUAGUGUUAGUAACCCUCCACCGGAAUGGAUCGAGUAGCGGAUCGAGGUCUUGCCCGGGAUUUUUGGAAGUUGUACGAGGACCUAUGAACGAUGCUAAAGAAUUUUGGUUUUUUGGUGAUAUAAUAGUAAAUUUAAGUAUUUCCCUUUUUGAUCUUUCGAACUCGAACCCGGUAUGGAUUGUACUUGACUUUUGUUACAAAGUAGUCCUUUUAAUAAAUUUGUUAUUAUCACGUCUCACUAGUGGUUUUCAAAAUAUUCACCAAAAUACCUUUUCAAAACUCUGAUUUCUUUUCGAACCAAAAUCGAUAGCUUGAUAGUGUAGCACUCGAACAAUAAUCCUCCUAAGAAAGUUUUUGAAAAUCACAAAAAGGUUUUUAAAUGUUCUAAAGAAGAGAUUUUUAAUAAUUUCAUUUUAGUCCCAUUCCAAAGUUUUAAAAAUUACAAAGAGAUCCUUUUGCUUCUGCUAGAAAAAUGAAUAUUCCGAUAAACUGGUUCGAUUUAUCGCCCGAUAAGAAGGGGGGUGCUACAAAAAAGGUACGAUAAAGUGUAAAAAUAUACACUUAACAACACUGAAAAAGUGUUUUGCAUACUGUUCGAUAUUUCCUAAGGGAUUUAACUUGGAAAGGGAAAAAUUCGUCGAACUUUGGAUGGCAGAGGGCUUUCUUGAAGGAACUGAUAUGGAGAUUGUGGGCAACAAUUUCCUUAAUAUUUUCUUACAAAACUCCUUGUUGUUAGAAGUUGUGGGGCGAAACGACUAUUAUGGCUAUAUAAUGUAUUAUAACAUGCACGAUCUUGUGCAUGAUCUAGCAUCGUCUAUUUUAAAUUCAAGCGAGCAAGUUCGGUACAUAGGCCUGCAAUCAUCUACUAGCGGUGAAUCGCGUGCUAUCCUAAAUGAACAAGCAAUUUCUCUUCGUUCACUAUUGUCCAAUGAUAAAAUAUGCGUUUGCAUGUUCUCGGAGUUCAAAUCGUUGCAUGUUUUAAUUCUAAUGGGCAAUUGCGUUGAAGAGUUGCCAAGUUCGAUCGGAGUGCUAAUACACUUGAGAUGUCUUGAUAUUUCAGGCAUAAGAAUUAAAUAUUUGCCGGAAUCUGUCACCGAACUUUAUCACUUGCAGACGUUAAGAGCAUGUCACGAUUUGAAGAAGCUACCGAAUACAUUGGAGCACUUAAUGAGCUUGAGACAUCUUCACGUUCCUCGAAUAGAACUGCAUCCGGGGAUGGGAAGAUUAAUUUCUCUUCGAACAAUACAGUACUUUGGAGUGAGCAAUGAAAACGGUUGUGGAAUUGACGAGCUCGGAAGCUUGAAAAAUCUCCAAGGGGAACUGCAGAUUUAUAAUCUCGAAAAGGUGUGUGGCAAAGAAAUGACUAAGAGAGCGGAUUUAUUACGAAAGCCAAACAUAGUGAAGUUAAAUCUUGAGUGGAGUAUUGAAAAUAGAAAAGGUGAAAACGGCGACGAGAGUGUGUUGGAAGGCCUCGAACCCCACCCGAAUCUAAAGGGCUUAUACAUUUGGGGAUUCGGAGGGAGACGUUUGCCACCAUGGUGUUCAACGAUGUCGGGACUUAAUAAUUUGACAAAGAUAACACUUGAAGAUUGCACGGAUUGCGAACAAGUUCCGACGCUAGGGCACUUGCCGAAUUUGAAGAAUCUUUAUCUGAUUAACCUGGAGAAUGUGAAAUCCAUAGGUUCGUCGUUCUACGGAAUCGACAAAUGCAGCACAUCCGGUACUACAAUUACCGCAUUCCCGGCACUCGAAAGGCUCGAGUUGGUAUAAAUGUGGGAGCUGACAGAGUGGUUUGAAGCAGAGCUGGUGCCAAAUACAACCGAGAAUCGACGGCCAUCUCAAAUGAUGAUGGUAUUUCCUCGCCUCGAUCGAGUAAUUGAAGAUCAACAGCUGCAGGCAAUUGACGAGUGCUCCGAGUCACUUCCAUGCCUUAAAGUCCAUGCCUUAAAGAAUUGCAGAUUUCUCACGUGGACAGUGGAGUACCUCUGGCAAGUAUAUGCAGGCGACUAGUCUCGCUUACGACACUCGAUAUUGAAGGAAUUGAGGGAUUGACGUGUCUCCCCCAUUGGUUGUUCCGUAACAAUCCAAAUCUCUCGCAGGUGUAUGUGGGCUCCCAACUUAACGCAUCUCUAAACAGAGAGCCGACGUGGGCGCCUCUUUAAUCGGAGAACAACGGAACUGUUUUGUGUGUUGUGUUUGCAGUCUUAGCUGAUGAAGCGCCACCCGAACCGAACAAAUGGCCUAACGAUACGGCCGGUGUUUGUGCCGAUGAAUUGAUGUUCGUUUUAUUGUCUUUAAUUUUUGCCUACUAAAUUUCUUGUUAUGUGUUUCGAAAAAGAUCCAACCUUCCUCUUCCAAAUCCCUAGAAUUCAAUCAGCAAAAGGCCAAAAAAUUAAGCGUGUGCGCGGGUCAUAAACUUGCGGGUUCCAGCAAAACCCACUCUCGUUACGUCAACCAACGGUUCUUGAUUUUAAGAACCAAACUUGUUGGUUUUCGACCGAUUCAUGAUAGACGGGGUCCAUGACGGGUUUAUAGUAGGACCCAAUCUUCCGAACCGGCCCAUGGCCAGGGCCGGCUCAACCACUAGGCCAAUUAGGCAAUUGCCUAGGGCCCCACAUUAAGUGGGGGCCCACCUGUACAUUUUUUUUUAAUUUUUAUUUAAUACUUAUUAUAUAUUAUAUAAAAAAUUUGUAUACAUUAGACAUUAAUUUUUUAUAUUAUAAACUUUAUAUUUAUUGUAGGCCCCUCAAUUAAUUAAUAUAAUAGACAAUUAAUAAUAUAUGUUUAUUUGAUUAUGUGGGUCCUCGGUUACUUUAACUAAAAUAUUAUCACUCAAUCAUUAUCCCCAUUUCUUUCCACUUGACUUCAAUAGGUGAAAAUGUGUUGUGUUAUAACCUUUUCCUUAUUUUUUUGCCUUUCAUUGAUUUUUAUACUAUUUUUUUUGGUAGACACAUUUGAUUUUUAUUUUAUUUUUCACUUUUCUUUUAUGAUUUAUUAAAAAAAAAUUAUACAAAAUAAAACAUAUGUAUAUAAUAUUAGAGCCCAAGUUUUGCUUCGCCCAACCCCCAAUAUCCUAAGAUCGACCUUAAUGUGAUGAAAAAAAUCAAACUACUAAAAAUAAACAUUUUUUUGUUAGUUAAUUACUUAAUUAUACUAUAAACACCCUAAAAUUUCUACUUGUUACUAAAAUUUCACUCGUUUUUCUAAUAUUGAAUUAAAAUUUAUCAAUUUCAAUUUUUUUAUUUGUUCUAUUAUUUAAAAAAAUAUUGUUGAUGAAUUUGAAUUUGUUUAUGUAAAUAUUUUUACAAAAACCGCAACCUUGUGAAUUUACUUGUGCGCUAAUACAAAAUUUUCUGGUCCUACAAUAAAGAAUAUUUUCAUUUACUAUUGUAGUUUGGUAAAAUUUAUUUUUGUUUUAUAUUAUUCUUUUUGCAUUAAUUAAUGCAUUGCAUCAAUAAAAAAAUAAAAACUAUAUUUUAAUUAUAGGGCCCAAUAUUUUCGCUCCGCCUAGGGCCCCCAGCAUGCUAGAGCCGGCCCAGCCCAUGGCCAUGUCUAAACCCCUCCCCCAACCUAAAACCAAAAACUAAAAUCGAACACCUUAAUAUUGUACAUCCACUGCCGCACAUCGAAGAGCCACCAUUUACGAGUAACUAAAAUCGUCUCCGAUGGCAGCCGUGGAUAUGGCCGCCAUGAGGGAGGUUGUUAUGGCAGCAGCCGUGGUGGAGGCGGUUACGGUGGUGGCCGUGGCCGUGGCGGUUCUGAAGGAAACUUCAAAUUUAGUUGUAUUUUUGUAGUAAUUUCGUGUUCAAGCUUUCAGUUCCCGUUUUUGGUUUGGUUUUCAUGGCUACUCUAUUUUUUAUCGUUUGUUAUGAAGUUUUCCAUGUACGAAGCAGUGUUUACAGAGUUCUAAAGAAAAAAAAAAUGAGUUAAUUUGGAGAAAGAUGGUUUUUCUGGAAGUGCUAAGGACUGAAUUGAAAGUUUUGAAAAACUUCAUUUUGGGGUUUAAUUUUUCUGGGGUGAAUUUGUAAUUUCUGAAAUUUAUAAUUGAAAUUAGGGGUGAGAAAAAAAAAACCGAGGAACCGAACCGAAAACUGACAAACCGAACCGAAUUGCACCGGACCAAAGCAUAAACCGCAUACUUGGUUUUCAAUUGUAUGCGAACCGAAAAUUUCGGUUCGUAUUCAGUUUUCCAAGUAGGAAACCGAACCGACAUCAAUACGACGUCGUUUCAUUAAAUAUAUAUAUAUAUAUAUUUUUACUUGAAUGAAUUUCAUUGAUUUUUGGGCAUGUUUUGGGCCUACAUUUGGACUUGUUUUUUAUUGAUUUUUUUUUAUUUCUGAAUUUUGAGUUGAUUUAUUGACGUUUUUUUGCUGAUUUUCGGGUCCAAAUGAGCCCAAAACCGAACCGAAAACCGAACCAUUAUUGAAACCGAACCGAGAAUUUUAUGAACCGAGAAGGAACCGAACCGAAACCGAUCGGAACUGAACCGCAAGAAACCGAUCGGUUUGGUUUUUGGUUCUUUAGGAACCGAACACUUCGGUUCCGGUUCCGGUUUGUGCCUAAAACCGAACCGAACCGACCCGUUCUCACCCCUAAUUGAAAUGAUAUUUUGGUCUUUCCAGGAUAAAAAAUGGGGCAAUUUGCUAUAGAUCCUCCUAUAAGAGAUUAUAUGUGUUAAAAUCCAUCUAAUAAACUCUAAUUUUCAGCAGAUUUUAUUAUUUGUAUUUAUCAAAAGUACUCCUGUCAAUAUAUGGUAAAAUAAAUCCUCAAAAUCAAAUCCCCUAUUUUUCUCCCUAUUAUACUGCAAAUCCAAAAACUAGAAUUGCAAAUCUCUUGAUAUCGAUUUCUUCCUUGUUUCUUCAAAACCAAAAUCUCCACAAAUUCUGAAGCCUUCCAUAGGUUUUGGGUGUCUGAGCGUUUGCAUUUUACAAAGUCGUUUGCAGUUUGCCUUCAUUCCGUUUUCCUUCGUUCGAUUUGUUGUGUCCCAAUUUGCCUUUGUGCCGUUUGCUGUUUAGAAAUUGUUUGUAAAAUGCAAAUAGCAAACUAAUAAUUAAAACUUUCAUUAUUGAAUUUAAAACAACAAAUUACCUAUGAAUUCGCCCAAUGCAAACAGAAAACUGAACAAGUAAAAAAAUCAGCAUUAUCUAAUUACAAACAAUAAAAUGAAAAUAUGAUAUGCAAUAUCUAAAUGUAAAUAAUAAAAAUAAAAAUACAAAAAAAAAAUAUCAUACAUAUCAUCAAAAUGCAAAAAACAACAAUAAAAUUAUAAAAAAUAUUCUAUUAAUGCAAAAAUUGCAAUUUGGAGUUUGCAACAAAAUAUACUGUUAUCGGUUGUAUUUUGCAGUUUAUGUUUAAUGUUGCAAUUUGAUUUUGCUGUUUCAUUUUUUUGUUUUUUGCUAUUUAUUGAACCAAAAUCAAUUGAAAAUACAGACGUACAUUAUAAACUCACUGCAGAUAAAUACAAAACGAGAAAAAAAAUUCACUUUGUGCAAGCAAAGAGCGAUUUAUGUUUGUUGUCCGCUUUUAACUCUUUCACCGAAAAAUCAUCUAAUAAUGUGAAGCUCCCAUUUUUUUUUUCUUCCCUACAACAUAAUCCAAAAGAAUUCGAAUUCCAAAGGGAAAAGAAAUCGAACAGAUGUAAUCGAGAAAGGGUAUAGAGAAAGAAAGAAGUUGAUCGGAAAAAAAAAAAUCGAAAAGGUGUUGAUCGAAAAGAAAAAAAAAGUCAGAAGAAAAAAGCAAGAGACACGAGAUGGAGAGGAAGAGAAAGAUGAUAAAUUAUAUAGGAAAAAAAUACGUAAGAUUGGAGAGAUACGUAAGAUUGGAGAGAGAGGGAGUGAUAUAUGAGAUUUUUUUUCUUAUUAAUUGAGAGUGUUUAUGUCCAUAUACUAAUUGUUUUAUUUUAUUUAUAUUAUUUUUUUUGUCAUAAAUGACCUAUGCCUAUAUUCAUCUAGCAACUAAGAUUUCUACCUAUAUAAGUGCAGAAUAAGAGGUGUCUAACCAAUUCCCCCAUAAAAAAUACACACACCAGGCUUAAAAUCCGCACGUACAACACACAAUAAGCUGUCAAGGUCCUAAUUGCCUUUGACUAAUUUUCAUAGGGAUUUUUGCUAAAAUCAUUUUAAAACGAGGUUUUUUUCGGCCAUUCGAUAUUAUACAGGGAUAAUUUUUGCAGAAAAAAACCCUGAAAACAACUUAUAUAUGCAUAAAUAUCAUACUCAUAUCUAGAAUUCAAUAAACUAGAGAUUUAAGGUGGAUUCACAACUAGCAAUAACCUUAAAAGGAAAUUUUCCAUGAAUAGUAAAUCCAUCACCUUCACACAUAUCCGGAUCUUCUCUGCUCACGCCACCUGGCAUUUCAAAUCCGAAAUUUAAAACAACAUUCACAAGAACAAGCUCCACAACUCCCAUGGCGAACGCACCCCUAGGGCACCCCCUUCGCCCCCUUCAAACGGAAUUAACUCAAGCAUAACGUUCAAAACGCGUUAAAGUUUAUGGGGCUAAAGUCAUUUAACCCUUUUAGUUUUGCAUUUUGUAGUUUCAAAAGGAUUAAUGAAUAUAAAAAAAUAAUUUGGCAUUUGGCAUCCUAAAAAGAUACCAAUAAAAAUAUCAAAUUACCUUCAUUCUUUAAAAAAAAUAUUCGGGGUGCAUUACGCAUGAUUCAUUGUGCUUCGAGGAUGCAAACUGCUAUUAAAAAAAUUUCGAGGGUGCAAAGUGCAUAAAGGCUAUAUUUCAAGGGUGCAAAGUGUGAUUAAACCAUAAUUUUAUUGGACCUCUCAAGAUUGAAUUCUUAAGGCCCCGUUUGGUUGCCAAGAUAAGCCAUAAUUAACUAAAUAGUUGGACUUAAUUUGGUGUUUGGUAUCCUCAAUAAUUUACCGGGUCGACCCGCCAAAAUUAUAUAAUCAUGGCUUAUCUUGCCUUAUCUUGACUUAUCUUGCCUUUUAAUGAGUUUUUUUGUUGGACCUUUCAAGCUCAAAUAAAAUAAUUGGGUCUCAUUAGAUUAUUUAAUCUUAUCUUGGCUAAUCUUAUCUUACCAACCAAACGGGGCCUAAGUGUAUUAAAUUUUUUAUGUACUUUCAUCCCUUGACCUAUUAAUUUCAAAUAUAUAUAUAUAUAUAUAUAUAUAUAUAUAUAUAUAUAGAUAAACCAGUGUUUUAAAAUCGGUCGACGCGGCCGAUUAAUCGGUCUCCGAGGCAGAGGCGGUCUAUAACCUUUACGAUUUUAAUGUAAUGGCUUGAAAAUCGGUUUUUGACUGCGAGGCGGUCUAAGGCAGGUCAAAUUUUGGUGGCAAAAAAUGGUCAAAAAUCAUUUUUUUUGUUUUUAAAGGGGGUUUAUUAGGGAUAACCCCCUUGUUCAUAUUUUCUAAUGAGGUAGAUCCAAUUUUUUUUCCCCUUUUUGAGAUACACCCAAUUUUGCCAACUUGGCAAAAUAUAUUAUAUAAUUUUCCUUUAAUACCCCUGUUUUAUUUUUAAACGGCAUUUAUUUCAUUUACUACGUGAUUUGAGAUUUGCUGAUACGUUGCCUAAAAUCACGGAAUAAAAUUACGUGAGAUCAUUGGCCGUUAUAUCAAAUCGUGUACAAUAUUUUUCGAAGGUUCUCUUCAGUGUUCCAGCGGUUUUUUAUCGUCUUUGAAGAUUUCUGCACCGUCGUUGAAAUAGGAUCGAAUUUGAGCGUUCGUUGUUGGACGUUGUUAACCGGGUAUGAAUGCGUUAUUCGUUUUUAUUUUUCGCUCAAUGUCUAGGAUUGUCGAUUACGGUGGUUAGAAAUUUUUAAGAGUUGUGUUGAUACUUGAUUCUAUUAAGUAGAACGUUUUUUAACAAAAUUAUUCCGUCAUAUAUACAUCGUUAUUUUUGGCGGAUGAUGUUUGUUUGGAAGAUGAUUGACAGAGUUAGAUGAGGAUGGUUCACGCAUAUCGGACCAGAGUUAUUUUAUAUGAACAUCGUAGUUGGUUUACGCAUUAAUUGAAAUAACUGUCCGCUGUCGUGGAGUUCAUGAGUCUGAUCCCGGUCGAUAGUUAGUUUAUUUGUUUAUAACAGCGGAUUUUAGGACGCUGGGUAGUACAUUAAAAUAUAUUUCGUAGUAUUUUUUAAGUUAUCGUAUGAAUUUUGCAUUUUAAGUUUAUUUUUGAUCAUAUUAAUAUAUUUUUUAGUAUUCUGCAUUUUUAAUGUCGUAUCAUAUUAAUAUAUACAUCGUUAUUUUUGGCGGAUGAUGUUUGUUUGGAAGAGGAUUGACAGAGUUAGAAGAGGAUGGUUCACGCAGAUCGGACCAGAGUUGUUUUAUAUGAGUUUCGUAGUUGGUUUGUGCAAUAAUCGGAAUAAUUGUCCGCUGUGGUCGAGUUCAUGUUUUUGAUCCCGAUCGAUAGUUGGUUUAUUUGUUUAUAACAGCCGAUUUAAGUGUGCUGGGUAGUACAUUAAAAUAUAGUUCGUAGUCUUUUUUAAAUUAGCGUAUGGAUUUUGCAUUUUAAGUUUAUUUUUGAUGAUAUUAAUGUAUUGUCAUUCAAAUGUUUUUGCAGUCUAUUUAAUCAUUUUUUAGUAUUCUGCAUUUUUAAUUUUGUUUCAUGAUUUUAGGUUUUUUCGAUGGCGAAUUUCGUACGGAUUUUGUUGAGGUUUGGUGGGUUGGUUGCUAUAAAGAGGUGUUUACGAUGUAAUGGCUCGGUAACUUUGGUUAAGUUUUAAACCGUUGUAAUAAAGUAGUAUACUAUUAUGAAUACCGUAUGAUACUACCAUUAUCAUUUUAUUAUACUAUUAUGAGAUUAUUAAUGUACUAGAGUUUUAACUCGACAUAUUGGUUUGAUUGUGUUAUGAUGUCUUUUAUGUAUUUUAUCAAAACCCUAGAUUGAAAUUAUGAGAUUAUUAAUGUACUAUUUUAUUGGUUAUGUUGGAAUACUUUACGUUGGUGUUGUUCUCAAUGUUCUUGUCAUUUCAGUGGUAUAUUGUUUGUAACACAAUUCAUAUCACUACUAUAAUCGUAAUAUACUAUCAUAGCAGAUCAAUGUACUAUAUUGAAAUUAUUAAUAUACUAUGUGGUUGAAUAAUACGGGAUCCAUAGUCGAUUAACGAGAUCCAUAGUCGAAUUAGAUCAAUAAGAUAGUCUAUUACAUGAUAUAAGGAAAAUUACCCUAAUUGAUUAGUAUUUCAAACAAACAUAUUAUUCAGUUUCCAUAUAUAUUAUUAUUUUUUCAUAUAUAUUAUUAUUUACCUUAAUCGUUUUCAUAUAAUAAAGAAAAUUACCCUAAUUGAUUAGUAUUUCAAACAAACAUAUUAUUCAGUUUCCAUAUAUAUUAUUAUUUUUCCAAUAGUCAAUUAACUAAACCCAUAGUCGAAUUAGAUACAUGGGAUAGUCUAUUAAAAGAAAUGAGAUAGUCUAUUAAUUUUAAAACACAAAUCCGCCGCCGUCACUUCUCAAAUCUAGGGUUUUGAUGAUUCUUCGGCCCAUAGUCGAUUAACGAGAUCCAUAGUAAAAUUAUACCAGUGGGAUAGUCUAUUAAAUGAUAUGCGAUAGUAUAUUAAUACAGAUGUAAUUCGACUAUGCAUCUCGUUAAUCAACUAUGGGCCGAAGAAUUAUCAAAACCCUAGAUUUGAGUAAUCCUAGAUUUGAGUAACCCUAGAUUGGAGCAGUGACGGCGACGGCGGCGGCCAACGACGAUAUCACUUCUGGUGGAUGUCGUGCCCAUCAAUUGUUGCAAUAUCACUGAAAGGGUCUAUUAGAUAUAACCCCCUUAAACAUUCAAAUAAUAGGGGUAGACCCAAAUUUAUAUUUGCCAUUUUGAUAACAGCCCAAACUUUUCCUAAUUACAUAAUUACCCUCAAUCAAAUCCCACAAAACCCGUUACUUUACCUUUUGAAAUAAAAUCAAAUCCCUUCCUAUUUUCCCGUUAAAUCACUAUCAUCCCAAACCCACUAUCGAAUAAACUGCAAAACCUCCCAGAACAACUUCCCGGUACGGCCGAUUGAAAGGGGAAGACGUCUGCACUGCCGUGAAACGACGAUUUUCGUGCACUCCGAGCAAGCUGUCGUAGGUACGUCGUCGCCACUCGCUGAAUCGCUAUCAUCCAUUGAUUUGUUGAUAUGUUUUGGCUAAAUCGACUAUCACGUUUGUGUAAUUGCAGAUCUGUUAUAAUCGCAUACCGAAUUCGAGCACUAAAUCAGUGAUAUUGCAACAAUUGAUGGGCAGGACAUCUGUUGAGUGUAGAUAUUACACUCAAUACGUUUACUUUACGUGGAUCUUUUGUUUAGAUUUAAUUAUAUUUGUGCUUUAAUUGAUUGAUUUUGUGUUUUAUAGGUGAAAAACGAGAAUAGGUGUCCAUGAAGGAAAAAAAAUCAAAAAGAAAGGAAAAAAGUUGCAAAUAAGGAAACAAAUCAAAUUGGAAGAAGGAAUCCCGCCACAGCUUUGACAGUGUCCACUAUUUCAAGCAUAUCUCUCUCAUACGAACUCCGAAUUAGGUGAUUUUGACAGCAUUGGAAAGCUAAUUUCAAGGGCUACAAUUCUUAUUUACACAAUAUUCCAAAAUUCGGACUCCAACAUGGAAAAUAUCGACGAACAAAUCCUGGUGGGGGAAAGUGACGGAAAUUUAUUCCUAUUAGGUUUCCACUACUUCCUUAUCAAGAAAAGCCUAUAAAAGCAACAAGUCUAUACACCAUAAGCACGAAAUUUUACACCACAAACCGCGAAGAACGAAGAUCAACGAAGACUCAAGCAUAGUUUUUCUUAUUUAUUUUAUUUGUUCUAUUUUGCUUAUCAUAAGAAUUACGAGUAGCUAAGUUUUUAAUCUAGGAUUUUGUUGGAACCCUAUGUGGGGAUGGUGAACCCGUUUUCUUGAGAUUAUGCAAUUAUGAUUUUAUGAUUAUUUCUUCUACUUGUUAUGAUUGUUAGUGCAUGAACUUGAUCAAUUUAUGUGUUUUAUCUGUGAUUAUUGGGAUUGACUCGGCAGAGGUAUUUUGAUAAUUAGACGGUAAGUAAAAGAACCUUCGAGUAGUUUUCACCGGAUGAGUGUGUUAAUUGCAUGUGGUAUCGUAGACAUACAGAUAUUCACCUUAGGUAAUCAUUGUUGGGACUUAUUCUUUAAUGCUUUAUUCAUGAUCGGAUUGCAUAGACAUAUAGUAAUUUGGUUUUGGAUAAUAGAAUUAUAAUACACGCGACAGCGGGUUAUAAUUAAUAUAGUGACUCGGGUUAAUAAUCAUGAAUCAUAUAUUUCAUAAUUGAGGGGUUUUGGGUGAGCAAUUCUUGCAUAGGGGGGAGAUAAAAUCCUAGGUCCUUUUUUAUUGAUAUUUUCUCGUAUUUAUUUGCUUUCUUAAUUAGUUUAAUUUAUUUAGUUGAUUAAAUUUGACAAUCUUGCGUAGGCUGGAUAAAAAUCAUAGUUGUUAGAAUUUGGUACUUAGGAUUAGAUAAUUUGAGUAUUCCAUGUGGGAUCGACAUCCGACUCUCACGAGUCCAUUUUUACUACUUGUUUGCGAUACGUGCACUUGCGUGUUAGGUAUUUAGCAGCCCAACAAGUUUUUGGCGCCGUUGCCGGGGAAUACGGCUAAAUUAUCUAUUUAUUCUAAUAUCAAAUUUGAGUAUUUUUUCUUACUUCAGCCAUUUAAUUUUUAUUUUUAUUUUUAUUUUUUGUUGUUUUUGUUUCAUGUCUGGUUACAAUGUUCGGGCACCUCAAACGGGAUAUGAAUGGCUUCCAUCUGACGAAUACCUCCAAAACACCUAUGAUAUGCCUCCGUUUUGUUCAGCAUGUGGUGGAAAUCAUUAUUCCGAUCAAUGUUGGGUAUCACCAACAGCGACGAAUUUCGACGAAAUUACCAACGGAGGUUAUUGGAACACUUACACCAACGACACAUACGAGCAAAGAUUUCAAGACCAAGAUUUGAACGAGUUUCAACAUAGAGAGCCACAAUUUGAUGAUUUUCAAAAUUAUUAUCCAAUGCAGCAGCAGCAGACCACUGAUGAACAAGUUGAUUUGGUAUCCCUCAUUGCCGAAUUCAUGAAGUCCACUCAAGCAUCAUUUCAAAACAUGGAGAUACAACUGGAAGAGAUGACGCUCAAAUUAAAAUCUGAAUCUCUUGAAAAUAUUCCAGACGAAAUCGGCAAUGGUUAUAUCAAAGAAAAUUCGGGUGAAGCCUGCGGUGAGAAAAAUCUUCUAUGUCCGGAAAAUAGUGUCGAUGUGAGAGGAAUAGAAAUUACGAAGACACUUGAGCAUGAUGAAUCUGAGAAGGCAAUCGAGCUAAACCACGAAGAUGCCUCAGAACAAAAGAAGAAGGACAUGGAUGUAAUGAUUGAAGAUAUUCUAGUUGUGGGCUCUGUCGUUGAUCUAAAUGUGGAUUUGAAGGCAUCAAUAGUGGUUGAUGAGAAGACUAAUAUUUUUGAGGUGGAGGUUAUACGCAGACUGGAGAUUUUUGUAUACCGAUUUGAGGGAGCGGGUGAUGAAGAUCCCAUCUUGGCUUCGUACCGAUUGAUUACAACCAAAAAAGACUACAAGUUAAGGUGGACCGUGAUAUAUUGCAUUGCUAUCCAUGCCGUGGUUGCAAUUGAAGUGAUAGAGCUCAUGGAUGGGUGCGCAAUCUACAAGGCUUUGGAUUGGACAUAACAAUUUCAAGAAGCAAAGUCUGGCUGAAGACUUAUAAUUUAGCGCUUCUCGGGAGGCAACCCGAGCUUUACUGUUUUUCAUAUUUUUCUUUAAUUUUAUGUUUUAUUUUUAUUUUCAUAGGCAUGCAUUCUAAUUAAUUUAUUUGAUUUCUUAUUUUUAAGGUCGGAAUUGCGAUCGGGACAGUCAUCCGAGAGACAUAGAGGGCAUCUUCGCAAGAGGAAAAUCAGAUUUCUUUCCCACAAAUUCUCACACCCCGAAGACAACGAUUCCGACUAAAUCAGGUGUUUUCUAUCCUUAUACUUUGUGCUAAUUUCGUUGAGGGCAACGAAAAUUUUAAGUUUGGGGGUGAAAAAAACAUGUUUUUUUGUGCUCAUUUGUUUUAGUUUGCAUGCAUUAGGUUUUAUUUAUUUUUAUCGUUUUUUUUCCGGAAUAAAAAAAAAAAAAAAAAAAAAAUUGCUUGAGUCGAAUGCAUCGAUGAGUUAUAAUGAUGAGAGAUGAUCAAUGUUUAAUGAUGAGAUUGCUUGUUUUGUUUUGAUAAGGAUUAGAUAUUUGUUUAGCUUUUGAUUCAACGGAACGUAUAAGCGAAUUAUUGCUAGGAAUCACACCUUGUGCAUUGCUUUGGUUGAAUGUUUUGUAUUUUAAAUUUGGAAUUUAUUUGUGCUAAAUCAUGCUUUGUUCGGUUUUAAAACUCACCUUAGGAAAUUUAUGAUACGAAGUAUUGAGUAGUGAGUGAUUUGGGAUAUGAUUUGGGCCUUCUUUGAACCGUUUGAGCCUUUCAAGCCGACCUUUUUAUCGAAAUUAUCAUUAGAACCUUGAUUUGAGCCUCGGAGAAAAGGUGUUCUUUCUUUUAGCCAAUGUGUAUAAGGUAGAAAAGUGGAGAUUUUUGAAAAAUUAACCCUUGGAGUUCGGUCGAAAAAUUUUAUAAGGUCCUUCUUCUUCGAAAAAAAAAAGACAAAUAUAUAUGCUUCUAUAUAUAUAAAAAAAAAGAAAAAAAGAAAAAAAAAGAAAAAAAAAAAAGAGAAAAAGAAAAGAAAAAGAAGAAGAAUAAGAGACUAGAAGGGAGAAUUAAGGACUAGUUGUUGAAUUAUUUUGAAAGCUCGAUCCAUUGUCUUAAGAGCAAAAGUGGAGACUUUUGAACUCUUAAGAAUGAGUUUCUUAAAGUCCUUAGAGGUGAAUUCAUUGUUUCAAACGCCUAUCUUUCAAAUUUUGGCGUAAUCACCUCAAUUCAAGAAUAAUAGCCACAUAUACCCAUAUUUCCUACCCCGAACCAAAUAGCCUAACAAUUGAAAGCCAAAAAGCCCCAAUGAUCCCAAUAGCUUAAUGUUCGAUAUUAGUAGAGUAUAAUAUUUUGGUGAGUAUUUGGAGUCAAACAUAUACAUGUAAGCAUAACUUUUUUCUAUCUUUAAUUUACAAAUAUUGGAUGCUUGAAGCAAUUGCAUGAUUUGUAAUUUUUGGCUAUGGUAAGUGACUAAGUGCUUUUGAAUUUUGAGCUUGCGAAUGACUAAGAAUUUUCAUUAUAAUUACAAGUUCUGAAAACGUGAAGUUGGUCAUUAGUCUAUGUGAUGAGAUGCGGUAGUUGAGUUUUUUUGCUUACGAUUAGAUUUUGCUUGAGGACAAGCAAAAGUUCAAGUUUGGGGGUGUGUUGAGUGUAGAUAUUACACUCAAUACGUUUACUUUACGUGGAUCUUUUGUUUAGAUUUAAUUAUAUUUAUGCUUUAAUUGAUUGAUUUUGUGUUUUAUAGGUGAAAAACGAGAAUUAGGUGUCCAUGAAGGAAAAAAGAUCAAAAAGAAAGGAAAAAAGUUGCAAAUAAGGAAACAAAUCAAAUUGGAAGAAGGAAUCCCGCCACAGCUUUGACAGUGUCCACUAUUUCAAGCAUAUCUCUCUCAUACGAACUCCGAAUUAGGUGAUUUUGACGGCAUUGGAAAGCUAAUUUCAAGGGCUACAAUUCUUAUUUACACAAUAUUCCAAAAUUCGGACUCCAACAUGGAACAAAUCGACGAACAAAUCCUGGUGGGGGAAAGUGACGGAAAUUGAUUCCUAUUAGGUUUCCACUACUUCCUUAUCAAGAAAAGCCUAUAAAAGCAACAAGUCUAUACACCAUAAGCACGAAAUUUUACACCACAAACCGCGAAGAACGAAGAUCAACGAAGACUCAAGCAUAGUUUUUCUUAUUUAUUUUAUUUAUUCUAUUUUGCUUAUCAUAAGAAUUACGAGUAGCUAAGUUUUUAAUUUAGGAUUUUGUUGGAACCCUAUGUGGGGAUGGUGAACCCGUUUUCUUGAGAUUAUGCAAUUAUGAUUUUAUGAUUAUUUCUUCUACUUGUUAUGAUUGUUAGUGCAUGAACUUGAUCAAUUUAUGUGCUUUAUCUGUGAUUAUUGGGAUUGACUCGACAGAGCUAUUUUGAUAAUUAGACGGUAAGUAAAAGAACCUUCGAGUAGUUUUCACCGGAUGAGUGUGUUAAUUGCAUGCGGUAUCGUAGACAUACAGAUAUUCACCUUAGGUAAUCAUUGUUGGGACUUAUUCUUUAAUGCUUUAUUCAUGAUCGGAUUGCAUAGACAUAUAGUAAUUUGGUUUUGGAUAAUAGAAUUAUAAUACAUGCGACAGCGGGUUAUAAUUAAUAUAGUGUCUCAGGUUAAUAAUCAUGAAUCAUAUAUUUCAUAAUUGAGGGGUUUUGGGUGAGCAAUUCUUGCAUAGGGGGGAGAUAAAAUCCUAGGUCCUUUUUUAUUGAUAUUUUCUCGUAUUUAUUUGCUUUCUUAAUUAGUUUAAUUUAUUUAGUUGAUUAAAUUUGACAAUCUUGCGUAGGCUGGAUAAAAAUCAUAGUUGUUAGAAUUUGGUACUUAGGAUUAGAUAAUUUGAGUAUUCCCUGUGGGAUCGACAUCCGACUCUCACGAGUCCACUUUUACUACUUGUUUGCGAUACGUGCACUUGCGUGUUAGGUAUUUAGCAGCCCAACAACAUCCACCAGAAGUGAUAUCGUCGUUGGCCGCCGCCGUCGCCGUCGCCGUCACUGUUCUAAUCUAGGGUUACUCAAAUCUAGGAUUACUCAAAUCUAGGGUUUUGAUAAUUCUUCGGCCCAUAGUUGAUUAACGAGAUGCAUAGUCGAAUUACAUCUGUAUUAAUAUACUAUCCCAUAUCAUUUAAUAGACUAUCCCACUGGUAUAAUUUUACUAUGGAUCUCGUUAAUCGACUAUGGGCCGAAGAAUCAUCAAAACCCUAGAUUUGAGAAGUGACGGCGGCGGAUUUGUGUUUUAAAAUUAAUAGACUAUCUCAUUUCUUUUAAUAGACUAUCCCAUGUAUCUAAUUCGACUAUGGGUUUAGUUAAUUGACUAUUGGAAAAAUAAUAAUAUAUAUGGAAACUGAAUAAUAUGUUUGUUUGAAAUACUAAUCAAUUAGGGUAAUUUUCUUUAUUAUAUGAAAACGAUUAAGGUAAAUAAUAAUAUAUAUGAAAAAAUAAUAAUAUAUAUGGAAACUGAAUAAUAUGUUUGUUUGAAAUACUAAUCAAUUAGGGUAAUUUUCCUUAUAUCAUGUAAUAGACUAUCUUAUUGAUCUAAUUCGACUAUGGAUCUCGUUAAUCGACUAUGGAUCCCGUAUUAUUCAACCACAUAGUAUAUUAAUAAUUUCAAUAUAGUACAUUGAUCUGCUAUGAUAGUAUAUUACGAUUAUAGUAGUGAUAUGAAUUGUGUUACAAACAAUAUACCACUGAAAUGACAAGAACAUUGAGAACAACACCAACGUAAAGUAUUCCAACAUAACCAAUAAAAUAGUACAUUAAUAAUCUCAUAAUUUCAAUCUAGGGUUUUGAUAAAAUACAUAAAAGACAUCAUAACACAAUCAAACCAAUAUGUCGAGUUAAAACUCUAGUACAUUAAUAAUCUCAUAAUAGUAUAAUAAAAUGAUAAUGGUAGUAUCAUACGGUAUUCAUAAUAGUAUACUACUUUAUUACAACGGUUUAAAACUUAACCAAAGUUACCGAGCCAUUACAUCGUAAACACCUCUUUAUAGCAACCAACCCACCAAACCUCAACAAAAUCCGUACGAAAUUCGCCAUCGAAAAAACCUAAAAUCAUGAAACAAAAUUAAAAAUGCAGAAUACUAAAAAAUGAUUAAAUAGACUGCAAAAACAUUUGAAUGACAAUACAUUAAUAUCAUCAAAAAUAAACUUAAAAUGCAAAAUCCAUACGCUAAUUUAAAAAAGACUACGAACUAUAUUUUAAUGUACUACCCAGCACACUUAAAUCGGCUGUUAUAAACAAAUAAACCAACUAUCGAUCGGGAUCAAAAACAUGAACUCGACCACAGCGGACAAUUAUUCCGAUUAUUGCACAAACCAACUACGAAACUCAUAUAAAACAACUCUGGUCCGAUCUGCGUGAACCAUCCUCUUCUAACUCUGUCAAUCCUCUUCCAAACAAACAUCAUCCGCCAAAAAUAACGAUGUAUAUAUUAAUAUGAUACGACAUUAAAAAUGCAGAAUACUAAAAAAUAUAUUAAUAUGAUAAAAAAUAAACUUAAAAUGCAAAAUUCAUACGAUAACUUAAAAAAUACUACGAAAUAUAUUUUAAUGUACUACCCAGCGUCCUAAAAUCCGCUGUUAUAAACAAAUAAACCAACUAUCGACCGGGAUCAGACUCAUGAACUCCACGACAGCGGACAGUUAUUUCAAUUAAUGCGUAAACCAACUACGAUGUUCAUAUAAAACAACUCUGGUCCGAUAUGCGUGAACCAUCCUCAUCUAACUCUGUCAAUCCUCUUCCAAACAAACAUCAUCCGCCAAAAAUAACGAUGUAAGAAAAAAAAAAUGAAUUUUAGGAAAGAUUACAUAUUAGUAAUAUGAUAUUACUAAUGGUAUGGUUAGUCUUUUAACCAUGGUCGGAAACAAGACUAUUGUUGGAAACAAGUGAAGGAAAAAAGAACUGCAAAGAUUUCUCACCAUUUGCAAUUUGCUGAACAACUCCCUCUCUCUCUCUCUCUCUCUCUCUCUCUCUCUCUCUCUCUCUCUCUCUCUCUAAAAAAAACUAACAUUCCCAAAGAAAACAAUGGCGGCAGAAGCUGUGGGUGGAGUUGCCAUUCAAUUUCUGCUAGAGAAGCUGAUAUCAGUUUCUGCGGAGCAGAUCAACCUCUAUCGAGAUUUCAAGAAAGACUUGCAAAGGCUAAAAAGUUCUUUAACCAUGAUUCAAAGUUUCUUGAACGAUGCGGAGAAGAAGCAAAUCACCGACGAAGCUGUCGAACGCUGGCUGCAUAAGCUUGAAGGUGUGGCUUUCGAUGCCGAUAAUGUCUUGGAUGAGCUCCACUAUCAACAUCUCUCCAAGGAAAUUCACAACCAGGACAAAAUGAAGAAGAAGAACAAGUGCCAUUUUUUCUUCCCAAUACGCAUCGCCUAAAAAUGGCACGUAAAAUCAAGGAUGUCCUUCAAAACUUGGAAGCGAUCAACAAGGAGGCGACCGACUAUGGCCUUCAAAAAGCAGUGGUGGGUGCAUAUGCUCCGGUUACUGGAUCAUCUGCAGGUUGGGAAACUGAUGCAUUCAAUAUCGAUCCGAUUUUUCUUGGAAGAGAAGGUGACGUGUCUGAAAUAGUGAAGACGAUGACUACUCUUCCAAAUGAUCAAGUACUCUCUAUCCUCCCCAUUGUCGGGAUGGGAGGACUCGGAAAAACAACGGUAGCUCGGAACGUGCUCGAUCAUGAAGCCAUAAAGGCUCAUUUUGCUAAGCGUUUUUGGGUUCAUGUCUCUCAAAACUUCGAUGCCAAGAUUCUUUUCAAUAAGAUUCUUACAACGUUAACAGGAACAAACGCCGCACUUGGAGAUAAACAAGCAGUUCUGGAAAAGCUUCAAAAGGAGUUGGGAGCUCAUAGAUUUCUACUUGUUCUCGAUGAUGUUUGGAAUGAAAAUCAUGAAAUAUGGGGUGAUUUUAUCAAUCCGUUGAGAAAAAUUACUUCUGCUACGGGAAAUGGCAUCGUUGUUACUACGCGAAGUGAAAAUGUUGCUUCACUGGUAAAAACAUUCCCUACUAUGCACAAGCUAAAUAACUUGUCAGAAGAUGAGUGUUGGUCCAUAAUCAAAGCAAAAUCCUUUGGAGAAGGUGAUAUUCCAUCAGAAUUUGAGAGAAUUGGUGUAUCUAUUGCAAAAAGAUGCCAAGGUUUGCCAUUGGCGGCCAAAGUGGUUGGGGGAUUGUUGCGCGAUAAGUCGAUUGAUGAGUGGAUGUCGAUUGAUGAGAAAUGGCUCUCAGAUUUAAAAGAUGAAAAUCCAGUCUCCAAGAUUUUGAAACUGAGUUUUGAUCAUUUGUCGCCACCAUCACUCAAAAAGUGCUUUGCAUAUUGUUCGAUAUAUCCUAAAGGAUAUUUCUUGGAAAGGGAACGCUUGGUCGAGCUUUGGAUGGCAGAAGGAUUUCUUGGAGGAAAUGAUGAUAUGGAGAUUUUGGGCAACAAAUUCUUUAAUCGACUUUUAGAGAACUCCUUGUUGUUACAAGUUGCAAAGAUAAGUAGUCGAUAUAACAUGCAUGAUCUUGUGCAUGAUCUAGCAUCCUCUGUUUUAAAUUCAAGCGACCAAGUUCGGUACAUGGGCUGGCAAUCGUGUGCAAGCCUAAAUGAGCAAGCAACUUGGCUUCGUUCCUUACUGUCGAAUGAUAAAAUAUGCAUUCUCAUGUUCUCGAAGUUCAAAUCGCUGCAUGUUUUAAUUCUGAUGGGCAAUUGUGUUGGAGAGUUGCCAAGUUCGAUCAACGAGUUAAUACAUUUGAGAUGUCUUGAUGUCUCGGACACAAAACUUAAAUGUUUGCCGGACUCUGUUGGUGAACUUUAUCACUUGCAGACAUUAAGAGCAGGUAAAUAUGGUUUGAAGAAGCUGCCAAAUACAUUGAAGAACUUGAUUGGCUUAAGACAUCUCCACAUUCCUCGAAAUGAAUUACCUCCAGAGAUGGGAAGAUUAACUUCUCUUCGAACACUGCCGUACUUUGGAGUCGGCGAUGAAAAGGGUUGUAGAAUUACUGAGCUCGAAUGCUUGAAGAACCUGGAAGGAAAGCUGGAGAUUUUUAAUCUUGAGAAGGUGCGUGACAAAGAAGAGGCUACGAGAGCAGAUUUAUUACGAAAGCCAAACCUAGUUGAGUUAGUGCUUAAGUGGAGUAGAGAAGCUGGAAAUGGCAAUGAGAGUGUGUUGGAAGGCCUCCAACCCCACCCAAAUUUAGAGAGCUUAAAAAUUUGUGGAUUUGGAGGAAGAAGUUUGCCAUCAUGGUGUUCAAAUAUGUCGGGGCUUAAUAAAUUGAUGGAGAUAAGACUUGAAAGAUGCAAAGAAUGUGAACAAGUCCCAAUGCUAGGGCACUUGCCACAUUUGAAGAAUCUAUAUCUGGAUGGUCUAGUGAAUGUGAAAUCCAUAGGUUCCUCGUUUUACUUGAAAGGCUGGAGUUGAGGAGAAUGCCAGAGCUGACGGAGUGGUUAGAAGCUGAAUUGCCAAGUGCAGCACCUGAAAAUGAUCAACGACUUGUUGUAUUUCCUCGUCUCGUGUACUUGCAGAUUAAAUAUUGUAGGAAAUUGAAGAGUGCUCCGAGUCACUUUCCAUGCCUUAAAGAAUUGGAGAUUGGUGAGGUGGAGAGCGAAUUACCUUUGGCAAGUAUAUGUGGGAUCAACUUAAUCUCUGUUACAAAGCUCCAAAUUGAGUUAAUUGAUGGAUUGACGUGUCUCCCAGAUUGGCUUUUCCUUAAAAAUCAAAAUCUCUCGAAGUUGGAGAUAACGGACUGUCGUAACUUAACGCAUCUAGUUCCGUGCUUGGAAGGUGGAGGAACAGCUCUUAGGAAUUUGGAGAUACGGAAAUGUCCGGAAUUGAGAGAAUUACCAGAUGAUCUACACACCCUCAGUGCUCUCGAGAAGUUGGCGAUUUACGGAUGCUCAAAACUGAAGACAAUACCAUAUCCACAUGAAACACAUAAUGAUGAUGUUGAUGAGCAAUUAUUGUUAGGCUUGAGUUGCCUUCGUCGAUUGAGUAUUGAACACUGCGAUGAGCUGACCAAUUUGCCGAUUGAGUUAUGUGUGGAGUCCUUGGAGAGUUUGACACUGAGUGGAUUAAUGAAUUUAAGGAUGAACAUGGGAACGUUGAUUGGGUAUUGUAUGCAGAAAAUGCCUCGUCUCUCUGAGUUGAUGAUUGUUGAUGUUCCAACCACUAAUAAUCCAUGGGAGAUUGUUGGUUCUUUUUCUCCUUGCAACUUAAUAGAUUUAUCAAUCAGUUGUGAUGAGUACUCAGUUUCAGUUGUUGAUGCCAUCUUGAAAGCAACAACCAAAUCUCUUUAUGGAUUAGCAUUGCACGGGACAGAGCGUAGUCGUGAACUACCGGGGCAGCUUCAACAUCUCACUGCUCUUUCUCGGCUACGGUUAUAUGAUUUUGGAGAGAUGGAAGAAUUGCCUGAUUGGGUAAUUGGGAACAAUAACAAUGACAACAACAACUUGUCCUCAUCUAUGCAUAUGUUAUCUUUAUACGGCUGCAAGAAGUUGCGAUAUCUGCCGUCUAAGGAAGCCAUGCUACGUCUCAUCACCUUAAACAUCUCGGAUUGUCCGAUGUUAGAUAUAAAAGGUGGAGAUAGCGAUUAUGGUUCUGAGUGGCCCCAGAUAUCCCAUAUCCCCAGAGUCUAUGUGGAUGGGAAUCAAAUUCCAACUCAUGCUCAGUAAAUGUAACUAUACUUAUUACUGUUUUAUUUGAUUUACCAGAUUAUAUUCUUUUUUUUUCCUUUUCUUUUUCUAUUGUAUUUAUUUUUCUUUUUGUUCCUGCAGCAUCAAAAUUUAAUUUGUUGCUUAAAUAGAAUAGGAUGCUCAAGGCACACAAAUAUAUAAAUCUAUUUCAAAUUUAUUUCGAUACAUAUUGAUUUUAUUUUUAUUUCAUAGAUUUAAUUAGACACCCCUCCCGCAAAGUUUUAAUUUAGGAUUCGGUGCCAAACCAACAUAAUAUUUCUUCUUCUUCUUUCUUGGAUUUACCACAUUUUAUUUGGUUUACAUAUUCAUUGAUCUUCUUUUUUACUAUUUUCUUUAUAAAUGUGGUCAUUUUGUUAUUUCUCAUUUUUUUGAUGAGUUAUUAAUCGAAAUUGAGCAUUUUUGUUGCAUAUUGCCCCUUCAAAUAUUAUUUUUGUUGCACGUUGCCUCCUAAAAAUGUUAUUUUUAUUGCUACGUUGCCGAAACCGAAACUCGUAGCCAUUCUAAUAUUGAUUUAGCUUUCCGCAUUAAGCAAAGAAUCCUAUCGAACACGACGUAAAUCUAAUUCAACUUAUUAUAUCUAUCAUAAUAAAUUUGAAUUUGAAAAAGAACCAAUCCACUUUAAUUUCUCUAGAUCCCGUUCGAUCAGAAAAGAAGAAAAAAACCCCAGAAAAUAGCUUGUCACAUCCAUUAUAUACGGGAAAUACGGUGUUCGUAGAAGAUAACAAACAGCGAAAUACGGUGUUCGUAGAAUAAUCCAGAAAAUUGAAUUAUUAAUAAAAAUUGUAUCAGAUGUUAAAAUACAUUAUACAUGCAUACAUUUCAUCAACAUAGCAGAUUUAAGGUAGAGAUUCACAUCUAGCAACAACUUUAAGAGGAAAUUUUCUAUGAAUAGUAAGUCCAUCACCUUCACGCAUAUCCAAAUCUUCUCCACUCGCGCCACCUGGCAAUUCAAAUUCGAAACUUAAAACAACAUUCGCAAGAACAAGCUCCACCGAAUUACGUAAAAAUCUCUCCGGAUUUUCCCACAAAAUUGGAUCUCUCUCACAAUAGCCCACACGUUUAAAACCAAUCGUGUGCCUUUCGGUUGACUCUCGAGGAAUGAGUAGUGUGUAUGUUGUGUCGAUUCCAGCAGCAAACAUGUCAUGUUAUAGAUUAUUAUUAAAAUUGUGAUCAUCUUGAUGAGAUAGAAUACUUUAAAUCGAAUCAUUUUCGAGUUUAAUUUGCAGUCUCUCGUCAUACAAAAGCAUGAAGAUUUCAAUUGAGUCUAUAAAUUGAACCUCUUAUUAUUAUUUUCUAACUACAGUUAAACCUCUAUAAAUUAACACAGAGUCCGGACUAGCAAAAUUCUAUUAAUUUAGCCAACUAUUAAAUUAUCGAGUUAAUACUUUAGUACAUUUUUGCCGACUCGGGCCGAAAGAAAUUAUUAUUUACGCGAGGUUAUUAAUUUAUCGAGGUUCUUAUGUAUAUUGCAUUUGCUACAAACACAGAAAAGAAAGAAACUAAAAAAAUAAUAUUAAAGGCAAAUUACGGCAACCCCCUUUAGCUAAGGUCAAACUACGAAAAAAUCCUUCAAGUCGGUAUAUUUAAGGGCAUUCAUUCGGUAAAAUUGUACUGCAACUUCGGUACGCCAAAAUUUCAUACCGCUUACCAUUCGGUUCGGUAAAUAACCGAAUUACCAAAAUUUUAUUCAAAAUAUUUAAAAAUUUGAUUUAAUUUUUUAUUUUCUUAAUUAAUUUUAGUUUAAAUACUAACUACAUAUAUAAAAUAUAUGGGUAACUAGCAUUAAACCGCCUAAACUUUGCCUAUUUUUGCGGAUUACCACCUCAACAAAGAAAAGAAAAAAAAACUCCGAUCCCACCCGAACUCAAUAAGUUAUGCCACAUUGCCAUUUUUCACCCAUUUUCAGGCCAAAAUAACCGGAAUUAAGGGGUGGUUGUAAUUAUGCAAACAUGAGGGAUUAUUUUCGUNNNNNNNNNNNNNNNNNNNNNNNNNNNNNNNNNNNNNNNNNNNNNNNNNNNNNNNNNNNNNNNNNNNNNNNNNNNNNNNNNNNNNNNNNNNNNNNNNNNNNNNNNNNNNNNNNNNNNNNNNNNNNNNNNNNNNNNNNNNNNNNNNNNNNNNNNNNNNNNNNNNNNNNNNNNNNNNNNNNNNNNNNNNNNNNNNNNNNNNNNNNNNNNNNNNNNNNNNNNNNNNNNNNNNNNNNNNNNNNNNNNNNNNNNNNNNNNNNNNNNNNNNNNNNNNNNNNNNNNNNNNNNNNNNNNNNNNNNNNNNNNNNNNNNNNNNNNNNNNNNNNNNNNNNNNNNNNNNNNNNNNNNNNNNNNNNNNNNNNNNNNNNNNNNNNNNNNNNNNNNNNNNNNNNNNNNNNNNNNNNNNNNNNNNNNNNNNNNNNNNNNNNNNNNNNNNNNNNNNNNNNNNNNNNNNNNNNNNNNNNNNNNNNNNNNNNNNNNNNNNNNNNNNNNNNNNNNNNNNNNNNNNNNNNNNNNNNNNNNNNNNNNNNNNNNNNNNNNNNNNNNNNNNNNNNNNNNNNNNNNNNNNNNNNNNNNNNNNNNNNNNNNNNNNNNNNNNNNNNNNNNNNNNNNNNNNNNNNNNNNNNNNNNNNNNNNNNNNNNNNNNNNNNNNNNNNNNNNNNNNNNNNNNNNNNNNNNNNNNNNNNNNNNNNNNNNNNNNNNNNNNNNNNNNNNNNNNNNNNNNNNNNNNNNNNNNNNNNNNNNNNNNNNNNNNNNNNNNNNNNNNNNNNNNNNNNNNNNNNNNNNNNNNNNNNNNNNNNNNNNNNNNNNNNNNNNNNNNNNNNNNNNNNNNNNNNNNNNNNNNNNNNNNNNNNNNNNNNNNNNNNNNNNNNNNNNNNNNNNNNNNNNNNNNNNNNNNNNNNNNNNNNNNNNNNNNNNNNNNNNNNNNNNNNNNNNNNNNNNNNNNNNNNNNNNNNNNNNNNNNNNNNNNNNNNNNNNNNNNNNNNNNNNNNNNNNNNNNNNNNNNNNNNNNNNNNNNNNNNNNNNNNNNNNNNNNNNNNNNNNNNNNNNNNNNNNNNNNNNNNNNNNNNNNNNNNNNNNNNNNNNNNNNNNNNNNNNNNNNNNNNNNNNNNNNNNNNNNNNNNNNNNNNNNNNNNNNNNNNNNNNNNNNNNNNNNNNNNNNNNNNNNNNNNNNNNNNNNNNNNNNNNNNNNNNNNNNNNNNNNNNNNNNNNNNNNNNNNNNNNNNNNNNNNNNNNNNNNNNNNNNNNNNNNNNNNNNNNNNNNNNNNNNNNNNNNNNNNNNNNNNNNNNNNNNNNNNNNNNNNNNNNNNNNNNNNNNNNNNNNNNNNNNNNNNNNNNNNNNNNNNNNNNNNNNNNNNNNNNNNNNNNNNNNNNNNNNNNNNNNNNNNNNNNNNNNNNNNNNNNNNNNNNNNNNNNNNNNNNNNNNNNNNNNNNNNNNNNNNNNNNNNNNNNNNNNNNNNNNNNNNNNNNNNNNNNNNNNNNNNNNNNNNNNNNNNNNNNNNNNNNNNNNNNNNNNNNNNNNNNNNNNNNNNNNNNNNNNNNNNNNNNNNNNNNNNNNNNNNNNNNNNNNNNNNNNNNNNNNNNNNNNNNNNNNNNNNNNNNNNNNNNNNNNNNNNNNNNNNNNNNNNNNNNNNNNNNNNNNNNNNNNNNNNNNNNNNNNNNNNNNNNNNNNNNNNNNNNNNNNNNNNNNNNNNNNNNNNNNNNNNNNNNNNNNNNNNNNNNNNNNNNNNNNNNNNNNNNNNNNNNNNNNNNNNNNNNNNNNNNNNNNNNNNNNNNNNNNNNNNNNNNNNNNNNNNNNNNNNNNNNNNNNNNNNNNNNNNNNNNNNNNNNNNNNNNNNNNNNNNNNNNNNNNNNNNNNNNNNNNNNNNNNNNNNNNNNNNNNNNNNNNNNNNNNNNNNNNNNNNNNNNNNNNNNNNNNNNNNNNNNNNNNNNNNNNNNNNNNNNNNNNNNNNNNNNNNNNNNNNNNNNNNNNNNNNNNNNNNNNNNNNNNNNNNNNNNNNNNNNNNNNNNNNNNNNNNNNNNNNNNNNNNNNNNNNNNNNNNNNNNNNNNNNNNNNNNNNNNNNNNNNNNNNNNNNNNNNNNNNNNNNNNNNNNNNNNNNNNNNNNNNNNNNNNNNNNNNNNNNNNNNNNNNNNNNNNNNNNNNNNNNNNNNNNNNNNNNNNNNNNNNNNNNNNNNNNNNNNNNNNNNNNNNNNNNNNNNNNNNNNNNNNNNNNNNNNNNNNNNNNNNNNNNNNNNNNNNNNNNNNNNNNNNNNNNNNNNNNNNNNNNNNNNNNNNNNNNNNNNNNNNNAACUUUUCGGAAUGCCUCAGAAGGUGGUUAAGGAAAUUCUCUCCACGCGCCUCCAGUACUCGCCGUAAGUGAAAAGCCGAUGCCUCCCAGUCGUAAUACCACCCCGCCACGCCUGAUCGGGCCUGUGGAGCAAAUUGGGUCGUGGAUUUUCAGUAUUUCUUUAGCUAAAUCCAGCUGAUGAAACAUUAAAAAGGGCCCGUGUUUUCUUGAUAGGAGAGUGGAGGGGUUUUUGUGGGGGGCUGAACCCUUAAUUAGUGGAGGGUUUCCGAUUACUGGAAGCUUCGGCGCGACGGCUUGAUGGGUUUUUGAGAGGUGGGCCGUUUCUUUUUAUGAUUGCGAAAAUUAUUGUGAAAACUGAAAAGGAACAAGGGGAGAAGAAGAAAUUUGGAAACAUCCAUGGGUUUUCUGAUCGUUCAAAGGGUGUAGGAAAACAUUAAUUUUUAUGUCUGAAAAAUUGGUGAAUUUGGAAGGAGAAAUGGAGAUGGAAUCUUUUAAUGUUUGUGGGAAUAUUAGCUUUAACAACGUGAAGUGGGAAGUAGAAUAAUAUGUUACGGCCCGCAUGGUAUAGCAUACUGGCCAAUAGCUCAACUGGUUCCGGAUGUGCUAAGUUGGUAUAAGAAUAAUAUGUUCCAUAAAUAUCAACAAGAAAUUUGUUGAAACUCACUCACCAUAAAUGUUUAUUCGGGGAAAUUACAGUUUUCACUCUUCAAAUUUGCAUCGAUUUUACAUUUGGUCCCUCAUGUUCACAAAAAAACAUAUUUGGUCCUUCAUGUUUCAAUAAUUUAACAGUUUUGGUCCUUUCGUCAAUUUACCGUUAAUCAGUUAGUUAAGAAAAUCAUGGAACAUGCUUGAUUCGGUUAGUUUUCACGGAAAAUUGACUGAAAUGACUAAAAGUGUUGAAUUUUUAAAACAUAAGAGACCAAAUGUAUUUUUUGUAAAUAUGGGGGAUCAGAUGUGAAAUCGGUGCAAACUUGAGAAACGAAAAAAGUAUUUUUCCCAUUUUUAUUUCGUAGGCAGUGACGAAACCAUGAUUUCGUAGACAGUGGCUGUAAUUUGCCCCUCCCUCUAUAUAUGGGGUGAGAUUGUACAAUCCAACACUUUUUUUUUAGAGAAAUACAAUCCAACAUUUUUAGAUGACAUUGUUAUAACACAUUAAUUCACAUACAUAAUCCCAUCCUACAAACCAAUCAUACUUUAUUAAGAACCUAGGCCUUGGUUUAAUAAUCACACCAUUUUCUUGAAUCACAUCUCAAUUCAAAGAUAAGAUAACUAAAUCAAGAACAUUCCAACUUAGAAAUAAAAGCAUCAAUAUUUAGGUCAGAAGUACCACCCUCACUAACUGCCUCCUUAGCCAAAUCCCUCCACUUAACACAAUUCCUCUUCAUCUCUUUCCCCUUCUCCCCUUCCAUCACUUCCCUUACACAACUCUCAAUCUCCUCUCUCCUCACAAUACCAUUUUCUUCGGAAACCCUAACCCUAAUCCCCACUCCCCAAACAUCUUGCACGAGCUUAGCAUCCGUCGUUUGAUCCGUCCACUGCGGCAUCACAACCAUCGGCACACCCAAGCUCAACGCCUCGGUCGUCGAAUUCCAACCGCCGUGCGAGAAGAAGCAACCUAUGGCUUCGUUCGACAGAACUUCCAGCUGCGGGCUCCAGUGCGCGAACAGUGCCCUUUCGGACGAGGCUCGGACGAAACUUUCCGGAAGCUUCUCUUCCUUGUCGAAAACCCUAAUGACCCAAAGGAAGUCGAAAUUGGUGUUGUUCAAGCCCCAUGCAAUCUCUUCCAUUUGUGCUUUGGGGAGAUUGUCCAUGCUGCCGAAUGCUAUGUAGACGACCGAUUUUGGUGGCUUUGUGUUUAGCCAAUCGAGGAUUGUUUGCGAGGGGUCCGAUUGGAAGAGGUUUACGUCGUAUUUGUCGUCGUUUUCGAUACGGUUGUCCAAAUAGAAAGAUGGGAGUGUUGGUCCAAUUGUUAGCAUUGGACACACUUUUGUCAUUGAAUCCACAACCUGUCGUUGGAAAAGAAUUGGCAAACAUUUACGUACAUAAAAAAUAUGUAAUAAAAAAAUAGAUUGAUUUAAUUUUCUAUUUUCUAUUUUCUAUUUUUCUUGGUUGCCCCACUUUCCAUACGUUGAUAGUGAUGCAGGCACAAAUAUUUCAAAAAAGACAAAGUUGAUUGAGAUAUUCAAAUUUUUACAUCGAUAAUGAUAAGAAGAGUCGUCUACGUCUUUCACUAUAUAUAAUAAUAAUAAUAUUAUUAUUAUUAUUGCUGGGUGGAGCUUGUCACACAUGGUUAGCCUAGUAUUUUUUACGUCUCUCGUAUUGCAAGUUCUUAUACGAGGGUGUAAAGUUUGCCCAAUGCACCUAUAUAAUUAGCUGUCGGUUCCUUCAUUAAAAAAAAAAAAUUGGAUAAAAGAGUCUUCUAAAAUGUCCAAUAGUAUUAGUAGUUCAUUGUUAAAUAUCCAAAACUAUAAAAUUAACAUAAACUAAUGUGGUGUUAUUUUUAUCAUUAAUCCAAACUUGUAAAUCCAACCCACUUUUUUAUACCAAUUUGACCUAAUUAAAAACACAACUCUAGUAUUUUUUUUUUUGAUGUUUAAUUAGAUAAUGUAAUCGUUACAUAUUAUAUUUGCUUUUCAAAAUGAGACUAUUUUAUAUAUCAGAAUAACGGGAAAUUACAGUUUUCGUCCCUCAAGUUUGCCUCGAUUUCACAUUUGCUUUUCAUGUUCACUAAAAACGCAUUUGCUCCCUCAUAUUCCAAUAAUUUAACACUUUUGGUCAUUUUUGUCAAUUGACCGUUAGACUGUUAGUUAAGACAGUCAUGUAACACACUUGAUUCCGUUAGUUUAACCGAAAAAUUGACCGAAAGGAAUAAAAGUGUUAAAUUUUUUAAACAUAAGGAACCAAAUGUGUUUUUUUCUGAACAUGGGGACCAAAUGUGAAAUCAGUGCAACCUUAAAGGACGAAAACUGUAUUUUUUUCCUCGUAAUAAUUCUUAAUUCAGUUAACAAUGAUCAAACCAUUCAUCAUUAAUUCAAUAUAAUUCCUUUUUUUCUCUCUCUUUAUGAAUUAAGUUUUUCUUUAUGAAACCAUUCAUCCUUUUUUUUUUUUUUAAUAAUGAAUUAAAGUUAUAAAAGCAUAAUUUUACCUUCUCCUCCAACUUGUAAAACGUGUUGACAAGCACAAAAUCAGCCUUGUCCACAUUCGAGAACUGAUUCAGCACCAUCUCGAAGUAAGCCGGGUACGAACCACUCACGUGCAUGAACGACGGCAAGUCCGGCAACUCUAGCGGCGGCAGCCCCGGAAUCUCCACCGGCUGCGCCACCACCGGUAUAUCCAACAACCCGUGGUGCACAUAAUAGUACACAUAGUUCACCGCGCACGCCUGCGUGAAAAAGCACGCCCCCGCGAUACCGAAUCUCCUCGCCACAUCCAAAACCCAAGGCAAAAACGCGUCGUAAACUAUGCAAUCUACGGCCAAAUUUCGGUCUCGGUAAGAUUUGAUGAGAUUUUCUAGGGUUCUCGAGCCCUCGACUUCCAUCCGGUUAAGGUAAUCGGAGACGCUCUCGGCUUGCCGGAAACCGCCGGUGUCGAAGCCGUCGGAGAUGGAGGCGAUAUCGACGGAGUGGGAUUUAGGGUUGAUGGAUUUGGAGAUGAAGUUGGUGAUGGUGAAGGUGGCUUUGGCUCCUUUGGAGACUAAGCGUUUGCAGAAUUGGAGCAUUGGGUUUACAUGGCCUUGGCUUGGAUAAGGUACACACAAGAUAUGUACUCUAUGUUCUUUUUUCUCCUUAUCCAUUUUCAUCAUUUUUCCUUUGAAUAUGCUAUUUUUGAAUAAAUUCACACACACAUAUAUAUAUAUAUAUAUAUAUAUAUAUAUAUAUAUAUAUAUAUAUAUAUAUAUAUAUAUAUAUAUAUAUAUAUAUAUAUAUAUAUAUAUAUAUAUAUAUAUAUAUAUAUAUAUAUAUAUAUAUAUAUAUAUAUAUAUAUAUAUAUAUAUAUAUAUAUAUAUAUAUAUAUAUAUAUAUAUAUAUAUAUAUAUAUAUAUAUAUAUAUAUGUAUAUAUAUAUAUAUAUAUAUAUAGAGAGAGAGAGAGAGAGAGAGAGAGAGAGAGAGAGAGAGAGAGAGAGAGAGAGGUGGGUUUUUGUUUCUUUCUGUAUAUAGAUAGAUAUAUGUAGAUCAGAAAAAAUACAGUUUUCGUCGCUAAAGUACAUUUGAUCCAUCAUGUUCGCAAAAAAUACAUUUGGUUCCUGAUGUUUUAAAAAUUUAACAAUUUUAGUCAUUUCUGUCAAUUUUCAUCAUUUUUCCUUUAAAUAUGCUACUUUUGAAUAAAUUCACACACACAUAUAUACAUAUACAUAUGUACCCACCAUUUUUGUUUCUUUCUAUAUAGAUAAUAUAGAUGAUAUAUAUGUGGAUCAGAAAAAUUACAGUUUUCGUCGCUAAAGUACAUUUGAUCCUUGAUGUUCACAAAAAAUACAUUUGGUCCCUGAUGAUUUCAUUUUAUUUUAUUUUACUUCUUUUAUUUUUUGUUGUUUUAUUUAAUUGUUUUGCAAAUAAUUUUUUUUUUAAUUAUUGAAAAGUAGCUGUUACAAAACUUAAUCUUAAAAUGAAAUGAAUAUUUUAUAUUUUAUAUAAAUUCAGAAAAUUUAAACGAUUUUGAAUUCUCCUUUCAAUAUCUUUUAGAUCGUGUUCAUCAUACAUUACUUUCUUGCCAUGUUGUUUGUGAACUAUUAAAUUAGAAAGUUUAGUCCAUCCAUUUGAACAAUUAGUCGAACGCAAAUAUGGGUAUCCAAAUUUAACAUGCAUUAUAUGUGACAAGAUGAAUUUGUUAUUUUUUGUUCGAUUGUAUUCGAUUUACAUAGGGUAAACAGCAUAAAACCUUCCUGUAUUAAGGAAAACCUGAGCCAAACUCAUCUGUGUUUUUUUUCUUGCGUAAAACCCCCUUGUGUUUUAUUUUUCAUAAAUUAAGUCGAAUAUAUCUAUUAAUUAAAAAUAUGAAAACUAAGAAAAUAAUACUCGAUGAAAUGGAAGUUGGAACAAACUCUCAAAUUAUUUACAUUCUUUUAACAUAUAAUUAAUCAAGAAUAAAUUAUAAAAAUAUAUAAUAAUUCUAAUAAAAUAAUUAUAUAAUUUAAAAAAUCAAAAUUCAAACAUUAAUAAAUUAUAUCAUAUAAAAAUAGAUUUAAAAAAACAUUCACCACACCUAUUAAAUUUUUAUUUUUCAUAUUGUAACUAAUAAAUGUGUUCAACUUAAUUUCAGAAAAUAAUAUGAAAUUUAAACAAAUAAAUUAUUUUUUGGAUAAAAUCCCCCUUGUAUUGUUGAAACCAUGCACUCAAUCCCCCUUUUUAUAAAAAAAAAAUAAAAAAAAAAUUGCAUAAAACCCCUCUAUAGUUAAAGGCGUUAACUUUUAACGGAAAAGGGGAUUUCGUGCAAAGUAAAAUAAAACACAAGGGGGUUUUACGUAAGUAAAAAACACAUAGGGAUUUGGCACAGGUUUUCCUUAAGACAGGGGGUUUUAUGUUGUUUACCCGAUUUACAUACUCAACAUUUUUUGGUUCGUUGAUUUUUCACAUUAAUGCAUUUUGAUAAGAUAAUUACAAGUUUCGUCUCUAUACUUGUCAUCUAAAAUGACUUUAGUUAUCAAGCUUUUGUCGCCACGAAUUUAGUGCUCAAACUUACCAAGCUCAGGUAUCUAAGGAGCAGCUAACACUUAUUACUGAAUCCCAAUUGACACCCGAAGAAUAAAUGUUGAUUUAUUUAUGUCGUCCUCCACUUAUACAUGAUCCUCUUGUGUGGCUCGUUCAUACCCCUUUAUUAGAUCAUUCCCUGCAAAACUUCUUCGGCUGCCCACCACAUUGAAAAGAGUACUGUUUGAAUUCCCAGAGUCCUCGAAUAGUUGUCGUCGGAUGCAAGAGCUCGUGUAAGUUAUGAACGUAAACCAUAUCCCCAAUGAUUCUUUAUGAACGUUCCAACUCCACAAGUUUUAUUAUGCGAUUGUGAUGUUCCAAAUCAGCAAAGGCUCAAAUGGUGAAAUUAUGAUUGGGUGAUUCUGGUGUUGCCUUAUUUCACCUCAAUUGGAAGAUACGAAAAUGAAAAUUUAGAGGUAGGGUUUACGUUCGUAAAGAAUUACAUGGAAUUGGGGAGUUGAAGAUAGAAAUAAGAGGAGAGAGUAAGGGUGUCACUCCACCUCAUAAUUAGACUGCCAAAUGGACUAGGGGUCUAUUCAAGCUUGAUUUUUACUACCAUGUGUGCAAUUCCGUCCAAGUUAACUGAAAAACUUGACAGUCGAACCAAAAGUGUCAAAAAAAUGGUAAGUUUGAUAAGUAAAAUCACGGCGGUGAAAAUUUUGAAGGACUAAAUUCAUUUUAGGCGACAAAUAUAGGGGCAAAAACUCUAAUUUAACCGGUAUUUUGAUCUUAAUUCUUAGAUUUGACCCCCGUGCACCGCACAGACUUAUUCAGUGCAAUUUAGGGAAAAUUACAUUUUUCGUCCUCAUACUUUACCCACUUUUUCAAAACUGUCCCUAAACAUUUUGGAGUUACAAUAGUAGUCCUUAAUCAUGCUUUAACAGAAUUGGUCCGCCGUUAAUUUUUGCAGUUAAGUUGGAUGGAAAAUGGCAUGUGCCUCUUAUAUGCCUUCAAUUUACAACACUACAUGAAAACGGACUUUUAACAACACGCAUUGCGUCUUCAUUUUUCAUAAUUAAAACUUGAUUGAAAUUCGAAAUUAUAUAAAUUCCAAAAAAACAAAAUCAAUAUAUAUUGUAUUAAAAUAUUUUGAGAAAUAUUCUUUAAAGAAAUGAAACAUUGUUUUAAAAAAAAAUGAAAUAUUGCUUUGAAAAUCAAGAUUUUCGGAAUUCAAAUGAAAACAUUGUUUCAAAAUAAAAUAAAAAUUCGAUCCGAAUAGGUGGGAUAAGAAACCUCCAUUUCAAUCUUCACCCUAAUUUAAUAAUUUAAAACUCGAUAAAUUGUUUCAAAAUAUUUUUAGAAGUAUUGUCUAAAAUAAUAAUAUAAUGUUUUAAAACUGGGCUUUCUUGAAUCCAAAUGAAAAUUAUUGUUUUAAAUAAAAUAAAAAUCUGAUCGUAAUAGGCGGAGUAAGAAAACUCCGGUCCAAUUUUCACCCUUAUUUAAUAGUCUAAAACUCGAUUUUUUUUUUCAAAAUAAAUUCAGAAAUAUUGUUUAAAAAAUCAUAAUAUUGUCUAAAAAAAUAAUUUUGUGUUUUAAAAUCGGAAUUUUUGGAAAUUGAAUGAAAAUUUUAUUUAAAAAUAAAAUAAAAAUUCGAUCAAACUAGGCGGCAUAAGAAAACUCCUUUCCAAUUUUCACCAUAUUGAAUGAUUAAAACUCGACAUAUUGUCUCACAAUUGGGAUUUUUGGAAUUGACUAGAGGUGGAAAUUGGAAUGGAGAUUUCUAAUUCCCCAAUUCCUAUCGGGUUUUUUAUUUUGGUUUGAAACGAUAUAUUUUAAUUGAAUUCCAAAAAUGCCGAUUUCGGAACAAUAUUUUAAACUAUAUUUUGAUUUUUUAAACAAUAUUUCCGAAACGAGUUGAUUUUUUUGGAAUUUACGUGAUUUCGAUUUUGUAUUAAAUUUUAAUUUAAAAAUACUAAUUAUAAAAAAUAUGUUUUAACAAGACGCAAUGUGUGUUGUUGAAAGUUCAUUUUCAUGUAGUGUUGUAAAUUGAAGGCAUGUGAGAGGCACAUGCAAUUUUCCAUCCAACUUAACUGCAAAAAUUAACGGUGGACCAUUUCUGUUAAAAAAUGGAAUGGUUAAGGACUACUAUUGUAACUCCAAAAUGUUUAGGGACAGUUUUAAAAAAGUGGAUUAAGUAUAAGGACAAAAAAUGUAAUUUUCCCGUGCAAUUUAGGUAGCUAUUAUACAAGAAUAGUGUUUUAUAAUUUUUGUCGGAAAAUAAGUGGCCUAGUGGUCCCCCAAAAUGGCGCCUUGAAUCAAGAAGCUACCAAAUGAAUGAAAAAUCAUAAAAAAUUCCACAACACUUUUGUUUUCAUCUGCAGAAUUCAAAACAAAUUCAUGAAACCUCCAAUCAGAAAACCAGUUCCUCAAUUCCUACACAACAAACAAACACCUCAUUCAAGAAUUCAUGGCAGAAUUCCCCACUCUUCAUCCACGAAUCAAGAAUCGCCCAACCCACCAAGAAACGGAUCCCCUCUCGCCAAAUUCCUCGACCCAUUUCCUAAAAUUUUUAAAUUGUAAAUUUUUGGUCCACUAUUUUUAUAAAGUGAUAUUUAAAUUUUUUACUCUACAAUUUCGAACCCCCUUGGCAAAAAUCCUGGAUCCGCCACUGCCCCCAUCGGUGCGGGAUCUUCGAUAAGAAAGCCCAGCAGUUUAUGGCCGGGAAUGUACCAUUCCCCUGUCACAAACGCGCUGUGGGAAGCUAGAUCGAAAAUGUAUGAGGGUCCCACCGGCAGUGAUUCUCCGGCGAGUGAAUUGGUGGCGAAAACUCCGGCGAAGAGUCGGACGAGUAUUCUGUACAAAUUCUCGAGUGAUUAUAUACUGAGGGAGCAGUAUCGGAAUCCGUGGAGUGAGAUUAGGCUAGGUAAAUUGCUUGAAGAUCUUGAUGCUUUGGCUGGAACCAUUUCGUUCAAGGUAGGUUUCCUAUUUUCUCGAUUCGUGAAAUUACAUUUUUCAUCCCUCAAGUUUGCACCGAUUUCACAUUUGGUCAUCCAUGUUUGUAAAAAACCACAUUUGGUCGUUUAUGUUACAAUAAUUUAACACUUUUGGUCAUUUCCGUCAAUCUCCUGUUAAAACUAACGGACUAACUGUAAUUAUCCAAACAAGAGGGGUGUUUUUGUAAUUUGACCAUACCUCAGGGGGUUUUUGUAAUUUACCCUUUUUUUAAUUAUUAAAAAGUAGCUGUUACAAAACUUAAUCUUAAAAUGAAAUGUAUAUAGGGGCUAUUUGAGAAACCCCUCAUUACUUUUUUUAAUUGAGAGAGGUCCAAAAUAUUUCAGUCCAUUUAAGAAAAGUCCACACCCAUUUUAAGCCAUCAUGUUUUACAGCUUUGCCCCCGCCCGCCACAUCAUCACUGGGUCACGCGCUCAGCGAUUUUCUUUUUUUCUGUUUUUUCCCCUUCUUUUCUGUACCAGUUUCCUUAAUCGACUAUGAAGCAUAGUCGAUUAGCCUUAAUCGACUAUGCUUCAUAGUCGAUUAAGGAAAUUCUUUAAUUUAAAAAAAAAAUUGUUUUUUAAUUUUUUUUUUUCUAUAUGAGGUAUAUCAAUCGCCUAUGAUGAAGCAUAGUCGAUUAAGAAUCUGCUACUAAACAUAACAAAUUACAACUGCGAAAAAAUGCAAAAACAACUAUAUUUUACAAAAAAUAAAAAAUAUUCAAACAUUAUAAAUGAUUUAUACAAUUGAAAUCAAUAAACAAGAAAUCCAAAAAAAAAUAAAAAAAAAAACUGGAGUCGAUCAACCUUAAUCGACUACCAGAACAUAGUCGAUUAGCUUAAUCGACUAUGAACAUGCACAUAGUUUCAGUCUGCGCGGAAUUCUCUACACGCACCGUUCUCCGUCCGAUCAAAAAAAAAUCCAAAAUCAGCCUCCCCAUCGUCCCCACACCACCCAGAGGUCCUGCCAUGGCCGAACCCGUCAGAUUUUGAGCAUGUUCAGCUCCAAUUAAGAAAACUAAUUUAAUUUAAUAUAAUUUAAUCCCAAUCCUAAUUUAAUUUAAUCCCAAAAGCAACAUGCAUGAUUCCUCUUUCCCGCAGCUCCGGCACAUCCUGCUGCUCGCCGCCGCCGCAAUGCAUCCGUCUCCGGCGAUGUUUGUGCCGUCCGAUGCAGCGCUCUCCGCCAAUGCUAGCCCGCGCCGGUCGAUUUCGUCGAAGUUGCUGCCGCAGCACGACUCCGCGGUGUCGCAAACCAAAUCCGCCUCGCCGGCGCGGUUGUUCUGCCGCCGCUGCUUCUGCUGUUGCUCGUCGUGGAAUUGGGAGAGGAUUUGCUCGUCUAAGGAAGCCAUGCUACGUCUCAUCACCUUAAACAUCUUGGGUUGUCCGAUGUUAGAUAUAAAAGGUGGAGAUAGCGAUUAUGGUUCUGAGUGGCCCCAGAUAUCCCAUAUCCCUGUGGUCAUAGUGGAUGAUUGGGUUCGAAUUCAAACUCAUGCUCAAUAAAUGUAAGUAUACUUAUUACUGGUUUAUUUGAUUUACCAGAUUAUAUUUUCUUUUUUUUUUUUUUUUUUUUUUUUUUUUUUUCCUUUUCUGUUUCUAUUGUAUUUUUUUUUUGGUUCCUACAGCCUCCAAAUUAAAUUUGUUGCUUAAAUAGAAUAGGAUGCUCAAGGCACACAGAUAUAUAAAUCUAUUUCAAAUUUAUUUCGGUAUAUAUUGAUUUUCUUUUUAUUUCAUAGAUUUAAUUCAACACCCCUCCAGCAAAGUUUUAAUUUAGGAUUCGGUGCCAAACAAACAUAAGGAGGAAGAGAGCGCAUUUUUUUGUAAAGGAGAAAGAGACCAGAUAACCCGCAAGGGUGGCCUAGCGGUUGGAGCAAGAGAGCUUGGGUCAAUUGACCCAAGUUCGAAUCCCCUUGCCAACGGUCGCUAGGUCGAGCUUGUCACACAUGGUCAAUGGCGGUACCAUGAAGGGGCAGGGGGGGGCAGUUGACCCCCCAAGAAAAAAAAAAAAAAAAUUUUUUAGCUAUUUUGACCUAAUAUUUUUUGAAUAUUACUUUUGGCCCCCCCAAAGAUUUUGUAAAUAUGUUUUUAACCCUUAAUUUUUUGUUUAUUCUCCAUAAUUUCAUAUAAAUUAUAGAUAUAUAUCAUAUUAUAGAUAUGUGUCGUAAUUCUUUUCGCAGUAUAAACCUAUUUUUUCAAUGUCUUGUGAACCUAAAUUUUUUUUCGGGGCGCUGCCCCGAACCCCGAAAUUUUAGUUAGCCCCCCCUACAUUCUAAUCCUGGUUCCGCCCCUGCACAUGGUUAGCCUAGUGUGGUUUACAUCUCUCGUAUGGUUUGCAAGCUAUUAUACGAGAGUGUAGGUUUACCCAGUGCACCUAUAUGGUUGGCUGCGGGUUCCUGCAUUAUCAAAAAAAAAAAAAAAAAAAAAAAAAAAAAAAAGAAAGAGACCAGAUUAAAAUGUGAGUAUACUUAUUUCUUCUUCUUCUUUCUUGGAUUUACCACAUUUUAUUUGGUUUACAUAUUCAUUGAUUCUCUUUUUUACUAUUUUCUUUAUAGAUGUGGUCAUUUUGUAAUUUCUCAUUUUUUUUGAUGAGUUAUUAAACCAAAAUUGAGCAUUUUUGUUGCAUAUUGCCCUUUCAAAUAUUAUUUUUGUUGCACGUUGCCGAAACCGAAACUCGUAGCCAUUUUAAUAUUGAUUUAGCUUUCCGCAUUAAGCAAAGAAUCCUAUCUAACACGACGUAAGUCUAAUUCAACUCAAUAUCUAUCAUAAUAAGUUUGAAUUUGAUAAAGGAACCUAUCCACUUUCUCUUUCGAUCAGCUCAAUUUGAAAAGCGAUCGAGAAAAUAGCUUGUUACAUCCAUAAUACGGGAAAGAUUCGAUCCCAAAGUGAAAACGCUUACAGGAUAACAAACAGCGAAAUAUGGAGUUUGUAGAAUAAUCCAUAACAUGGAAUUAUUAAUAAAAAUUGGAGUUAUGCACAUAACUCCUGUGUAAUCUCGAAUUGCUAAAAAACCCAUUGUGUUCAAAAAAAUUAGCAAUAAUCCCCCUAUGUUAUAUUUUACGAAGCACACUGCCUCUUUUUUCGUUUUUUCCCAUUCACUUAGAUGAAAUGACAAAAUUACUUUGAAUUCAAAAUAAAACAAAAUAAAAAUAUUCAACCCAAAAAAUAAAAUAUUGAAUCCCUCAAAAAAAAUUUGAAAACAAAAUCCCAAAAGAAAAAAAAAAGGAAAAGAAAAAAGAGACGAUGCAUUUGCUUCAUCUUCCCCGUCAAACCAACACACCACCCACUCCCUCCCCAACCCCAACCCCAAACCCCAACCCCAAACCCGAACUCAAACAACUUUCUAUCAAAUUCCUCAAAUGGUGCAUCCACCGCCGCACACGUCGGAGAGCUACCGUCUACCAGCAAUUUAAAAGGUCCGCGGUGGCGAUGGUGGUGGAUAUGGACGUCGUGUGUGAGGUGGUUAUGGCGGCGGACGUGUUGGAGGUGGGUACGAUGUUGACCGUGACUCUCUUCCUAUGACGUUUUCCAGUGAGGAAGACACCGGAGAUGGUGUGAAGAUGGUUGCCGGCUAGAGUGACGUUUGUGGUUUGAUUUGGGAAGAUGACCUUUUUGGAAAUGGGAAGGAAUGAAUUGCAAAUUUUGAAAACUUCAUUUUGGGACAUAUAGAAUUUUGGGGUGAAUUUGUAAUUUUUAAAAUUUAUAAUUUAAAGCGUAUUUUGGUCUUUUUGGGUCAAAAAUACACUAUGAGUCGCACAAUCCGCGCGUGCAGCACAAGAUAAGCUGUUAGGGACCUUAUUGCCUUUGAUUAAUUUUCAUAGGGGAUUCUUGCCAAAAAAAAUUUAACACGAGUGCUUUUUCAGCAAUUCGAGAUUACAUAGGGGUGGGUUUUGCAAAAAUCCCAUAAAAAUUGUAUCAGAUGUUAAAAUACAUUAUACAUGCAUACAUGCAGAUUUAAGGUAGAGAUUCACAACUAACAACAACUCUAAGAGGAAAUUUUCUAUGAAUGGUAAGUCCUCUUUUUUACUAUUUUCUUUAAAAAUGUGGUCAUUUUAUCUUCUCAUCGAUGACACCCUUCGUAGCGGACGCUAUUCCCUCUUCAGCUUAAUGACUCCUCCUCCACCGGCAACUUCUCUUCGCCAAUGCCAAGUGGUUGAACACCCCCAGCCCUCCGCUGUUCAUCGGUAUUGGAGUUUUUCAGCACAUGCAUCCUUCAAAAACAUUUUUCCAGCGAGAAGGACCAGAUCCGACUACGGGGAGUUAUUGCGGCGAGUGAUAAGGGUGGAGGCCUGUUUAAAGUAAGAUUCUAUGGGGGCAAACAUUUUCCGCCCAAAUCGAUGUUCGGCGAUUUCUAAAAGUGGGGUCUGGUUCGAUGUAGAUUCGACGCGGGAAAUCAUUUUUCGGACAAAUUGAACAGUAACACUUCGAUUCUGGCGAGUUGUGGGGAAUGAUUACUGAAAAAUUAUAAAAAUCUAAGGAAAUGAAUGUUUUGGGGAGGAUUAUUCAAAAAAAGGGAAAAAGAACAAUAGCUCAUUCUUUUCUCACACUGUUUUUUUUUGUAAGGCUUUUCUUUUAAUAAGAUUUUACUGAAAAAUUAUAAAAAUCUAAGGAGAUGAAUGUUUUUGUAAACAUGGGGACUAAAUGUGAAUCAUUGCAAAUUUGAGGGGCGAAAACUGUAUUUUUCCCAAAAAAUUAUAAUAAACUUUUGUUCAGGAAGUUAGAACCGGUGCAUAUUGUCAACUGUCAAGUGCCAAUUCAGAAUCUUACGAUGACUUCAUGCCAACUAGCAACACAGUUGGCUUCUGCAUUAUUUUAAUCAUAAUUAAUUAAAAGAAAGUAUAGCAAUGGAAUUACUAACCGUAUAUGGUUAGUCAAGUUACCAUGGUUUGGAAACAAGGGAAGGAUCGAAAAAAGUUGGAGAUAUUAAUAUUAAAUGAUACAUUUCACUAACAGCUUAAGCUUUUGGUUGAGAUGGUCAUUCAACAUGGUAUCAGAGUCAGGCCAAAUGAAAGGUCCUGAGUUCGAAUCCCACAACCACCCGUUUAAAAAUAUUUCAAGUGUCAGGCUUCAAAUGUAAUCCCCCUGCACUUGAGGCCAUAACCACCCGUUUAAAAAUAUUUCAAGUGUCAGGCUUCAAAUGUAAUCCCCCUGCACUUGAGGGGACGUAUUGGAGAUAUUAAUAUCUCAAAUAAAAAGAACCAAAGAAGCCUUCGCAAUUUCUUGAACGAUGCGGAGAAGAAGCAAGUUACCGAUGAAACCGUCAACCGGUGGUUAAUGAAGCUCGAAGGUGUGACUUCCGAUGCCGACAAUCUCUUGGAUGAGCUCAACUAUCAACAUCUCUCGAAGAAACAUCAUACAAAAUGCGGAAAAAGGUACGUAAUGGCAUCAUUGUUACUACGCGACGCGAACAUGUUGCUUCGCUGGUGACAACACUUCCCAUUCACCAACUAAGUAGCUUUUCAGACGAUGAGUGUUGGUCCAUAAUCAAAGCAAAAGCCAUUAUUGGAGAAGGUACGGAGAUGAAAAUUUAGUUUCCAAGAUUUUGAAAUUGAGUUUUGAUCAUUUAUCGCCACCGGCACUCAAAAAGUGUUUUGCGUACUGUUCGAUAUUUCCUAAAGGAUUUAACUUGGAAAGGGAAAAAAUGGUCGAACUUUGGAUGGCAGAGGGGUUUCUUCAAGGAAUUGAUAUGAAGAUUGUGGGCAACAAGUUCUUCGAUAUUCUUUUACAAAACUUCUUGUUGUUACAAGUUGUGGGGAGAAACGACUAAUAUGGCAAUAUAAUGUAUUAUAACAUGCACGAUCUGUUAAAAUAUGAGAUUUAUUGUUUAUUUAAUUAAAUGAUUAAUAUUAGUUUAGUAAAAUAAUUAGUCAAAAUAGUAUCCCGUGAUUGUAGGAUACUUAGUUAGUUGUUAGUAGUGGGUUAGUGUUCCUUAAAAUUAGGAUAAAUUUGUUAAUUAGUUUUCUAUUUAAGUUGUAACAUUCUGAUUAUGUUAAAUGAAAAACGCCGUUUAUCGGUUUUUCCAACAUGGUAUCAGAGCUUGGAUCCUGACCUGUGAUCCGGCUCUUUUAUUGUGAAAGGGUUCACAUAUUCCUCGUUACAGGAGAUGUCUCGAUACUUCACUUUUCUAUUCUAGUGUGUGAAAGGUGUAUUUAAAAAAAAAAAAAAAAAAAAAAAAAAAAAAAAAAAGAGCGAAUAGAGAAGAAUCGAGAGAGUCACAUUUUUUUGUGAGUAAAUAGACAGAGUUUGCAGAAGCUUCCCCAUAUGAAGAACAAAGCAGAAGGUUUAUAGGAGAUGCUAUUGAAUCUUUCAUACGUGAAUGAAGGACCUAGGGAACUUAUUCAAAGAAAAGUAAGGUUCUUGAAUAUUGAGAUGCAGCUGCCUGCUAAACCUCGAUCUUUGCGGCGAACACUCGGUUAUCCAAGUGACGCGGUUUUCUUAAUAUCUAUGGGGCAGAGGCAAGCUAGAUUCGACAACUACGAGACCGUACAAAAUAGAGCCGUGGAUGUUGAGAUCCAUGCCAAAGACGCGAAGGAUUGAUGACGUUGGCGAGGGCAAGAUGAAUCAGCCCAUUUGUGACACCGUCGAGGCAGCCAAGGCCAAAUCCGACACAUACGAGACGACACUCGGCAACGGAGAGCACGUUUGGCAAACUCGGCGCAAAAAUUAGAAGAUUUGAGACAACACCAAUCUUACAGUGGAAGAAGUUCCGAAGGAGGCUACGUCGAAGGUGAAAGUUGCAGCCCAGAUCCGACAGAUAUGAGGAGAUGCAAAUAUUUUCGGCAUAGGAAAGCAUGUUCGGUGGUGCGGCUGGUUAGGCCGGGUAGAAAACCGUGGUGGCAUGACAGACCAUUCAAGAAAAUCUUGAAGGGUGACAAAAAUCCCAAACACUUGAUGGGAAUGCUGAAGAGGUGAAGGAAUGUUGAAAUCUUGAAAGGAACUCUUGUUAAACAAUGUGAAGAUAAGUGAAAUCUUCAAGACAAUUUGGUACAACGAGAGGAUUAAUGUUGCCUCAAGAAUGAGGUGAAAUCGGCCGUAGCUGAUGUGUCCAUCUUUAGUACGAGAAUAUGGUGGAAUACUUCAUUGAAGUAGAAGUGUUCGAUUAGCAGCAGCUAAUGUAUUUCUUUCGCAAAAGAAAUUAGAAGUUCUCGUGUUUGAUGGAUGGAGUGUCAAUCAGUGAAGAUUGACGGAGGCGUUCGAAAAAAUUGGCGUUCGCCCCAGUAGGAGUGUUUGAGGCAUUGGUUCUCGUUAUGAGGAAUUUGAUAUAUGUUAUUUCGCAAAAGAAUAUAUCGAAGCAGAAGAAUAAAUCUCAUGGUAAACUGUUUUCCGCGGAAAUCAGUUUAAGGGAGGGUGUUAAAAUAUGAGAUUUAUUGUUUAUUUAAUUAAAUGAUUAAUAUUAGUUUAGUAAAAUAAUUAGUCAAAAUAGUAUCCCGUGAUUGUAGGAUACUUAGUUAGUUGUUAGUAGUGGGUUAGUGUUCCUUAAAAUUAGGAUAAAUUUGUUAAUUAGUUUUCUAUUUAAGUUGUAACAUUCUGAUUAAAUGAAAAACACCGUUUAUCGAUUUUUCCAACACGAUCUUGUGCAUGAUCUAGCAUCGUCUAUUUUAAAUUCAAGCGAGCAAGUUCGGUACAUAGGCCUGCAAUCUACUACUAGCGACGAAUCGUGUAAAAAGCGAGUGUAUUGAAAAACUCAUUCUACUUUUCUUGUUGUUUCUCCGUAAUAUAUAUACAUCAAGCAUAAUCCUAAUUUCCCUAAAUUAAAAGAUCAUAAAUCAGAAAAUACAGAGAAUAUAUACAUACAAGGAAAUAACAAUCUUUUCUCUCCAUCGAUAAAGAUUAGACAAAGAUUAUGCAAUAUUGUCAAUACCCCCCCCCCCCCCCCCCUCUUUAAGUUGGAGCAUGAGGAUUUUGAAUGCCCAACUUGCCCGAAUGAAAUCAAAUUGUCGUUUUCCCAAAGCCUUGGUGAAAAUGUCAGCAAGCUGUAAAGUAGUAUGCACGUAUUGAGUUUGGAUAUUGCCUGCUUGUAUCUCAUUGCGUAUAGUGUGACAGUCUACCUCAAUAUGCUUUGUGCGUUCGUGAAACACAGGAUUUGCAGCAAUGUGUAAAGCUGCUAGACUAUCACAAUACAGACGCAUAGGUCCAAUUUGCGCCACACCAAGAUCAAGCAAUAGACGUUUCAACCACUUCAAUUCACACACGGCGGCUGCCAUGGACCUAUAUUCUGCUUCUGCCAAAGAACGAGACACUGUUUGUUGCUUUUUAGUUUUCCAAGAUAUAGGUGACUCUCCAAGAAAAAUAAAAUAUCCGCUUAAUGAACUUCUUGUCAAGGGACAACUUGCUCAAUCAGAGUCACAAUAACCAUAGAGUUUCAAAUCGCAAUUAGCACGCAUCAGUACACCUUGUCCAGGGUUUCCUUUCAAAUAUCGCACAACCCGUAAUGCAGCUUCCCAGUGGUCAUGCUUCGGACAUUGCAUGAAUUGUGCAAGUAUAUGCACACAAUAAGACAAUUCGGGACGAGUAAUCGUCAAGUAGAUUAGUCGUCCUACCAAACGCCGAUAUUUUUCCGGAUCAAGCAACUCAGCCGUUUGAGACAAUGCUAAUUUAUGAUUUUCUUCGAGCGGAGUACCGACGGGCUUAGUUCCCAAUAGGCCUGAGUCAGCAAUAAUGUCGAGCGUAUACUUCCGCUGACAUAAGAAGAUACUGUUUGAGUUUCGGGCAACUUCGAUGCCCAAGAAAUAUUUUAAUUCCCCCAAAUCCUUCAUAUGAAAGCACUUGCUCAAAUAAUCUUUGAAUUUCUGCACACUCACUUCAUCAUUCCCAUAAAUAAUUAGAUCGUCAACAUAGAUGAGAACGUUGAGGCGAAUCACUCGAUCGUUGUAAAUAAACAAAGAAUAGUCAGAAUUCGACUAUUUGAAUCCGUAAUUCGUCAAGGUCGUAGUCAGCUUGGCGAACCAACAUCUCGGUGCUUGGCGCAAUCCGUAUAAAGACUUUCGGAGUCGGUAUACCUUUCCUGGUGUUGGCGGCGUAAAACCAGGUGGCAUUUUCAUGUACACCUUUUCAUUCAGUUCACCAUGCAAAAACGCAUUGUGAACAUCCAUUUGAUGUAAUUCCCAAUUUCUUGCAGCGGCAAUAGCCAGAAAUGUACGAACGAUGACUAUUUUUCUCGUGGGGGCAAAAGUCUCACUAUAAUCCAACCCUUCAACUUGUUUGUUGCCAAGAAUUACUAAUCGCGCAUUACAUCUUUCGAUGCUUCCAUCCGAAUUGUACUUUAUCUUGUACACCCAUUUGUUGCCGAUUGCCUUCUUCCCGGGAGGCAAGUCUUCUACUGUCCAUCCACUCUUUUCAAGAGCAUGUAUCUCUUUUCUCAUUGCCUCUCUCCACCGUUCAUCUUUUAUUGCCUCACCAUAAGAAUUAGGUUCAUGACCUGUAUCAACAGCUGCUAGAAAAGAACGAUGCGAUAGAGAAAAUUUGUCACACUAUAGCAAAUUUAUCUCCAUCUUGAUUUUGAUCAUGGACAUAGCUCAAACACCCAAAAGUUCGUAUAUGUUUGUGGUCAGGCCCUUGUCCGUACAAUAUCUCAUAUGGUGUUUUCCCUUCCAACAAAACAGACGGUGUCCUAUUGAUCAAAUAUCCAGCUGUAAGAACACAUUCACCCCAAAAUUUAAUGGGAAAAUGUACCUGAAAGCGUAACGCUCUUGCUACAUUCAGAAUAUGACGAUGUUUUCUUUCCACACGCCCAUUUUGUUGGGGUACUCCAGUGCACGUAGUCUGAUGCAAAAUACCAUGCUCGGCAAAAUACCAUGUUCGGCAAAAUAAUCCCGUAAACACAUAAACUCGGUUCCAUUAUCACUUCUAACGACUUUCACAUUUUUUUCAAAUUGCCGUUUAAUCAUGACAAUAAAAUUUCUAAGAACACAAGCAACAUCAGUUUUCCUAUUCAACAAAAAUAUCCAAACUGCACGAGAACAAUCAUCAACAAUAGUCAAGAAAUAAACAGCUCCACAUAAAGCAGGAAUUCGGUAGGGUCCCCACAAGUCACAAUGAAUCAAAUCAAAACAUUAUUUAGCUUUAUUUCCACUGGAAAAAAAUACGUCUCUUGUUUGUUUAGCUCUAAAGCAAAUGUCACAAGGUUUAUUUCCAACGCUACCAAUCCUUCUAUUUAAACUUACUUCAGAAAUUAAAUCUACUAUUCUAGGAGAGGGAUGACCCAUUCUUCUAUGCCACAACUCGAACAAUCUGUUGGCACUAGUCGAGUAUACUCGCAUCGGAGUGACCUCUUUAAGAAAAUAAAGUCCCUCCCGUUGUUCACCCGCUCCAAUCAGCAUCCUCGAAGUGCGGUCCUGUAUAGCACAAACUUUAUCAGUGAAAUGGAAAAUACAGUUAGAAUCAAUAGCAAGCUGUGAUACAGAAAUCAAGUUGCACUUUAAUUCAGGAACAAAAAAAACAUUGUGAAGUUUGAGUUGUUCUCCAAAGUUCACAAUUCCUUCUUUCAAGUCCAAAGUUUUGGCUCCGUUCGGCAAUCCAACAGAGCAUGCUGCAAUCUUGCGCACAUGAGUCAAACAUUCAUAUGUCCCGGUCAUGUGAUGUGAAGCUCCUGAAUCAAUAAUCCAAAGUAACAAGUUAUUCUUACCCGUCAAUCUUUCAGUAUUACCAUCUUUGUGAGAAUCCAAGAUGUUAAGGAGAGCGGACCACUGUUCAUUACUGAGGCCGGUAAGUCCAGUUCUAUAGGAAUUUGUCACAAUAUUUCUUGUUCCAUCAAAACUCGGAGCUUGUGCUGCGUGGGCUCGAGCUGCACCUCCACGCCCCCUUCCAUUGUUUUGUUGAGUACCACGACCAUUUGUACUACCGCGUCCUCCAGUUGUUGUACGGGGUCUCUCACCCCACCACUCCGGGUACCCAAUUCGUUGGAAACAAUUUUCAGCAUCGUGUCCCUUUCUUUUGCAAAUCGAGCACGUCGAAGGCUUCUCCUUUCUCUUCUCCCCUGAAUUUCUACCGUCCUGCACCACGAAGCUCAUGGUGUUCCCUUUUUCUUUCUUCGUCGAAGUCAUUAUUUGCACCUGCUCUUGCUGCACCACCAUGGCGUAAACUCGAUUAAGAUUGGGUAAUGACUCGGCACUCAAUAUAUUGGACCGUACUGUUUCAUAUCCACUUCGUCGAGUCCCAUUAAGAAUUGAUAGAUUCUUUCUUCUUCCCGUUUCUUGUCCAACUUAGUGGUAACAUUGCACUUGCACCUCGCGCAUUCACAUACUGGAAUUGGAUCAUAAUUGUUCAAUUCAUCCCAUUAAAAAAAAGAUUUGAGCCGACCAUACUCUGCCCAUUUUGUUUGCAAUUUGCAAGGUCUGAUCUUAUUUGUUGUACUCGAGGUCAUUGCUCACAGAGAAACGUUGUUUUAUUUCUUCCCAAAGAUCUUUCAGAUCUUCCAUGUAGGAUAUGGUAGAUCGAAGUGUUGGUUCAAUGGUGUUAAAAAUCCAUGAAACAAGCAUUGAAUUAACACUCCACCAAUCUUCAAUAUCAGGUGAAUCAUAGGUGGGACGUUCCAAAUCAGAACUUAAUAAACACUCGGUCUUUGUUCAAUAAGUCUAUUCUUGGUUUCUCUACCUUUUAUACUGAAACUUAUCGUUUGAUAAUCGUUGUGUAGUUGCGUAAAAAAAAUAGAAGACACUCACCACACACCACACAACACACACAGACAUAACCAACCUUCAUAAACAAGAUGACAGUGAUCAAAGCAAUGAAAAGAGGCUCCUGGAUGCUGUAAAAUUCGAAAAAAAAUUAAUUCAUUUGAACAUAAUCACUACCUCCAUGCAUGCUGUAAGUUCGGAAUAUUUUUAACAAAGGCUCCUGGAGCUUUUAAAUGUGUUCACACCCAAGAAAUUCUUAACUCAAACAAAGAAACUGAUACAUCUUUACUUUAGGAUUAAUAAUUAUUGCCUAUGGGAGGACAAAUUGCUUCAUCUCGUACUUUAGUUGGUUUGGAUGGUCUUUUUUUUUUUUUUUUUUUUUUUUGUUCUCAAAUGCUCUUAUUAAUUAAUAAUGAUUCGUAGAUGGACAUCCUGAUCAAAAUAGGUUUAAUUACUUGAUCCGAAAGUCUGGAACCAAGAAUUUAUUGCUCUUCUAUUGAAUAUUAUCAGAAAUGAUUGUAUGAGUUGAAUGAAAUUUAAUUUGAAGAUAUUUAUUUAUUGCUCUUCUAUAAUUCUAUUGAAUAUUAUCAGAAAUGCAACAUUGUGGUAAGAAUCAAAAUCCGGCUAUCCUAUAAUCUGCAUCAUCAACUUCGGCCCUUCGAUGUGUGCAAAAAUGGAGAAACAAAGAGGUGUGGCAGUGUGGAGAAAUGGGUAUGUUGCGCCUACUACCUACAAAUUUCCAAUUCAUUAUAUUUUUCAAGAAAACAAUUGGCCACGUGUACUAGUUGGUCAUAUAAGUUGGUCCACGUUUCAAGUCCACAUCAUACUUCCAUCCAAACUAACAGCAAAUCUAACAGUAGCACGAAAAUUGUAGAAAAAUGACAUCAUUAGGGACCACUAUUGUAACUCGAAAAUGUUUAGGGACAGUAUUGAAAAAGUGGAUAAAGUUUGAGGACAAAAAAUGUAAUUUUCCCUUAAUUUGGAGAAUAUGCAUGGCUUUUCUGGAAGUGUCAAGGACUGAAUUGAAAAUUUUGAAAAACUUCAUUUUGGGGCUUAAUUUUUCUGGGGUGAAUCUGUAAUUUCUGAAAUUUAUAAUUGAAAGGAUAUUUUGGUCUUUCCAGGAUAAAAAGUACACACACCAGGCGCAAAAUCCGCAUGUGUAACACACAAUAAGCUAUCAAGGUCCUUAUUGCUUUUGACCGAUUUUCAUAGAGGUUUUUGCUAAAAAAAAUUUAAAACGAGGGUUUUUUCGGUCAUUCUAGAUUACACAUGGGUGGUUUUUGCAAAAAAAAAAAAAAAAAAAAAAAACCCUGAAAACAACAUAUACAUGCAAAAAUAUCAUACUCAUACCGAUUUAAUAAACUAGAGAUUUAAGGUGGAUUCACAACUAGCAAUACCCUUAAGAGGAAAUUUUAUGUGAAUAGUAAGUUGGGGUUGUCUAGGGUCCGAGAGGGGUUGUACUUCUCGGACCUAAACGAUUGAAUCUGGGGCGUCCAAAACUAUUAAAUUUGGAUCUCAUCCAUUAAUUCAUUUGUACACCCUAGUACGACUCUGUACGAUACUAGGGAUUUAAAAAUUAAAGUAUGAACCCAGUAAAAACACAUCGUACACCAUCAUACACGCACCGUACUUUAGACAAAUUACUUAAAUAACCUUAGAUAAUUAAAUCAAUGAAUAAAAUUUCCAUUAAAAAAUAUUAUAAUAACCACAAUCAAUAAACAUUACACGUCAAUAAAAAACACUAUCAAAUAUUGUUCUCCAAAAUCAAAAUUUAUGUUGAUCGUGCUGCUUCGUCGUCCCCUCAUCACUCUCAAUCCUUGCCAAUGUCUAAGAGAACCAAGAAAAAUGGAGUUGAAAAGUGGAGUACGAACCCUAAAUCGAUAUUCCUGCAAUUUUGUAAAUGCAAGCUGAGAUUUGAUUUUUUCAUUCGAUGUAUCCGUGUAGUUUUUUUCAUUUGUUUAAUGGUGAGUACAGGUUGGGAAAACACAUGGCAGAUAGGGGUUAGGGUUUCAAUUUUUUCAAUUGAAUUCCCCUCCUCUCCAUGUAGUUCCCUAUUCCAUUUAUCCCAGAGCUUCCACAUGACAAUCGUAGCCAAUCAAAAAUCUGGUGAACUCAAUUGCUGAAACAGUUGAUCAAUCCAUUGCGAAUCCGAUGCUGAUGUGUUUUUUGAUAAUUUGUCAAAGGGGGGGAGUGACCAAACCAUAUCAACGUCACUGCACUUCGUAAUGAUAUGGAGAAAAGAUUCAUGGCCUUCUCCGCACUUGCGGCAGCGGGGAUUAGUAACAAUUUUCCGUGGAAAAAGUACCAGGUUUGUGGGGAGAAUGUCUGAGCACAUUCUCCAAAGAAAAUUCUGGAUUUUCGAGGGAAUUUGAAGUUUCCAGAUUUUUUUCCAAUUAAAUUUCGUGGUCCCGCUGGUAGAUUCCCAACUAAUUCCACAAUUCUGUUGUGCACCGGGGAAGACGAGAGAACAUGGUGAUAGCAAGAGCGCACGGUAAAAUGUCCGUGACUGGAAAAUCUCCAAACCCAUCGAUCCUCAACAAAUGGGCAGCCAAUUGGGACCGUGAGGAUUCGAUCCCUAUCAACUUGCCAGAAAAACUCACUCCUCGAUUCACUGGAUGUUCCAUGAAUUGGUACAAUGGUCAUUAAUAUCCGAAACCCGAUUCGGGAAGGGAGAGUGUACUGGUCUCUUAGUAAACACUCCUACUAUAUUGUCAAUGUCAUUGUAAGGCAUAUAUUAACAGUGGUUUAUACUUCUGUAAAUUGCUUUAUGACUACAUGUUUUUAUAUUCUGUUAAUUACAGACAAAUAAGAUUAUCUUUAGUUGUAGAGUAACUAGUUUCAGCUUUUGCUUGAAUUGCAACUUUCAUGUGGAAAAUAAGUUAAAAAUGGUUUAUAUUUCUUGUGCGGUUCGUUCUCGGUAAAAUGGCAGCAACUUGUUACCUGCCCGUUCUGAUAUACAUGUGGAUCAGAUAGGGAGGUUCCAUUGUAUUCCUUUUAUUCUAAUUGGCAGGCACUUUGUCGAACUUGUUUUAGUUCUUUGUAUGCAGAUUGAUAGCCAAGUUACUCUGUAUUUUUGCAUUAAAGAAUCAAAAUCAAUGUAACUCUGGCAUUACUUACGUGUAACAUUUUCCAAAUGCAGUGGAAUACGUUCUUUUUUAUUUACAGUUAACAUAGUUUCCAAGGUACAUUUUAGCAUUUUUCAUGUUGACAUAUACUCAUUUAAUAAUUAAUAAAGAGAAUAAUACGUUUGGAAAAAAAUCGUGUUAACAAAAUGGGUGAUUUCAGAUUGAGUCAUGGAACAAAAUUCUGAUCAGAAUGUGCCACAAUAAAACCUCUGGUCUACUACAAGAAUAAUCCAAGGUUUUGAGUGCUCAGAGUCAGAAAGUCAAAGGAAAUAUAUGACCAAUAUUACAACAGAAAAUCAAAGAAGAUUACAUUCUUCAAACCAAAGAAACCAGCUGGGGAUCUGAGCAGAGGGCAUCGAUCACACCGACCACGAGAUGCACCAUGACUUCUAGAAACACUCCUGCUCCGACUCGUUUUGGCGCUCAUAUCUAACACCAAUAAAGCAUUAUAUACAUUUAACGUUUUACUGAUUGUUACAAACAAACAAGUAGAGUAUUUUAUGUGCAAAGGAUCCUUGGAGUUUCAUAUAAGCAUAAUCAAGUAUAAAAAAUAAAACCAUAGCAUUCGAUGUGGAUAUUAAAAUAGAGACAUGAACGGCAAAGAAUAUCAGAAAGAUCACAGCGCACAUCCAUAAGUAAAGCUUCAACAGAAAAUAUACCAAGUGUUUGAGCGUUCUCCGCCUCUUUAGUUAAGUUUUGAUCUUCCUGAAAGAUUUUUCCCUACACAUAUUUUCGUCAUUGGAACUGAUGUUGCUGGUGUCACUACUAUUGGCUUCACUAGAACUUUUCAAGCACAUAUAAUUCAAAAUUUAAAAUUUAAAAGCCAUGUGCAGCAAAUUAAAAGUUAUUUUACUAUAUAAAUUGCUCAGGCACAGUUUUGAAACUACAAGAUUAUCCAAAUGUAGGUUACAGCCUACAGGGCAGUAAUGCCAAUACUCUUUUAUGAAGUUCAUAAUAUUUACACCAGUACAUGUAUUUUGUGAAAAUCUAAAGGAUGCGUACAAUGAUAAUUUUACAUAUCACUUAUAUAAUGCUUGCUUGAUAAGGACACUGGAAACGAAUGCCAAGGAUAUUUAGCAUAAUAACACAAUCACCAAGAACAACUAAAUCAAUGCUCACUAUAUAAUCAAUGUCAGUGACAAGAAGAAUACAUUAACAUAUAAAGAAACUAUUAAUCUACUGCUCCAUGAUUCUUUCUGUACAAAUAACCUCAUGGUUGAAGUCCAAAAUUUAAACUUCAAACCAAGGUUUAUUACACUCCCAUUUUACUUUUUACAUCAAUAAUGUAUUAAUUAUUUUCACUGAGUGGUCUACAAUUAAUCGCCUCCGACGCCCCAAAAGUGGAAAAUACGAGGACCAUAACAACAAAACCUAAAAAAAUUCAAGCAUAUAAUAAGAAAGAAAGAAAUUACCUCGAGGCCGAUGCCUUUACUGCCAUUGUGAGUGGCUCGAAUUUUGACGGAAAAAAAUUGGUGGAAGAACUCGAGGGGGAGAGACGAAGAAGAAGAGCAAGGGUUCUAACGAAAAAAACAAGUCUACAGUUUAGUCGAUCAGAAUAAGAAUUAUUGUUAUUUUAAUAUAGUUUUUAUGGUAAUUAAACUUGUAAAAUAUUAAUUUUUAAAAUUAAGCUUUAUUGGUUUUUUAAUUAUAUUUUUGACAUUAAUAAAAAAGGAGUUUUAUGUAAUUUUAAUUAUGACCAAGGGUUCGUACUUUUUUUUGCUGGGUACGUACUAAUCCAAUGUGGCACAUUUUUAUUGGUUUAUUACGGUCCGAGAAGUACAGCCCCUCUCGGACCCUAGACAACCCCUAGUAAGUUGUUGGAUGCUAAAUACCAACACGCAAGUGCACGUAUCCCAAACAAGUAGUAAAGUAGACUCGUGAGAGUCGGAUGUCGAUCCCACAGGGAAUACGCAAAUUAUUUAAUCCUAAGUACCAAAUUCUAACAAUUAUGAUUUUUAUCCAGCCUACGCAGGGUUGUCAAAUUAAUUAACUAAAUAAAUUAAACUAAUAAAGAAAGCAAAUAAUCACGAGAAAAUAUCAAUAUAAAACGGAUCUAGGAUUUUAUCUCCCCCUAUGCGAUAAUUCUUCACCCAAUUAAUCUCCUAUCAUGCAAGUUACGAUUCCCGAUUAUUAACCCAAGACACGAAAUUACUCAUAACCAGCUGUCGCUGUAUUACAAGCCUAUUAUUCAUAAAAGAUUCACUAUAUGUCUAUGCAAACCUAGUAUAAAUAAAGCAUUAAAUAACAAGUCUCGUAAACGGCUACCUAAGGUAUUAUCUGUAUGUCUACGAUAAUACAUGCAAUUAACACACUCAUCCGGUGAAAACUACUCGAAGGCUCUUCUAUCCCUGUUCUAAUUAUUAAAACGAUCUGUCAAUCAAUUCUAACAAUAACUAAUAGCGACAUAAAUUAGCUACGUUCAUGCGCCAAAUAAGAUCAAAAUAGAAGAAAUAAUCGAAGAAUUAAACUUGCAUAAAAGUAGAAAAAUAGGUUCGAAUUACCACAUAGGGUUCCAAUAAAAUCCUAGAAUAAAAACUUAGCUACUCAUGUUCUCUACGGAAAGCAUAAUAAAAAUACGAAAAACCAUAAAAGCUAUGAAUAAAAAUAAAAGAGGAGAACUAUGAUGAAGAUUCGUCAAGUCUUCGUCUUCGUUGCUCCGUUCCUAAAUUGCGUGUAGAAAGAUAAAAGAUAAAAACUAAAGGUAAAAGAUUAAAGAUUUUUAAAGAUUCCAAGAUGUCUCUAAUUGUGUGCUUUUGGCCUUUAAAUAGGGUGCAAAAAUAUAAUAGGGCGGGUUUCCUUGUGUAAUUAAACUUCCUUCACUGCGCCACCUCGACCAUCCGGACGGCCGUUUGAGAUUUACGCCUGAAAUCCGCACGGCCGCGCGGUCUUCAAUUCUUCAGAAAUCUGAUUUUUUUCACUUUUGGCCCACUUUUUCUCCAAAUUUGCAGUUUUUACCCACACCCACAUUGGUGUGUGUAGAUCAACAGUAAAAAAUCACCCGGUGUAACCUUCACCGGGUGUAGCAUAGAAAUAACCACCUUCAGACAUAUCCAAAUCUACUCUGCUCGCGCCACCUGGCAAUUCAAAUCCGAAAUUUAAAACAACAUUCGCAAGACCAAGCUCCACAAUUCCCAUGGCGAACGCAUCCACAGGGCACCCCAUUCACCCCCCUUUUAAACGGAAUCAACUCAACGUAACGUUCAAAACGCGUUAAAGUUUAGGGGGCAAAACUCAAAACUCAUUUAAUUCUUUUAGUUUUGCACUUUGUAAUUUCAACAGGAUUAAUGAAUUUAAGAAAAAUAUUUGACAUUUGGCAUACUAAAAAGAUACCAAUAAAAAUAAUAAAUUACCUUCAUUAUCUUUAAAAAAAAUUAUUCGGGGUGAAUUACGCAUGAUUUAUUGUGUUUCGAGGGUGCAAAGUGCUAUUAAAUUUUUUUCGAGGGUGCAAAGUGCAUAAAUGCUAUAUUUCAAGGGUGCAAAGUGGGAUUAAGCCAUAAUUUUAUUGGACCUCUCAAGAUUGAAUUCUUAAGUGUAUUAAAAAAUUUAUGUAAUUUCUUUCCUUGACCUAUUAAUUUCAAAUAUAUAUACAGAUAAGUCAGUGUUCUAAAAAUCGGUCGAGGCGGCCGAUUAAUCGGUCUCCGAUGCGGAGGCAGUCUAAAACCUUUACGAUUUUAGUGUAAUGGUUUGAAAAAUCGGUUUUUGCAUGCGAGGCGGUUUUAGGCGGUGCGAGGCGGGUUGAGACGGUCAAACCUUGUAGGCGGGUCAAAUUUUGGUGGCAAAAAUCAGUCAAAAAUCAUUUUUUUUAAUAAAUAAAAAAAGUUGGGUUUUUAAUAAAUAAUGAGUGUAUGUUUUGUUUUAUUUUGUUCAUAUUAUUUUUUAUUUUUAAAGGACCUAAUGAUAUAUGCUUGAAUGUUCAAUUAUAAUUUUGGAUGCACAAGAUUUUCGUUUUAUUUUUAUUUUGUAAGAAUUUUUAUUAUAUAAUCUUAUUAUUAUUAAAAUUUUAUUAUGUGAUUAUGAUAUAUCAAUGAUGUGGAUAAAAUCAUGUUUAAAUAUAUUUUUAUAUCUAUUUUAAGUAUUUACAAAUAAUAUCUAAAAUUAUAUUACAUUAAAUUUGAAAAACCGAUUUAGUGUCGAUUAAUCACCGCCGCACCGAUUAAUCGUGAGGCGGUGCCUAACUGACUCGGGUCCGAUUCCCGCCUUUUACAACCUUGAGAUAAACACACAAAUUUUUACUAUUUCAAAAAUUUUGAUUUAAGAGGGGAGGUCUCUGUAAUUUCAAUGAGUAAGAGGGUGUUAUUCCAAUUUUACAGUAUGAAAACUAACUCAAUAGAAAAUGAUAUAUUCAUUGUAUCUCAAUUUUCAAUAGUCAUCGAAAGUGUGUGAUAUUAUUCGUUGCGUUGCGGACAAGAUAUCAUCAGUUGGUCCCGCAGCCAUCAACGCUCUUUUCUUCUUUUAUGUUCCUCUUCUUUCUUUUUUGGCUGCCAGCGGUUCUUUUUUUCUUUUUUUUUUUCUUUUUUUCUUUUUUUCUCUUUUUCCCUUUUCUUUCUUUGUACAACAAUGUCAUUUUUAUUUUAUUUUUUCCUUUUUCCCUUUUCCUUUUCUUUUGUUUUGAUUUUUUCUAUUAUUAUUAUUUUUAUUUUUUUCAUUUAUUUGGUUUUUUUUUUAUAUAUUUGUUUAUAAUCAUAAAAAGGUAGAAACACUUAAGUAAACACUUAAUUCGUAAAUAAACACUUAAGUAAAGUUAUUACAUAUUUCCAUUGUGUCCUGCCCAUACAUGAGCUAUUAAGUCACGCGGAAGGUUACGAUUUUCUUUGACCGAUCGUAUUGUGUGACGACAUCUCAUAUAAUCACUUAUUGAUAUGCCGCUUGUUCUUCGAUUAGAUCUAAUAAUUCCUCUUGGAUUAUUAUUAUUAUUAUUAUUAUUAUUAUUAUUAUUAUUAUUAUUAUUAUUAUUAUUAUUAUUAACCAUGCCCAGUGCGUUGCACCGGUGCCAUUACGAAAGAGAAGAAAAUAUAUAUAUAUAUAUAUAUAUAUAUAUAUAUAUAUAUAUAUAUAUAUAUAUAUAUAUAUAUAUAUUCGUUUUUGAUAAUUGUCCAUCAAAUAUUUACAUUGGAUGCUGAUAGAACUGUGUCAACAACCAUAGUCCCACUCCCAUCUUUAUGAGUGGGACUUUAUGGCAUGUAGCAAUAAUUCAUCGAAUAAUCUCACGUGGUUUGUUUGUGCGGUAUUAUAUUAUAUGUUUCUUACUUGACCCAAAAAAAAAAGAUUCCUAUGGUUGGAAACAAGUGAAGGAAAAAAGAACUGCAAAGACUUCUCACCAUUUGCAAUUUGCUGAACAACUCCCUCCCUCUCUCUCUCUCUCUCUCUCUCUCUCUCUAAAAAAAACUAACAUUCUCAAAGAAAACAAUGGCGGCAGAAGCUGUGGGUGGAGUUGCCAUUCAAUUUCUGCUAGAGAAGCUGAUAUCAGUUUCUGCGGAGCAGAUCAACCUCUAUCGAGAUUUCAAUAAAGAAUUGAAAAGGCUAAAAAGUUCUUUAACCAUGAUUCAAAGUUUCUUGAACGAUGCGGAGAAGAAGCAAAUCACCGACGAAACUGUCGAACGCUGGCUGCAUAAGCUUGAAGGUGUGGCUUUCGAUGCCGAUAAUGUCUUGGAUGAGCUCCACUAUCAACAUCUCUCCAAGGAAAUGAAGAAGAACAAGUGCCAUUUUUUCUUCCCACAUUGCAUUCCCAAUACGCAUCGCCUAAAAAUGGCACGUAAAAUCAAGGAUGUCCUUCAAAACUUGGAAGCGAUCAACAAGGAGGCGACCGACUAUGGCCUUCAAAAAGCAGUGGUGGGUGCAUAUGCUCCGGUUACUGGAUCAUCUGCAGGUUGGGAAACUGAUGCAUUCAAUAUCGAUCCGAUUUUUCUUGGAAGAGAAGGUGACGUGUCUGAAAUAGUGAAGACGAUGACUACUCUUCCAAAUGAUCAAGUACUCUCUAUCCUCCCCAUUGUCGGGAUGGGAGGACUCGGAAAAACAACUGUAGCUCGGAACGUGCUCGAUCAUGAAGCCAUAAAGGCUCAUUUUGCUAAGCGUUUUUGGGUUCAUGUCUCUCAAAACUUCGAUGCCAAGAUUCUUUUCAAUAAGAUUCUUACAUCGUUAACAGGAACAAACGCCGCACUUGGAGAUAAACAAGCAGUUCUGGAAAAGCUUCAAAAGGAGUUGGGAGCUCAUAGAUUUCUACUUGUUCUCGAUGAUGUUUGGAAUGAAAAUCAUGAAAUAUGGGGUGAUUUUAUCAAUUCGUUGAGAAAAAUUACUUCUGCUACGGGAAAUGGCAUCGUUGUUACUACGCGAAGUGAAAAUGUUGCUUCACUGGUGAAAACAUUCCCUACUAUGCACAAGCUAAAUAACUUGUUAGAAAAUGAGUGUUGGUCCAUAAUCAAAACAAAAUCCUUCGGAGAAGGUGAUAUUCCAUCAGAAUUUGAGAGAAUUGGUGUAUCUAUUGCAAAAAGAUGCCAAGGUUUGCCAUUGGCGGCCAAAGUGGUUGGGGGAUUGUUGCGCGAUAAGUCGAUUGAUGAGUGGAUGUCGAUUGAUGAGAAAUGGCUCUCAGAUUUAAAAGAUGAAAAUCCAGUCUUCAAGAUUUUGAAGCUGAGUUUUGAUCAUUUGUCGCCACCAUCACUCAAAAAGUGCUUUGCAUAUUGUUCGAUAUAUCCUAAAGGAUAUGACUUGGAAAGCAAACGCUUGGUUGAGCUUUGGAUGGCAGAAGGAUUUCUUGGAGGAAAUGAUGAUAUGGAGAUUUUGGGCAACAAAUUCUUUAAUCGACUUUUAGAGAACUCCUUGUUGUUACAAGUUGAAAACACAAGUCGCUAUAACAUGCAUGAUCUUGUGCAUGAUCUAGCAUCCUCUAUUUUAAAUUCAAGCGACCAAGUUCGGUACAUGGGCCGGCAAUCGUGUGCAAGCUUAAAUGAACAAGCAACUUGGCUUCGUUCCUUAUUGUCCAAUGAUAAAAUAUGCAUUCUCAUGUUCUCGAAGUUCAAAUCACUGCAUGUUUUAAUUCUGAUGGACAAUUGUGUUGAAGAGUUGCCGAAUUCGAUCAAAGAGUUAAUACAUUUGAGAUGUCUUGAUGUCUCGGACACAGAACUUAAAUGUUUGCCGGACUCUAUUGGUGAACUUUAUCACUUGCAGACAUUAAGAGCAUCUGAUGACCUGGAGAAGCUGCCAAAUACAUUGAAGAACUUGAUUGGCUUAAGACAUCUCCUCAUUCCUGGAAUUGAAUUACCUCCAGAGAUGGGAAGAUUAACUUCUCUUAGAACACUGCCGUACUUUGGAGUCGGCGAUGAAAAGGGUUGUAGAAUUAGUGAGCUCGAAUGCUUGAAGAACCUGGAAGGAAAGCUGGAGAUCUUUAAUCUUGAGAAGGUGCAUGACAAAGAAGAGGCUAAGAGAGCAGAUUUAUUACAAAAGCCAAAAAUAGUUGAGUUAGUGCUUAAGUGGAGUAAUAGAGAAGGUGGAAAUGGCGAUGAGAGUGUGUUGGAAGGCCUCCAACCCCACCCAAAUUUAGAGAGCUUAAAGAUUUGUGGAUUUGGAGGAAGAAGUUUACCAUCAUGGUGUUCAAAUAUGCCGGGGCUUAAUAAAUUAAUGGAGAUAAGACUUGAAAGAUGCAAAGAAUGUGAACAAGUCCCAAUGCUAGGGCACUUGCCACAUUUGAAGAAUCUUUAUCUGGAUGGUCUGGUGAAUGUGAGAUCCAUAGGUUCCUCGUUUUACGGAAUUGAUGAAAAAUGUGUUUCCUUUCCGGCACUUGAAAUGCUCGAGUUGAGGGGAAUGUCAGAGCUGACGGAGUGGUUACAAGCGGAAUUGCGAAGUGCAGCACCUGAGAAUGAUCAACGACUUGUUGUCUUUCCUCGCCUCGAGUACUUGCAGAUUAUAUAUUGUAGGCAAUUGAAGAGUGCUCCGAGUCACUUUCCAUGUCUUAAAGAAUUGCUGAUUGAUGGGGUGGAGAGCGAAUUACCUUUGGUAAGUAUAUGUGGGAUCAACUUAAUCUCUCUUACAAAGCUCCAUAUUCACUCAAUUGAUGGAUUGACGUGUCUCCCAAACUGCCUUUUCCGUAAAAAUCAAAAUCUUUCAAUGUUGGUUAUAAGCGGUUGUCGUAACUUAACGCAUCUAGUUCCGUGCUUGGAAGGUGGAGGAACAGCUCUUAGGAAUUUGGAGAUAUGGGACUGUCCGGAAUUGAGAGAAUUACCAGAUGAUCUACACACCCUCAGUGCUCUCGAGAAUUUGGCGAUUUACGGAUGCUCAAAACUGAAGACAAUACCAUAUCCAUAUGAAACACAUAACGAUGAUGAUGAUGAGCAAUUAUUAUUAGGCUUGAGUUGCCUUCGUCGAUUGUUUAUUGAAUACUGCGAUGAGCUGACCAAUUUGCCAAUUGAGUUAUGUGCGGAGUCCCUGGAGAGUUUGACACUGAGAGGAUUAAUGAAUUUAAGGAUGACCAUGGGAACGUUGAUUGGGUAUUGUAUGCAGAAAAUGCCUCGUCUCUCUGAGUUGAGAAUUGUUGAUGUUCCAACCACUAAUAAUCCAUGGGAGAUUGUUGGCUCUGUUACUCUCGGCAAUUUGAGAGAUUUAACAAUCAGUUGUGAUGAGUACUCAGUUUCAGCUGUUGAUGCCAUCUUGAAAGCAUCAGCCAAAUCUCUUCAUAGAUUAACAUUGCUAGGGACAGAGCAUAGUCGAGAACUACCUGGUCAGCUUCAACAUCUCACUGCUCUUUCUGAGCUAGGCUUGUAUGAUUUUGGAGAGAUGGAAGAAUUGUCUGAUUGGCUAAUUGGGAACAACAACAACAACAACUUGUCCUCAUCUUUGCAAAUCUUACAUCUAUCCCGCUGCAAGAAGUUGCGAUAUCUGCCGUCUAAGGAAGCCAUGCUACAUCUCACCAAGUUAUACAUCUCGAAUUGUCCGAUGUUACAUAUAAAAGGUGGAGAUAGCGAUUAUGGUUCUGAGUGGCCCAAGAUAUCCCAUAUCCCCUAUGUCGUGUUGGAUUGGGUUCAAAUUCCAACUCAUGCUCAGUAAAUGUAACUAUACUUAUUACUGCAUUAUUGGAUUUACCAGAAUAUUUUCUUUUUUUUCCUUUUCUUUUUCUAUUGUAUUUAUUUUUCUUUUUGUUCUUGCAGCCUCCAAAUUAAAUUUGUUGCUUAAACAGAACAGGAUGCUCAAGGCACAUAAAUAUAUAAAUCUAUUUCAAAUUUAUUUCGAUACAUAUUGAUUUUAUUUUUAUUUCAUAGAUUUAAUUAGACACCCCUCCAGCAAAGUUUUAAUUUAGGAUUCGGUGCCAAACCAACAUAAUAUCUCUUCUUCUUCUUUCUUGGGUUUACCACAUUUUAUUUGGUUUACAUAUUCAUUGAUCUUCUUUUUUACUAUUUUCUUUAAAAAUGUGGUCAUUUCGUAAUUUCUCAUUUUUUUGAUGAGUUAUUAACCGAAAUUGAGCAUUUUUUAUUAGAGUAUAUUAUAUUAUAGAACUCUUGUAAUAUUAUUUUUGUUGCACGUUGCCUCCUAAAAAUGUUAUUUUUAUUGCACGUUUCUGAAACCGAAACUCGUAGCCAUUCUAAUAUUGAUUUAGCUUUUUGCAUUAAGCAAAGAAUCCUAUCGAACACGACGUAAGUCUAAUUCAACUUAUUAUAUCUAUCAUAAUAAAUUUGAAUUUGAAAAGGAACCAAUCCACUUUAAUUUCUCUAGAUCCCGUUCGAUCAGAAAAAAAAAAAAAAAAAAAAAAAAAAAAACAGAAUAUAGCUUGUUACAUCCAUAAUACGGGAAAUAUUCGAUCCCAGAGUGAAAAGGCUUACAAGAUAGCAAACAGCGAAAUACGGAGUUUGUAGAAUAAUCCAGAAAAUUGAAUUAUUAAUAAAAAAUUGUAUCAGAUGUUAAAAUACAUUAUACAUUUCAUCAACAUAGCAGAUUUAAGGUAGAGAUUCACAACUAGCAGUAACCUUAAGAGGGAAUUUUCUAUGAAUAGUAAGUCCAUCAGCUUCACACAUAUCCAAAUCUUCUCCGCUCUCGCCACCUGGCAUUUGUGUAAAUUGUCUUCGGUUAUGGUUGAAGUGGGUCCCGCUAUGUUUUUCAGUUCGUGCUUCAGUUUUGCCAUGGUGCCUUAUGAGCUCGGAUAACGUCCACUCUAUGAAUGUGUAUGUUGUGUCGAUUCCAGCAGCAAACAUGUCCUGUUAGUAGAUUAUUAUUAAAAUAGUGAUCAUCUUGAUGAGAUAAAAUACUUUAAAUCGAAUCAUUUUCGAGUUCAAUUUGCAGUCUCUCGCCAUACAAAAGCAUGAAGAUUUCAAUUGAGUCUAUAAAUUGAACCUCUUGUUCUAAGUUUCUAACUACAGUUAAACCUCUAUAAAUUAACACAGAGUCCGGACUAGCAAAAUUCUAUUAAUUUAGCGAACUAUUAAAUUAUCGAGUUAAUACUUUAGUACAUUUUUGCCGACUCGGGCCGAAAGAAAUUAUUAUUUACGCAAGGUUAUUAAUUUAUCGAGGUUCUUCUGUAUAUUGCAUUUGCUACAAACACAUAAAAGAAAGAAACUAAAAAAAUAAUAUUAAAGGCAAAUUACGGCAACCCCCUUUAACUAAGGUUAAACUACGAAAAAAUCCCUCAAGUCGGUAAAUUUAGGGGCAUUCAUUCAGUAAAAUUGUACUCAACUUCGUUACGCAAAAAUUUCAUACCGUUUACCGUUCGGUUCGGUAAAUAAAUAACCGAAUUACCAAAAUUUUAUUCAAAAUAUUUAAAAAAUUGAUUUAAUUUUUUAUUUUUUUAAUUAAUUUUAGUUUAAAUACUAACUACAUAUAUAAAAUAUAUGGGUAACUAGCAUUAAACCGCCUAAACUUUGCCCCUUUUCGCGGAUUACCACCUCAACAAAGAAAAAAAAAACUCCGAUCCCACCGAACUCAAUAAGUUAUGCCAUGUUGCCAUUUUUCACCCAUUUGCAGGCCAAAAUGACCGGAAUUAAGUGGUGGUUGUAAUUAGGGUAAAUAGCAUUAAACCACCUAAACUUUUUGAGUUUUUGCGGAUCACCACCUGAACAAUUUUUUUUUGCACAACUUCACCUAUACUCAAUUAAUUGUGCCACUUUACCCUUUUUUGCCGGUUUGCAGGUCAAAAUGACCGGUUCUCAACCCAUGUGCGUCGCACAUGACAAAUCCAAGGCUAUUGACGUCUUUUCCAUUUUUAAAAUUGAAUAAAUGUUAAAUAGAAUAAAUAAAAAAAAAAAGAAAAAAAAGAAAAAAAAACAACAAAGGUCUUCGUCUUGUUGUUCACCAGCCCACCAUAGCUACUACUGCUGCAAUUUUAUUUCCCCUAAAAUUACAGAGAGGUCAGAAUACAUACCAAGAACGGAAGAAGGGGAAUCAAAGUCGGAAAAGCCACCAUACAAGCACGGAGAUGAUUCCUUCAUCUUUGACACAGGCUCUUCAUCAUUCACUUUCCGUGCAUCAAUUUAAUACAAAAAAAGGAUAUCUCAUUUUCCUCAAACAAAAACGAAAUUCUUAAUUUAAAUACAUACAAGGAAAUAAAAAUACCUUGAACAGGCGGAGAAGGAGUACCGAAGUCAAAUCGGGGAACAUCGUCAAAUCUCUCAUUGGGCUUUACCGUUGAUUGGAUUACAUCAUCGACUAAGGUUUCCAAAAAUCAAACGCCAAAAAAAUAGAAAUAAAAAUUAGGGCAAGGAUAAACUCGCGUAUAUAACUACAGAUAUGCAUAUAUAUACAUGAGAAAUUUUAAAAUUUUACCUGGUUUUGGUUUGGGUUUAUUAGGUUGAGAAGCAGAGAGGUCGACGAGAUAUCGGCUGUGAAGCUGAUUGAGGCUCAUCGCCGGCUUCCUAUAGCCAUCCGCCAUUGACGAUCUUCUGGUAUUGUCAGAGUGGAUUUUGGGCAAGGGUUUCCUCUUACUUUUGUUCUUCAGAGUGGUAGCCGUCCGCCAUUGACGUCCACCACCACAUCUUCUUCAGAUCCGCCGCCAUCUUGACUGAAAUUGGACCUAAAAUUAGGUCUAAAAUGUUCAUUUAAUUUCCCCCUUUCCCCGAUUGAGGUUAUAUGAACACUAUUUUCUCUCGAUUUCUUCCUCCGAAUCGACUAGAUCUUCUUCCAACGAAUGGAGGAUUACAUGAGAUUCUCACAAUUGAGGCCGCCCCAUGCCGCGACGAAGGUGUGCGGCGCUCGGCCGUGAGAUCGGGUGUGCGGAGGUGGGCGGUGGGUGGUGAGAUUGGUGCGACGGCAGUGGUAAUCCUUGAAAUUGCAGAAGCGAGAAAGUGUUUAUGUCGGUGGUGGUUUGUUCGGAGUUUUCGGGCCAUGGGUUCAAAAUCCAGGCUGAGUUGCUGGGUACAAGAUGACGUUUUACUUUUUCUUUUUAUUUUUUUAAUUAUUCUAUUUAAGAAAAUUCCAUUUCAAAAAACAAAAAUAAAAUAAAAUAAAUAAAUUAAAAUUAACAUUUAUUCCAUUUUAAAAUGGAAAAGACGUCAAUAGCCUUGGAUUUAUCAUGUGCAACGCACAUGAGUUGAGAACCGGUCAUUUUGACCUGCAAACCGGCAAAAAAGGGUAAAGUGGCACAAUUAAUUGAGUAUAGGUGAAGUUGUGAAAAAAAAAUUGUUCAGGUGGUGAUCCGCAAAAACUCAAAAAGUUUAGGUGGUUUAAUGCUAUUUACCCUUGUAAUUAUGCAAACAUGAGGGAUUUUUUCGUAAUUUGUCUUACCUUAGGGGGUGGCCGUAAUUUGCUCCAAUAAUAAAAAAUCCAAGAACACAUACAUAACAAACUACAGAGGCACCCUGUUCCACUCAAUCAAGAAUUCAAUUCAAGAACUGUAAAACGCAAUGCAAACAUUACCAAGAUAAGAGCUUUGAUCGAGCUUUCUUCAAGAACAAAACCACUCUCACCGUUCCUCCGAAUAUCGAGCAAAACAUCGACAAAAUCCUUCUCGUUUCAGCGAAUUCCACCACUUUUCAAAUGCUCCUCCACCACAAACUCCGAAAACUCAUCGAGAUUGUUAGAAUCUAUUUGGAUUCUAAUAAACAAGAGACGAGUAAAGACUUGUGCAACAAAUCCUUAUUUACCGUGAAACACAAAAGGGAAGUCUCAUUGUUUAGUUUAAUUCUUUAAUUUGUCAUUAAUUGUUUUUUUAUUUAUUAUGGAAGCCUAUUAAUAUGAAAUAGUCCAACAAAUCUUGGACUUGUGCAAGACGUAUGAAGAAGAUUUGUUUCCUUGGUAUUUUUAUUAAUAUUAUAUUAAUUGGUGAGGUGAUAAGGGAAGUAGUGUUUUGAUAAAUCAAGAAGAUAUUUUAUUAUACGUAAUAUGAGAAGUCCUUUCCUGAUGAAAUUCUUGUCUUUCACGUGAAUCAGGUUUCUCAUAAGAUGCAAUAUAUAAGCAGCUUCUGGUGUUAUUAUUCGGAUGUCCUUUUAUCUAGAGAAGAGUUCAGAGAAAAUAUUUUUUUCCUCUCAUUUUUAUUGCUCCAUCGUGAUACAUGAUUUUCAUAGAAAAUAUAUCGGCUUCAAGGCUUUGUGGUGAAGACACCAAGAUUCAACGAGUAUCACAAGUUUGCUUCUUCAAUACAAAAAGAAGAACGGUUCUUCAGGAGAGGGGCUUAAACAGAUCUCGGGAGGAGAUUGAUCCGCCGACUGAAGGAUUCAGUGUUGAAGGGAGUUCAACCGUGCGGAACAAGGGACGUGCUGCAAAUUGAAGAUUUACAAUUCAGCGUAGUAUACAAGAACGGCGUCAACAAAGAUGGAGUCUUUGUAUUUUGAUUAAGUCCUAAUAUUGUAUUCGUAAAACUAAAAAUUAGUAAAUUUCAUUUGCAGGUCCCCGUGGAUGUAGGGUACAAUUGUAUCCGAACCACAUUAAAUUUGUGUCUCGUUUAUUUCUGUUUUUACGAACUGCUUAACGAACUGUUGCAACACUUCACGCAACAGUAACGAAAAACUGAAUCUGAUACAAAUAAUUUAUAUCUGCACGAAAUAAAUUCUAACAGAGAUCUUCCUCGACUCCCCGAACUUUACGAUUCAUCCCAUUAACAUAUUUAACCCAAACAAGCCAAGAAAUGUAACUCCCCGAUUUCGAAACCACCCAACAAAACCCCUAACCUCUCCAAAACAUCCUUAAAUCAAUCACACGUUUUUCAUUACACGAAUUGUCUGAUCUUCUCCAACAUAACAGAAACCUCUUCCUCACGAACAUUCCGAAAAGACUGAACUUUUUGAAUCCUCAGAAGGUGAUUGACGCAAAUACCCUUCACGCGCCUCCAGUACUCGCCGUAUGUUGAAAAGGCGAUGUCUUUACAGUCGUAAAUACCACGCGCCACGCUUGAUUCGGGCCUGUUGGAGCAAAUUGGGUCGUGGGUUUUGAGUAUUUCUUCAGCUAAAUCAGCUGAUGAAACAUUAAAGGGCCGUGUUUUCUUGAUAGAGAGUGGAGGGUUUUGUGGGGGCGGAACCCUAAUUAGUGGAGGUUUCCGAUUACUGGAAGCUUCGGCGGCGACGGCUUGAGAGGGUUUUUGAGAGGUGGGCCGUUUUCUUUUUAUGAUUACGAAAAUUAUUGUGAAAAAGGAACAAGGGGAGAAGAAGAAAUUUGGAAACAUCCAUGGGUUUUCUUGAUCGUCAAAGGUGUAGGAAAACAUUAAUUUUUAUGUCUGAAAAUUGUGGAAUGUGGAUUUGUAAGUGUAAAAUUGGUGAAUUUUGAAGGAGAAAUGGAGAUGGAAUCUUUUAAUGAUUGUGGGGAUAUUAGCUUUAACAACGGCAAGUGGGAAGUAGAGUUAUAGCCCGAUGGCUAUAACUUAACUGGUUUCGGAGGUGGUAAGUUGGUAUAAAAAUAGGGGCGUGCUAAAUCUCACACUAAAAUUUACUAAAUCCCACACAUAAAUUGAAAAAACACUCUCUCUAUACUCAUAUUCUUUCUAACUUUUCUCUAAGAUAAUCUUAUCAAAGUCACCCAAAAUUCAUUAAUUUUUUACGUGAAUAAUCAUAAAAAAUGAGUUCAAUUUUAUUAUUAUCUAUUCAAUUUCAUUAAGCAUUUUUAAUUAUUCAAAUUCAUAUAAAUUCGAUUUUUUUUUUCUCAAAUUUCAAUUUUAUUUUAGUUUGAACACGUGAAGAUUUUUCUCAAAUUCGAACUUGAAAUGCAAGGGAUGUUUUUAGUGUGUGAUUUUGUGGAAAAGUAACUAGGGCAAAAAGAAUAAAGGUAGAGAAGGAGAAUAGUUUCAGUUGUGUGCAGGAUUUGGUAAAAUUAGUGUCGGAUUUAGCAUUUCAGAUAAAAAUAAUAUGUUACAUAAAUAUCAUCAAGAAAUUUGUUGAAACUCAUUAACCAUAAAUUUGUAUUAGGGGAAAUUACAGUUUUCACCCCUCAAGUUUGCACUAAUUUCACAUUCGGUCCCUCGUGUUCAUAAAAAAACACAUUAGGUCCCUCAUGUUUCAAUAAUUGAAAACUUUUGAUCGUUUCCGUGAAUUUACCGUUAGUCCGUUAGUUAAGCAAGUCAUGGAACACGCUUGAUUCCGUGAGUUUUAACGAAAAAUUGACGAAAAUGACUAAAAGUGUUGAAUUUUUGAUACAUAAAGGACCAAAUGUGUUUUUCGUAAACAUGGGGACUAAAUGUGAAAUUGGUGCAAACUUGAGAGACAAAAAUUGUAUGUUUCCCAUUUUUAUUUCGUAGGCAGUGGCGAAACCAUGAUUUCGUAGACAGUGGCCGUAAUUUGUCCCUCCCUCUAUGUAUUGGGGUGAGAUUGUACAAUCCCACAUUUUUUUUUUUUGAGAAAUACAAUCCAACACUUUUAGAUGACAUUGUUAUAACACAUUAAUUCACAUACAUAAUCCCAUCCUACAAACCAAUCACACUUUAUUAAGAACCUAGGAGUUGGUUUAACAAUCCCACCAUUUUCUUGAAUCACAUCUCAAUUAAAAGAUGAAUCAAGAACACUCCAACUUAGAAAUAAAAGCAUCAAUAUUUAGGUCAGAAGUGCCACCCUCACUAACUGCCUCCUUAGCAGAACCCCUCCACUUAACACAAUUCCUCUUCAUCUCUUUCCCCUUCUCCCCUUCCAUCACUUCCCUUACACAACUCUCAAUUUCCUCUCUCCUCACAAUACCAUCUUCUUCGGAAACCCUAACCCUAAUCCCCACUCCCCAAACGUCUUGCACGAGCUUAGCAUCCGUCGUUUGAUCCGUCCACUGCGGCAUCACAACCUCGGUCGUCGAAUUCCAACCGCCGUGCGAGAAGAAACAACCUACGGCUUCGUUCGACAGAACUUCCAGCUGCGGGCUCCAGUGCGCGAACAGUGCCCUUUCGGACGAGGCCCGGACGAAACCUUCCGGAAGCUUCUCUUCCUUGUCGGAAACCCUAAUUACCCAAAGGAAGUUGAAAUUGGUGUUGUUCAAGCCCCAUGCAAUCUCUUCCAUUUGUGCUUUGGGGAGAUUGUCCAUGCUGCCGAACGCUAUGUAGACGACCGAUUUUGGUGGCUUUGUGUUUAGCCAAUCGAGGAUUGGUUGCGAGGGGUCCGAUUGGAAGAGGUUUACGUCGUAUUUGUCGUCGUUUUCGAUACGGUUGUCCAAAUAGAAAGAUGGGAGUGUUGGUCCAAUUGUUAGCAUUGGACACACUUUUGUCAUUGAAUCCACAACCUGUCGUUGGAAGAAGAAUUGGCAAACAUUUACGUACAUAAAAAAUAUGUAAUAAAAAAAUAGAUUGAUUUAAUUUUCUAUUUUUCUUAGUUGCCCCACUUUUCAUACGUUGAUAGUGAUGCAGGCACAAAUAUUUCAAAAAAGACAAAGUUGAUUGAGAUAUUCAAAUUUUUACAUCGAUAAUGAUAAGAAGAGUCGUCUAUGUCUUUCUCUAUAUAUAAUAAUAAUAAUAUUAUUAUUAUUAUUGCUGGGUAGAGCUUGUUACACAUGGUUAGCCUACUAUUUUUUACGUCUCUCGUAUUGCAAAUUUUUAUACGAGGGUGUAAAGUUUGCCCAAUGCACCUAUAUAAUUAGCUGCCGGUUCCUUCAUUAAAAAAAAAAAAAAAAAAAAAAAAAUUUGGAUAAAAGAGUCUUGAUCUAAAAUGUCCAAUAGUAUUAGUAGUUCAUUGUUAAAUAUCCAAAACUAUAAAAUUAACAUAAAUUAAUGUGGUAUUAUUUUUAUCAUUAAUCCAAACUUGUAAAUCCAACCCAGUUUUUUAUACCAAUUUGACCUAAUUAAAAACACAACUCUAGUACUUUUUUGAUGUUUAAUUAGAUAAUGUAAUUGUUACAUAUUAUAUUUGCUUUUCAAAAUGAGACUAUUUUAUAUAUCAUAAUAAUGGGAAAAUUACAGUUUUCAUCCCUCAAGUUUGCAUCGAUUUCACAUUUGGUCCCCUUGUUCACUAAAAACGCAUUUGGUCCCUCAUGUUCCAAUAAUUUAACACUUUUGGUCAUUCCGUCAGUUAAGGCAGUCAUGGAUAACGCUUGAUUCCGUUAGUUUAACCGGAAAAUUGACCGAAAUGACUAAAAGUAUUGAAUUUUUAAUUUAAACAUAAGGGACCAAAUGUGUUUUUUCUGAACAUGGGGACCAAAAUGUGAAAUCAGUACAACCUUGAAGGACGAAAACUGUAUUUUUCCCUCAUAAUAAUUCUUAAUUCAGUUAACAAUGAUCAAACCAUUCAUCAUUAAUUCAAUAUAAUUAUAAAAAAAAAAACUCUUUUAUAAAUUAAGUUAAUUAUAAAAGCAUAAAUAUAUUUAAUUAUAUUACCUUCUCCUCCAACUUGUAAAACGUGUUGACAAGCACAAAAUCAGCCUUGUCCACAUUCGAGAACUGAUUCAGCACCAUCUCGAAGUAAGCCGGGUACGAACCACUCACGUGCGUGAACGACGGCAAGUCCGGCAACUCUAGCGCCGGCAGCCCCGGAAUCUCCACCGGCGGCGGCGUCGCCACCGGGAUAUCCAACAAUCCGCGGUGAACAUAAUAGUACACAUAGUUCACCGCGCACGCCUGCGUGAAAAAACACGCCCCCGCGAUACCGAAUCUCCUCGCCACAUCCAAAACCCAAGGCAAAAACGCAUCGUAAACUAUGCAAUCUACGGGCAAAUUUCGGUCUAGGUAAGAUUUGAUGAGAUUUUCGAGGGUUCUCGAGCCCUCGAUUUCCAUACGAUGUAGGUAAUCGGAGACGCUCUCGGCUUGCCGGAAACCGCCGGCGUCGAAGCCGUCGGAGAUGGAGGCGAUAUCGACGGAGUCGGAUUUAGGGUUGAUGGAUUUG